AAAAAAAAAACUUGGUCGGUGUACAUGAUAAGAUACGAUACUACUCUCUCCAUUUUUAAAUAUAAGACUUUUUAGAUAUUUUACUAAGAAACUACAUACGAAAUAAAAUAAAUAAAAUUACAUUCUAAAAUAUGUAUAUACAUUAGUUUUUAAAUAGACCUUUAGAAAGACUUAUAUUUACAGUCUUACUAUUUUUCAGUCGACUGAAUUUAAAUUCGUUCCAGGUCGUUUUAUAGUCCGUUCGAUUUGCACGAAUCUCAGUGCCCUCGUCUGUCCUCUGUUUCGCGCGUGUAGUUUGGUUUCGUUGGGCUUUCGGGUACGCGGGUCUGUAUCGGGUAUACAUUUUUUUGGCCCGUGAAGCCUGAGAUCACUUUUAUCCAUUCAGUCUCUGUGUUUCUAUCUGGGAAAGGGGAUUGGGUCGGGGUUGACCGAGGUUGGCCGGAGACGGUCGGGGUUGAGCGAGGUGGGGCGGAGACGGCAGAGGGAAGGCGGCGGGGCUGCUCACCGGUGAUUAGAACAGGAGAUGGCGCAUGGCGAGUCUCCCCAGGGAUUGAGAGCUUAUAUGCAGGGGGCUGCAGGUGGAAGAGAUGCUGCCAUUGGGAGGAGCUUGGCAGAGCUGCCCCGUCGUGCGCGGCACCAACAAGCUCCCGUCAGUGGAGAUGGUCGCAGUCGCCGGCGUCGAUGGGGCGCUUGGUAUUUGUUCGUCCCCGCUCUGUUUGCUGUGUUAUUUUUUGUCUCAUGUGUUUUUGCCCUCCUACAUUACCCUCCUGAGCUGAGCAGAUUUAGUUCAUCAUCAUUCUCGCCCAUCAUAGACCUGCAUCGCAGGGAGGUUCAGUUAGCUCGCGAUUUUGUGGUAGUUUUAGUUAAAGCGUGGAUAUGUUUUGAGCUGUGUGUGUGUCUGUGUGUGAAGUUGAAUCCCCGAGGGGAUUCAGUUCCGAUGCGCUGUAAAGUUGAGCUCGCGCUGGGUAAGUGCAGGGUAGAUCGGGACGACGAGCAGCAGUCGGUGCAGUUUUAAUCAGUGGUCAUGUUGCCCUUGGGCACAUACAUCAACGUGUUUACGGAUGUGUAGGUUGCUCCUAUGCAUUCUGCUUGUGUAAAUCCAGCUCUCCUGCUUCUUUUUUAGACAGUGCAGUCAAGACAGGAGAGCUAGUAUUGCUGCUUAGUGACAGAAAACGUCAAUCUGAACUGAAGAACCAAGGACCAGUUAUACCUGUUAUCGCAAAUCAGUUACGGGGGUGAUGUAUGUCGUUCCAUAUACUCCAUAGUUUCUCGUGUUAUGCCUUGCGUGUUUCAUUCCUUCAGUUUACUGUCCUCCCCUUCCCUGAGUAGUUUAAGCUGUGUAUAUACGCAAGACCAUAUGCCCUUUUGUUUAGGGGACAUAUAUAUACCUUUUGUUGCUUCUGGUAACUGAUGAGAUGUGAAUUAGGAUUUCCUAUAUAAUAUUCGCGAAUGUCAUAUUCAUUUCUAAAAGCACUUCCAUGACUUUUGAAAUAUUUGAUGAUUAUGCCAUGUUAUUUUGCUUUCUCAUUUGGCAUCCGAAAGUCUGAUGUUCCUGAUCAGUUUAUUAUAUUUAUAUAAUUAAUAUAUUGAAAUGCCAGAUGAGGCCUGAUACAACCUUUCUCUUGGCCGAUUCUGGCUUUUUGGUAGGCUAUUACUGAAUGUAUGUGUUUUCCUCUACAAGAGUACUAAUGUGGAUAAACUGUAGAUUUACAUUUUUUGUCAGCUUUGUUUUCGUUGGCUUUUAGUUUAGAUUUACUGAUUUAGUAAUGGAUGUGUUUUUUUCUUGAGAGAUUGAGUGCUUACAUGAGGAAUGGUUGAGAGAUCAUCUCAAAGUAGUUAUAUGCUGUAAUUAACAAGGCAGUAGAUAGUCUGCAACUAGUUAUAUGCACUAUUUCCAUACUUAAAUUAAGCAAUGUCCCAAGUGAUUUUUGUUCAUUUUAUUCCAUACAUGCAGGGGUGCUGAUUAUGCAGGUCAUAGAUCUUCCAGUAUUGCCAAUGACGCCAAUUACGAUCCUGAUAAUGAUUUGUCAAACAGCGAUUGUCGCGAGGAUAGUAGCACAUCUAGUGAUGAUGUAUGUUCAUGUAGCUUUGAAUUUGUUUUUCAUUUUCUUCCUGUUUUUCUUCUAUCCUUUAUGUAUGUAACAGGGUUUUCUUUUCUUCUACUUGUCUUUUUUUGUUCUAAAAGGAAUUCGUGGCUAGGAGGAAGAAGAUGUUAGAGGAUGCAUUGUUCGGUUUUUUCAAGAAGGAGGUAUGUUUUUAUCUUCUUGUUUUUAGUUUAUUAUUUUAGUUUUUUUGUAUUCAUGUUGAUAGUUGAUGUCGGUUUCUUACUUUGUUUCUCUUGUUCUCCAUCUUAUUCAAUAGGCUCAAAAAUCUCUUAAGAAGGGUUUCUCAAUUUUUUGUCAGGAUGCUAAUUUCAAAGUCGAGGUUCUCGAAUCUAUUCUUUUACAAAUCUAUAAAAAAAUUGUUUUGUCCAUUACUUAAUCCCUUUUUUGUUAGUCCUAAUCUGUUUUUUAUGUUGUUUUUUCAGAAUAAUAGGGUAAAAGUUCCAGGGGUAGGAAGGGAUGUGUUCAGUGUGUAUUCUACCAAGUACUUCGCUCAGAUACUCAAGCGUAUGUCAAUUGGCAGGAAGGAUGUGAUCUCAAAAUACGGGUUUGAUCAUCUCCUGAAGUUUGAGAAAACGCAACUCCCUUCUCGAUUCAUUAGAUGGAUUCUUGGCUGUGUAGACUCAGUGUCUUCCGAGAUCAUCAUUGUUGAUGAGAAGAUUAUCCCUCUUUCCAAGGAUUCUGUCCAUUUUGUGUUGGGUCUGCCAAACACCGGUGUUGUACCAAUGCCAAAUAAGGAGAGAGGGAGGAAUUUCCUUCGGUCUAGGUUUAAUCUUUCAGAUUUACCAAAUGUCACUUUCUUUGGAAAUAUGCUCACGUCAUCCCAAGAUCUUAGUGAAGAAGAUACAUUCAUUUGCUUCAUGGUGAUAGCUAUGUCAUGCUUUCUCUUCCCUUCUUCCAAUGGUCAUAUACACAGAGACUUUCUAUUCCUUCUAGAGGAUCCUACUGCCACAAUGGGAUACGACAUUUUCUUUCUUAUCUAUGAAUGGAGCAUGGCUGGCAUAAACAAAUAUGUGUUGUUUGGUUGGGAAACUGGCACGAAGCCAAAAGCCUUUGAUUUAUGCACAUAUUGCCUCGCGGUAAGUGUUUUGUCUUUUUUUCUUUUCUUUGUUUGUGUCACACUUUCCGUCUUUUUGUUUUGUUUCUUAUUAUUUUUUUGGAUUUUUGUGUUUCUUUUUAAGGUAUUGUACUUGGACAAGCUGGACUUUGGUAUAAGGGUAGUCGAACAAGGUGUCCCAAGGAUUCUUAUAUGGAAGGGUAAUAUAAUUAAGCAUUUCUCGGAACUUGAUCGGAAGAACAGCAACUCAUUCGGUAGGAGACCGUUCAAAAAGGAGGUCUGUUAUAUGUUUCUGCAUUUUUUGGUUGAGUUGCUUUCUCCUUUUUUGUUUUGUAGUUCAAAAGUGAGUUAGUCAUCAGCAUUAUUUCCUUUUUGUAGAGAAAUCAUUAUUUUUUGGCCUUUCCUCUCUCUCUCUCUCUCUCUCUCUCAUCAAUCAUGUUUUUGGCUCAGGUUUCGUUUGGAGCUGAAAAUGGUGCUCACCAUGGCAUUUUACGACAAAGACCAGCAUCACUAUCUUUCAAAGAGAAAACGUGUUCAUCUUACACUAAUAUUCUACAUGAAGAGGUAUUAGGUUUUGCCUAACUAAGUUUUUAUCUUUCUCCUUUUUGUUUUUUAGUUGUAUCGUUAGUUUUAGUUUUGUUAUUUUUCAUUUCUGAUUGCCUAUAUUUUUGUUUUUGUCAGAUAAUUCAGGGUAUCAUUGACAGCGCACACUGUGACAACAUAUGGGAGUCUCGUUUUCAAAAUGCUCAGGAGGCUAUAGCAUCAAAUGUGUUGAAGUUUCUAUCUGGAUCCAAGGUAUCAUCUAUUUUCUGUAUUGGUGGUCAGGACACCGCUUCAACACCAGGAUCAGCAACGAAACAGGACAUAAGCAUAUUGAGUGAGGAUGUGAGAACAGACACAAAAAAUUCAUGAGGUAUGCAUCUUUUACUUUGUGUUCAGGCACCCUUUGUAGUUCGAGAAGCUCAUUACUCACUUGUUCUAUUUUUUGAAGUCGAAGUAUCUUUGAUCAUUUGUCAAGUUUAUUUAGUUUUUGUGGUGUUCAGGGUCACUUUUUUGUUGAUAACUUUUGUGAUAAUGUGUUUUUUUGUUGGAAGCAGAGUCUGGUGAACACAUUGAUAUGAACGAGAAGAUCAAGCACGUCAAGAGCAGCAGCAUCCACGAACCUGUCAAGGUCAUCGAAAACAUUGCCCCAUCAGUUGCAGCUAACAAGCAUUUAGACAUAGGAACGAGCAAAAACAAACUUCCGUUGCAACCUGCUGCCGACGAAAAAAUGUUUGAGGAGUUGCCCGAUGCUUUAGGUCCAUUCAUACAACUUUGCCCUCAUAGUCAUUUUUAUUUUCCCUUUUUUCUGUGUCCUUUUUCCUGGUUUUACUAGUGCCUUACAUAAGUUUUUUUUCUGCAGUAACCCCAGAACACGUGGUUUCCAAAUUUGUCGAGCACAACAAUGCAAAAUGUAAAUCAUUUUACUUCUUUUUCUAUUCCCGGUCUAGUUCAGUUUUGUUAUUUAUUUUGCAGUCAAGUUUUACUUCCCUCUUUUAUUUCUUUUCCCCCUCCAAGAUCCCGAAGUGCUAGUUCUGAAGAAGUUCAAGGCUAGGGUGUGCAACAUAACGCAUCGUGACCAGCAGUUUUCCUUGAUUAACACGUUCCCAGCAGGGGUGAAAGAGCGAAACUCUUAUUUUCAAUUUAGUGUGCAGCAAACCAAGGGCACUUUCACACACUCCACCAGCCCAACCGACACAAAUAUUCUUGUUGGAGGUCAGAUGACACGUCCUCAAGCAGAGCAAAGCAAUUACCAGAUGGCUAACCACAUGUCGCCCAUAGGUCGUACAAAUUUGUUCGCCGACGAGGUCAACUUUAUGCAUCUUUUUUUCCGGUUCUUUUUUUGUCAGUAUUUGUUUGUAUGAUUUUUCAUCUAACACCACAUGCACUACAGGAGUUCAACAUUGGAACCAAAAACAACCCUCCUAAACUUGUGGCAUUGGUAGACAAUAAUAUUUCAAAAAACAACAAGAUCAACGGCACAAAACAAGAACCAAUCCUAGUGGCUGAUAUUUCUCCCUCUCUGGUUAGUAUUAAGUUUUUUACUCUUUUAUAUUUUGUUAUGAUGCUGCUACAGAUAUAGGAGCUGAGGUAAUCUUGUAGUACCUCUUCUUUUAGUCUUGUGUGUCAGCAUUUAUUCAACAAUUUUCUGUUUAUAUAUGCGAACAUAUGUCGUCAACUCAACUCAUCAGCAACCAAUAUUUUUUGUUAGUUCAUUUUGGUACUGGUUUAGUCAAGAGAUCUUAAACUAGUUAGGUAGGAAAUCUUAAACUAUUUUUUGUAUAUGUGGAUCUGUUUUUUGGCUCAGUUUAUGUGUGAUAGCACUUUCUAUUGGAUAUUAAUUUUUUCAGAGGAAAAAUAAAUUUUCCCAUAUAUCUUCCGAAUUUUUGAAAAGUCUGAGUACUGGAUUGGCAUUUUCAAAGUUUAAUAUUUUUUUGAGUUUUUAAAAUGAGUUUCUUUCUACUCGCAGGUCACUUUUUUGUAUCAGUUGUAUUUUAGCAUGAGCUUCACUAUGCAAUUUUUUCUCGUUUGUUCCUGAUGCCUUUUUAGUGCCUUUUUUCCUUUUCGUUACAUGUUAGCCUUGAUUGAAUUUAUUUUUUUCUUUUCUGCAGCCAGUUAAGAGGAAGGCUGACAUUGUUGCUAUCAGUCCAAUUAGUUUUGGUGUCAGGCAAGGCGAAUUAGCCAAGAAUGCAGAUCAUGUGUACAACAAUCUAAUCAGACCAAUUGCAAAGCGUCAACACCAAUCACCAGUUCGGGUGCUAGAGGUUGUUGACGUGCCAGAAGACAGUGAUAAUUAUAUCAUUAUCGAUGAGCUUGCACCAGACGCCGUUCUCAACAAAGGCGCAAAGGAUGAUUUGAUAAUUCUUCAACCAAAAAGUCUCUUGGAACUCCCAAUAGAGGAAAACGAAAAUUUCCCUGUGUCAAACGAAGACUGUAUGCAUUACAACUCAAUAAUCGAACUUGCCUAUACAAAGGGCAUUCAGAAGUAUGUCAAACAGUUCCCUUUAGCCUGUUGUUAAGUAUUUUUUUACUCACUAGUCUUUUUACAUGUUUUAUUGUAUGUGCUCUAUCAUAUUAUUUUGUACGAUACCAUAAUUUAUACUCCCCUUUUUCAAGUUUCAUGAUAAGUUUUUCUGUUCUCUGUGGCAACAACAGGAGGUAUGCGUUGACGUAUUCAAUGGUUCAUUGUAAUUAUGUAUCACUUGGUCAAAGCCUUAUGCCAACUGGCAAAGUCGACAAUUUCUUGAUCCCAUGUUUUUGUCGUAAGUUCUUUGAGGACCGUCAUCCCACAAUCUCUGGAAGGCACCAUUUUUUUCCUCAUAUUGGUGUAUGUUUCUAGUUUUGCUCAUCAUAUUUUUUUCUUUUGUUGGCUUCUUACUUUCCCUCCACUUGCAAUUCUGUAAUCUUUCUUGUAUUUUCUGCCUCCCCCUAGGAGAACAUACUGCACUACACAAACGAAGACCAACUAAAAUCGAUUGCCACUUCGUUCUUGGGGGCAGCAUCAGCAAGUAGGGGUAAACGGCCUGAAUUAUCAGACACGGUGUGUUCUUCUAUGUCCUUUUUCUUUGUUCUUUUCCUUCUUAUUUUAUUUUUCCAUUUUGACAUUAUUUCUCCAAAUUUAUAAUAUGUUAUUUUCCUUCUUAUUUUCAUUGUAUGUCUGUUUUUUUGAGUAUUUGUUCAUUACCAUUUCAUCAUUGUUUAUUUCAUUAUUCUGUUUUCAUCAGUAUUGCCGCCCGUAGGCUAGCUGAUGGGGUCAUAGUCCUAGGGUAGGGUCAUAGGCCUGCCAUACAGGUCCUACCCAAGGACUACCCCACACAAAGGACAGGACCCUAAGUCUGCCCCGACUGAAUUAAGGAGUCCCCAUCAUCCAGUCGGUAACAGGCCCUGAAUCUUCCAGUCGGAGACUAGCAUUCGGAGCACACCAGGCUAACCGACUAAAUACACUCGGUACAUCGUAACCUCUCUGGAGAGAAACUGCCGUACGUUUCCGGGCGCAUUUAUUAGCGUUUAGAGCAUACGUUACCUGUAACGUACGCAUUCAACCCCCGUUACUCCACCCCUGUACCGGAACCGUUGUGGAGGGCAGCACACUCUAUAUAAGCCACCCUCCCCCACUGGUAAAGGGGUUAGCAAAUCAUUGUAUUCCAUAUUACACUCGGCAACACGCUCCGAGAGCACUGAGACGUAGGGCUGUUACCUCCACCGCAGAGGGGCCUGAACUCAUACAACCUCGCCGUAGCUAGGACUCUGCCCAUCUCAUUCGUACCCUACACAUCUACUGUCAGGCUUAUACCCACGACAGUUGGCACCCACCUUGGGGCAGGCGUCUAAGCGACUUCCGGCGAGUUUGCGACUACUUCCUUUCGUCAUGUCGACCGGCGGAGAUUCGAGCAUGGGUCACCUGAUCUUCUUCGGCGCCCUCUUCUUCAUCGUCGACGAUUCGGCGUGGCUUCGGGAGGCACCUCUCGACGUCGAGGCGCUUCCCCGUCGCGGGGCCACGCACUUCCGUGCCGGCGCUCGCGGCGUUCUUCUUCUCCAACAAUCGGCUCCGUUGUCGGCUUGUACCUCCAUCAUGCGCCGCAACAAGCGGUCCCGCAGUCCGCGUCUCCAACGUUGGGUGCAGCAUGCCCGAGCGCGUCAGAUCGCGUCUUCUCAAGUGGCAGUUCUGGAGUCUGUUGUGGUUGCCCCGCGUUUGAAAAGGACGUGGAUGUCGCCUAGAGGGGGGGGGUGAAUAGGCGCUUUAAAAUAGUUAAGGUUUAGGCUAGAACAAAUGCGGAAUAAAAGUAACGUUUAAUAUGUCAAGCACAAAACCUACAAACAACUAGGCUCACCUAUGUGCACCAACAACUUAUGCUAAGCAAGAUAAACAACUAAGUGAUAGCAAGAUAUAUUACAAUAAACAAUAUGUCUAUCACAAAGUAAAGUGCAUAAGUAAAGGGUUCGGGUAAGAGAUAACCGAGGCACGGGGAGACGAUGAUGUAUCCCGAAGUUCACACCCUUGCGGAUGCUAAUCUCCGUUAGAGCGGUGUGGAGGCACAAUGCUCCCCAAGAUGCCACUAAGGCCAUCGUAAUCUCUUCACGCCCUCGCACAAUGCAAGAUGUCAUGAUUCCACUAAGGGACCCUUGAGGGCGGUCAUCGAACCCGUACAAAUGGCAACCCUUGGGGGCGGUCACCGAACCCGUACAAAUGGCAACCCUUGGGGGCGGUCACCGAACCCGUACACGUGGCAACCCUUGGGGGCGGUUACCGGUACCUGUACAAAUUGCUCGGGGCAAUCUCCACAACCUAAUUGGUGACCCCGACGCUUCCCGGAGCUUCACACCACAAUGAUUGAGCUCCGAGACACCACCAAGCUUCUAGGACGCCAAAGCAUCCACGAAGAACAAUAUCAAGGGUAUUAAGUACCAAAGGUAGUAAGCUUCUCAACUUCUCACUUCCACGUAUCACCGUGGAGAACUCAAACCGAUGCAACUAAUGCAAUGGCAAGAACACACGAAGUGGUCAAGUCCCUCACACUCAAAUCCCUCCACAACAACAAAAGCUAUGGAGAAAUAUGAGAGGAAGAACAAGGAGCUCACAAAGAACUCCAAGAUCAAGAUCCAAGGGGUUCCCCUCACAUAGAGGAGAAAGUGAUUGGUGGAGAUGUGGAUCUAGAUCUCCUCUCUCUUUUCCCUCAAGAACAAGCAAGAAUCAUUGGAGGGAUAGAGAGUAAUCAAGCUCUAAGAAUGUCAAUAAUGGAGGUAGAACAAGAGCUCAACAGAUGGAUAAGACCAAGGGGGAAGAAGACCCCCUUUAUAUAGUGGGGGAAGGAAUCAGACCGUUACCCCCACUUUCUGCCCGAGCUCCAGCGGUACUACCGCUGGCUGCAGCGGUACUACCGCUGGCACUCCAGCGGUACUACCGCCAGCUAGCGGUACUACCGCUAGCUGCAGCGGUACUACCGCUGGCACUCCAGCGGUACUACCGCUGGGCCCAUGGUAGUGCAACGGCACUACCACCGCCAAGAAAGUCUUCGCAAAAAGGUCCGUCCACGAACAACCGCUAGACAGGCGGUACUAAGCUCCUGGAGCGGUACUACCGCUGACCAGGGGCGGUACUACUGCCAGUCAGCGGUACUACCACUAGGGCCAGCGGUACUACCGCCAACUCCAGCGGUACUACCGCUAGGUCCAGCGGUACUACCGCUCGCCACUGAAACAGCCAUAACUUUCGCAUACGAGCUCCGAAUCGAGCAAACCCAAGCUUGUUGGAUUCAGGACGACAAGGGCUAUCCAAACAACGGUUAUGAAUAUGCCAAUGAUAUAAAGAUGUGAGAUCUCUAUGAAUGAAGAACCGGCAAAAACUCCAACAUCGAAAACAUCAUAGUAGUUGCAUAUGGACUCCGUUUUCGAUGAACUCGAGCUUGUCAUGAAGAUGACCAUAAGCUCUAAAACUCACAAAGAGAAACACCAAAUAAGAACCAAGAAGUAUGAUGCAAGGAUGCAAAUGGUUUGAGCUCUCAACGAACGAUACGAUCAAGCUACUCACUUGAGAGCCCCCUUGAUAGUGCAGCAAUCUAUCCUAAAUAGAAAACCUAUCAAGGGCAAACCUAUACCUUACACCUCGUCCUCUUGAGCUAGAUGAUGAUGAUCUUGGCUUCCUCAAGAUGGACCACCUUUCUUGAUUGUGUUGGCUUGAUGAAGACUAGUUGAUUGCUCCCCCAUACUCACUAUGGGUGAGCCACUCUUCAGCAUAUCUUCACAAGUCCAUUGCCACCACAAUGGACGGCAAGCUUCAAGCAUGAUAUCUUCGUGCUGAUCCACUUGAACUUGCACAUCGCAAUCUUGAUGACGAUCACAACUUGACGUCAUACUCCAUGGGUUGUAUGAGAUCUUCCCUUUGACGCAAGCCCAUGGAAACACACCUAACCCCCACAUAGAACUCUCACGAAGACCAUGGGUUAGUACACAAACACGUAAUGGACAAUGCUUACCAUACCAUGGGAUCACUUGAUCCCUCUCGGUACAUCUUGUACGCUUUUUGUGUUGAUCAUCUUGAUUUACUCUUUGUCUAAGAUCUUGAUCAACCAUUGAUGAUGAUCACAUCUUGACGUCAUACUCCAUGGGUUGUAUGACAUCUUCCCUUUGACGCAAGCCCAUGUAAACACACCAUACCAUGGGAUCACUUGAUUCCUCUCGGUACAUCUUGUACGCUUUGUGUGUUGAUCAUCUUGAUUUACUCUUUGUCUGAGACCUUGAUCAACCAUGUGUCUCUAUGACCAUUCUUUGGAUAAUACCUUGAAUACCAUCUUGGUCAUCAUAUAAACUCCUUGAACCCAACAGAUGGACUUCAAGAAGUGCCUAUGGACAAAUCCAUACCAUGGGAUCACUUGAUCCAUACCAUGAGAUCACUUGAUCCCUCUCGGUACAUCUUGUACGCUUUGUGUGUUGAUCAUCUUGAUUUACUCUUUGUCUGAGAUCUUGAUCAACCAUGUGUCUCUAUGACCAUUCUUUGGAUACUACCUUGAAUACCAUCUUGGUCAUCAUAUAAACUCCUUGAACCCAACAGAUAGACUUCAAGAAGUGCCUAUGGACAAAUCCUAUAAAUGUAACUUAAGGCAACCAUUAGUCCAUAGGAAUUGUCAUCAAGUACCAAAACCACAUAUGGAGAUAUAUGUUCCAACAGCGUUCCUAGUGCUCGGGCUCGGUUCCGACUGAGUUCCCUUCCGAGUACGCAGGUCGCGGGCCUGCAGCAGAAGUACACAUGGCCAACUCCCAUGAAGAUCCCCGUCAAGCUGGCCGGAGCGAGCGCGAGAUCGGUGAAGCAUCCGGUGCACGCCGUCCACCUCGCCGUUCUGCCAGUCGGCACACUCGGCGGAGCAACGUACAGUUGUUCCGCACACCUCUCCUCAACUUGGCUGCGGCUGCCAAGAUUGCCGAUUCCCUCCACCCGACUGAUUCAGAGGCAGGAAGGGGAAUCGAGCAGAUCCGAGCUCUGUUGCACACGGCGCAGCAGCAGAAUUCGGCAGUCUCCCAGUCGCACAACCGAAUCUACAAUAGUUCCGUCCAUGCAAACACGCAUCGGUCGGUUCACAGCCCUGGUUCCCAUCAGCACCACAGGGGAGGCAGCCGCUCCAUGAUCCACGAAGAUCGCCGCCGCUCACGCACCCCUCCGCGGGGUGGGCCUAUGGGUCCCGGCAUCAUGAUGAUCGGCGUUCAGUCGGCGAAUCGCCCAGCGAAGGGUCGACAGGGGUCGAGCCCACCGCGAUGGUCACGAUAUGGGCCGUCCAAGCGGAAGCAGGACCAUCGUGUCCGGCCCCGAGUGUUUUAGUCGAGCCAUCCGCUCGGCUGACAUCCCGCCCAACUGUUGGAAUUAUGCCCUAGAGGCAAUAAUAAAUAUAGUUAUUAUUAUAAUUCCUGUAUCAAGAUAAUCGUUUAUUAUCCAUGCUAUAAUUGUAUUGAAUGAAGACUCAUUUACAUGUGUGGAUACAUAGACAAAACACCGUCCCUAGCAAGCCUCUAGUUGGCUAGCCAGUUGAUCAAAGAUAGUCAGUGUCUUCUGAUUAUGAACAAGGUGUUGUUGCUUGAUAACUGGAUCACGUCAUUAGGAGAAUCACGUGAUGGAUUAGACCCAAACUAAUAGACGUAGCAUGUUGAUCGUGUCAUUUUGUUGCUACUGUUUUCUGCGUGUCAAGUAUUUAUUCCUAUGACCAUGAGAUCAUAUAACUCACUGACACCGGAGGAAUGCUUUGUGUGUAUCAAACGUCGCAACGUAACUGGGUGACUAUAAAGAUGCUCUACAGGUGUCUCCGAAGGUGUUAGUUGAGUUAGUAUGGAUCAAGACUGGGAUUUGUCACUCCGUGUGACGGAGAGGUAUCUCGGGGCCCACUCGAUAAUACAACAUCACACACAAGCCUUGCAAGCAAUGUGACUUAGUGUAAGUUGCGGGAUCUACGGAACGAUUAAAGUGACUUGCCGGUAAACGAGAUUGAAAUAGGUAUAUGGAUACUGACGAUCGAAUCUCGGUCAAGUAACAUACCGAAGGACAAAGGGAAUGACAUACGGGAUUAUAUGAAUCCUUGGCACUGAGGUUCAAAUGAUAAGAUCUUCGUAGAAUAUGUAGGAUCCAAUAUGGGCAUCUAGGUCCCGCUAUUGGAUAUUGACCGAGGAGUCUCUCGGGUCAUGUCUACAUAGUUCUCGAACCCGCAGGGUCUGCACACUUAAGGUUCGACGUUGUUUUAUCCGUAUUUGAGUUAUAUGGUUGGUUACCGAAUGUUGUUCGGAGUCCCGGAUGAGAUCACGGACGUCACGAGUGUUUCCGGAAUGGUCCGGAAACGAAGAUUGAUAUAUAGGAUGACCUCAUUUAAUUACCGGAAGGUUUUCGGAGUUACCGGGAAUGUACCGGGAAUGACGAAUGGGUUCCGGGAGUUCACCGGGGGGGGCAACCCACCCCGGAGAAGCCCAUAGGCCUUGAGGGUGGCACACCAGCCCUUAGUGGGCUGGUGGGACAGCCCAAAAGGGCUCUAUGCGCCAAGAAGAAAAAAUCAAGAGAAAAGAAAAAAAGGGAGGAGGUGGGAAGGAAGGGGGACUCCCUCCCACCAAACCAAGUCCAACUCGGUUUGGGGGGGAGUCCUCCCCCCUUGGACUCGGCCGACCCCCUUGGGGCUCCUUGAGCCCCAAGGCAAGGUCCCCUCCCUCCCACCUAUAUAUACGGAGGUAUUGGGGCUGAUUUGAGACGACUUUUCCACGGCAGCCCGACCACAUACCUCCACGGUUUUUCCUCUAGAUCGCGUUUCUGCGGAGCUCGGGCGGAGCCCUGCUGAGACAAGGUCAUCACCAACCUCUGGAGCGCCGUCACGCUGCCGGAGAACUCUUGUACCUCUCCGUCUCUCUUGCUGGAUCAAGAAGGCCGAGAUCAUCGUCGAGUUGUACGUGUGCUGAACGCGGAGGUGCCGUCCGUUCGGUACUAGAUCGUGGGACUGAUCGCGGGAUUGUUCGCGGGGCGGAUCGAGGGACGUGAGGACGUUCCACUACAUCAACCGCGUUCUCUAACGCUUCUGCUGUACGGUCUACAAGGGUACGUAGAUCACUCAUCCCCUCUCGUAGAUGGACAUCACCAUGAUAGGUCUUCGUGCGCGUAGGAAAUUUUUUGUUUCCCAUGCGACGUUCCCCAACAGUGGCAUCAUGAGCUAGGUUCAUGCGUAGAUGUCUUCUCGAGUAGAACACAAAAGUCUUUGUGGGCGGUGAUGUGCGUUUUGCUGCCCUCCUUAGUAUUUUCUUGAUUCCGCAGUAUUGUUGGAUUGAAGCGGCUUGGACCGACAUUACUCGUACGCUUACGAGAGACUGGUUUCAUCGCUACGAGUAACCCCGUUGCUCAAAGAUGACUGGCAAGUGUCGGUUUCUCCAACUUUAGUUGAAUCGGAUUUGACCGAGGAGGUCCUUGGAUGAGGUUAAAUAGCAACUCAUAUAUCUCCGUUGUGGUGUUUGCGUAAGUAAGAUGCGAUCCUACUAGAUACCCAUGGUCACCACGUAAAACAUGCAACAACAAAAUUAGAGGACGUCUAACUUGUUUUUGCAGGGUAUGCUUGUGAUGUGAUAUGGCCAACGAUGUGAUGUGAUAUAUUGGAUGUAUGAGAUGAUCAUGUUGUAAUAGAAAAUAUCGACUUGCACGUCGAUGGUACGGCAACCGGCGGGAGCCAUAGGGUUGUCUUUAUACUAAUGUUUGUGCUUGCAGAUGCGUUCACUAUUUUUCUAGGAUGUAGCUUUAGUAGUAAUAGCAUGAGUAGCACGCCAACCCUGAUGGCAACACGUUGAUGGAAAUCAUGGUGUGGCGCUGGUGACAAGAAGAUCGUGUCGGUGCUUUGAUGAUGGAGAUCAAGAAGCACAUGAUGAUGGCCAUAUCAUGUCACUUAUGAAUUGCAUGUGAUGUUAAUCCUUUUAUGCACCUUGUUUUGCUUAGAACGACGGUAGCAUUAUGAGGUGAUCUCUCACUAAAAUUUCAAGACGAAAUUGUGUUCUCCCCGACUGUGCACCGUUGCUACAGUUCAUCGUUUCGAGACACCACGUGAUGAUCGGGUGUGAUAGACUCAACGUUCACAUACAACGGGUGCAAAACAGUUGCGCACGCGGAACACUCGGGUUAAGCUUGACGAGCCUAGCAUGUGCAGACAUGGCCUCGGAACACAUGAGACCGAAAGGUCGAUCAUGAAUCAUAUAGAUGAUAUGAUUAGCAUAGGGAUGCUUACCACUGAAACUAUGCUCAACUCACGUGAUGAUCGGACUUGAGCUAGUGUAAGUGGAUCAUGAACCACUCAAAUGACUAAAGAGAUGUACUUUUUGAGUGGGAGUUUAGCGAAUAAAUUGAUUAAGUUAAACUCUAAUUAUCUUGAACAUAGUCUAAGUCCACUUUGAAUAUAUUUGUGUUGUAGAUCAUGGCUCACGCGACAGUCAUCCUGAAUUUUAAUACGUUCCUAGAGAAAGCUAAGUUGAAAGAUGAUGGAAGCAACUUUGUAGACUGGGCUCGUAAUCUUAAGCUAAUCUUACAAGCUGGGAAGAAGGAUUAUGUCCUUAAUGCUGCGCUAGGAGAUGAACCACCCGCUACGGCUGAUCAGGAUGUUAAGAACGCUUGGUUAGCACGUAAGGAGGACUACUCAAUAGUUCAAUGUGCAGUCUUGUAUGGCUUAGAACCGGGACUUCAACGUCGCUUUGAGCGUCAUGGAGCAUUUGAGAUGUUCCAAGAGUUGAAGUUUAUCUUUCAGAAGAACGCCCGGAUCGAGAGGUAUGAGACCUCCGAUAAAUUCUAUGCUUGCAAGAUGGAGGAAAACUCGUCUGUCAGUGAACAUGUGCUCAAAAUGUCUGGGUACUCAAACCGUCUAGCUGAGCUGGGGAUUGAACUCCCACAAGAAGCUAUCACUGACAGAAUCCUUCAAUCACUGCCGCCAAGCUAUAAAGGCUUUGUGUUGAACUACAACAUGCAAGGGAUGAACAAGUCUCCCGGCGAGUUGUUUGCGAUGCUGAAAGUCGCACAGUCUGAACUCCGUAAAGAGCAUCAAGUGUUGAUGGUGAAUAAGACCACUAGUUUCAAGAGAAACGGCAAGGGCAAGAAGGGUAAUUCGAAGAAGAGCGGCAAGCCUGUUGCCAAUCCAACGAAGAAACCCAAAGCUGGACCUAAGCCUGAAACAGAGUGUUACUAUUGCAAGGGUAUGGGUCACUGGAAGCGCAAUUGCCCCAAGUAUGUGGCAGAUAAGAAGGCGGCCAAAGAAAAAUCAGGUAUAUUUGAUAUACAUGUUAUUGAUGUGUACUUAACCGACUCUCGUAGUAGUGCCUGGGUAUUCGACACCGGUUCUGUUGCUCAUAUUUGCAACUCGAAACAGGAACUGCGGAAUAGACGAAGGCUAGCGAAAGAUGAAGUGACGAUGCGCGUAGGAAAUGGUUCCAAGGUUGAUGCAAUCGCCGUCGGCACAGUGUCACUUCAGUUACCAUCAGGAUUAGUGAUGAACUUAAAUCAUUGUUAUUUAGUGCCUGCGUUGAGCAUGAACAUUAUAUCUGGAUCUUGUUUAUUGCGAGACGGUUACUCUUUUAAGUCAGAGAAUAAUGGUUGUUCUAUUUCUAUGAGUAACAUCUUUUAUGGUCAUGCACCGAAUGUGAGAGGAUUGUUCAUAUUGAAUCUUGAUAGCGAUACACAUAUACAUAACAUUGAGACCAAAAGAGUUAGAGUUAACAAUGAUAGCGCCAUAUUUUUGUGGCACUGCCGCUUAGGUCAUAUUGGUGUAAAGCGCAUGAAGAAACUCCAUGCUGAUGGACUUUUGGAGUGACUUGACUUUGAUUCACUUGACACGUGCGAACCAUGCCUCAUGGGCAAGAUGACUAAGACUCCGUUCUCCGGAACAAUGGAGCAUGCAAGUGCCUUGUUGGAAAUCAUACAUACCGAUGUGUGUGGUCCGAUGAGCGUGGAGGCACGCGGCGGAUAUCGUUAUUUUCUCACCUUCACGGACGAUUUGAGUAGAUAUGGUUAUGUCUACUUGAUGAAGCACAAGUCUGAAACAUUUGAAAAGUUCAAACAAUUUCAGAGUGAAGUGGAAAAUCAUCGUAACAAGAAGAUCAAGUUCCUACGGUCUGAUCGUGGGGGUGAAUAUCUGAGUUUCGAGUUUGGUGCUCACUUAAGACAAUGUGGAAUUGUUUCACAGUUAACAUCGCCUGGAACACCACAGCGUAAUGGUGUGUCCGAACGUCGUAAUCGUACUCUAUUAGAGAUGGUGCGAUCCAUGAUGUCUCUUACCGAUUUGCCGUUGUCAUUUUGGGGUUAUGCAUUAGAAACAGCUGCAUUCACUUUAAAUAGGGUACCAUCAAAAUCCGUUGAGACGACACCAUUCGAACUGUGGUAUGGUAAAAGGCCAAAGUUGUCUUUUCUUAAAGUUUGGGGAUGUGAUGCUUAUGUCAAAAAGCUUCAGCCUGAAAAGCUGGAACCCAAAGCGGAAAAGUGCGUCUUCAUAGGUUACCCAAAAGAGACAGUUGGGUACACCUUCUAUCUCAAAUCCGAGGGCAAAGUGUUUGUUGCUAAAAACGGAGCUUUUCUCGAGAAGGAGUUUCUCUCGAGAGAAUUGAGUGGGAGGAAGAUAGAACUUGACGAGGUUGUCGAACCUCUCAUCCCUCUGGAUGGUGGCGCAGGGCAAGGGGAAACCUCUGUCGUUGCGACGCCGGUUAAGGAGGAAGUUAAUGAUGAUGAUCAUGAAACUCCAGUUCAAGUUUCUGUCGAACCACGCAGGUCGACGAGACCACGUGCUGCUCCAGAGUGGUACGGAAAUCCCGUCUUAUCAAUCAUGUUGUUAGACAACAAUGAACCUGCAAAUUAUGAAGAAGCAAUGGUGGGCCCAGAUUCCAACAAAUGGCUAGAAGCCAUGAAGUCCGAGAUAGGAUCCAUGUAUGAGAACAAAGUAUGGACUUUGGAGGUACUACCUGAGGGCCGCAAGGCUAUUCAGAACAAAUGGAUCUUUAAGAGGAAGACGGACGCUGACGGCAAUGUGACCGUUUAUAAAGCUCGACUUGUGGCAAAAGGUUUUUCACAAGUUCAAGGAGUUGACUACGAUGAAACAUUCUCACCCAUAGCGAUGCUUAAGUCCGUCAGAAUCAUGUUAGCAAUAGCUGCAUUUUUCGAUUAUGAAAUCUGGCAGAUGGAUGUCAAAACAGCGUUCCUUAACGAUUUCCUUAAGGAAGAGUUGUAUAUGAUACAACCCGAAGGUUUUGUCGAUCCUAAGAAUGCUAACAAGGUGUGCAAGCUCCAGGGAUCCAUUUAUGGACUGGUGCAAGCAUCUCGGAGUUGGAACAAACGCUUUGAUGAGGUGAUCAAAGCAUUUGGGUUUAUACAAGUGGUUGGAGAAUCUUGUAUUUACAAGAAAGUGAGUGGGAGCUCUGUGGCGUUUCUAAUAUUAUAUGUGGAUGACAUAUUACUGAUUGGAAACAACGUAGAGUUUUUGGAGAGCAUAAAGGGUUACUUGAAUAAAAGUUUCUCUAUGAAGGACCUAGGAGAAGCUGCUUACAUUCUAGGCAUUAAGAUCUAUAGGGAUAGAUCAAAACGCCUGAUAGGACUUUCACAAAGAACAUACCUUGAUAAAGUUUUGAAGAGGUUCAAAAUGGAACAGUCCAAGAAAGGGUUCUUGCCAGUUCUACAAGGUACGAGAUUGAGUAAGACUCAGUGCCCAGCAACUGAUGAAGAUAGAGAGCAUAUGCGCUCCGUCCCCUAUGCUUCAGCCAUAGGUUCUAUCAUGUAUGCAAUGUUGUGCACUAGACCGGAUGUUAGCCUGGCCAUAAGUAUGGCAGGUAGGUUUCAGAGUAAUCCAGGAGUGGAUCACUGGACAGCGAUCAAGAAUAUCCUGAAGUACCUGAAAAGGACUAAGGAGUGUAUGGAGGUGACGAAGAGCUCGCUGUAAAAGGUUACGUCGAUGCAAGCUUUGACACAGAUCUGGACGACUCUAAGUCGCAAACCGGAUACGUAUUUAUUCUUAAUGGGGGUGCGGUAAGCUGGUGCAGUUCCAAGAAAAGCGUCGUAGCAGAUUCUACAUGUGAAGCGGAGUACAUGGCUGCCUCGGAGGCGGCCAAGGAGGGUGUCAGGAUGAAGCAGUUCAUGACGGAUCUUGGAGUGGUGCCAAGCACACUGAAUCCAAUAACCUUGUUCUGUGACAACACGGGUGCCAUUGCCUUAGCAAAGGAACCACGGUUUCACAAGAAAACCAGACACAUCAAACGACGCUUCAACCUCAUCCGCGACUACGUCGAGGGAGAGGACGUAAAUAUAUGCAAAGUGCACACGGAUCUGAAUGCAGCAGACCCGCUGACUAAACCUCUUCCACGGCCAAAGCAUGAUCAACACUAGAACUGUAUGGGUGUUAGAUUUAUUACAAUGUAAUUCACAUGAUGAUGUGAGGGCUAGAUUAUUGACUCUAGUGCAAGUGGGAGACUGUAGGAAUUAUGCCCUAGAGGCAAUAAUAAAUAUAGUUAUUAUUAUAAUUCCUGUAUCAAGAUAAUCGUUUAUUAUCCAUGCUAUAAUUGUAUUGAAUGAAGACUCAUUUACAUGUGUGGAUACAUAGACAAAACACCGUCCCUAGCAAGCCUCUAGUUGGCUAGCCAGUUGAUCAAAGAUAGUCAGUGUCUUCUGAUUAUGAACAAGGUGUUGUUGCUUGAUAACUGGAUCACAUCAUUAGGAGAAUCACGUGAUGGACUAGACCCAAACUAAUAGACCUAGCAUGUUGAUCGUGUCAUUUUGUUGCUACUGUUUUCUGCGUGUCAAGUAUUUAUUCCUAUGACCAUGAGAUCAUAUAACUCACUGACACCGGAGGAAUGCUUUGUGUGUAUCAAACGUUGCAACGUAACUAGGUGACUAUAAAGAUGCUCUACAGGUGUCUCCGAAGGUGUUAGUUGAGUUAGUAUGGAUCAAGACUGGGAUUUGUCACUCCGUGUGACGGAGAGGUAUCUCGGGGCCCACUCGGUAAUACAACAUCACACACAAGCCUUGCAAGCAAUGUGACUUAGUGUAAGUUGCGGGAUCUUGUAUUACGGAACGAGUGAAGAGACUAGCCGGUAAACGAGAUUGAAAUAGGUAUACGGAUACUGACGAUCGAAUCUCGGGCAAGUAACAUACCGAAGGACAAAGGGAAUGACAUACGGGAUUAUAUGAAUCCUUGGCACUGAGGUUCAAACGAUAAGAUCUUCGUAGAAUAUGUAGGAUCCAAUAUGGGCAUCCAGGUCCCGCUAUUGGAUAUUGACCGAGGAGUCUCUCGGGUCAUGUCUACAUAGUUCUCGAACCCGCAGGGUCUGCACACUUAAGGUUCGACGUUGUUUUAUGCGUAUUUGAGUUAUAUGGUUGGUUAACGAAUGUUGUUCGGAGUCCCGGAUGAGAUCACGGACGUCACGAGGGUUUCCGGAAUGGUCCGGAAACGAAGAUUGAUAUAUAGGAUGACCUCAUUUAAUUACCGAAAGUUUUUCGGAGUUACCGGGAAUGUACCGGGAAUGGCGAAUGGGUUCCGGAAGUUCACCGGGGGGGAGCAACCCACCCCGGGGAAGCCCAUAGGCCAUGAGGGUGGCGCACCAGCCCUUAGUGGGCUGUUGGGACAGCCCAAAAGGGCCCUAUGCGCCAUACAAAAGAAAAUCAAAGAGAAAGAAAAAAAAGGGAGGUGGGAAGGAAGGGAAGGACUCUCACCCACCAAACCAAGUCCAACUCGGUUUGGGGGGAGCCUUCCCCCCUUGGACUCGGCCGACCCCCUUGGGGCUCCUUGAGCCCCAAGGCAAGGUACCCUCCCUCCCACCUAUAUAUACGGAGGUAUUGGGGGUGAUUUGAGACGACUUUUCCACGGCAGCCCGACCACAUACCUCCACCGUUUUUCCUCUAGAUCGCGUUUCUGCGGAGCUCGGGCGGAGCCCUGCUGAGACAAGGUCAUCACCAACCUCCGGAGCGUCGUCACGCUGCCGGAGAACUCUUCUACCUCUCCGUCUCUCUUGCUGGAUCAAGAAGGCCGAGAUCAUCGUCGAGCCGUACGUGUGCUGAACGCGGAGGUGCCGUCCGUUCGGUACUAGAUCGUGGGACUGAUCGCGGGAUUGUUCGCGGGGCGGAUCGAGGGACGUGAGGACGUUCCACUACAUCAACCGCGUUCUCUAACGCUUCUGCUGUACGGUCUACAAGGGUACGUAGAUCACUCAUCCCCUCUCGUAGAUGGACAUCACCAUGAUAGGUCUUCGUGCGCGUAGGAAUAUUUUUGUUUCCCAUGCGACGUUCCCCAACACCAACUUCCGAUUGGCCGCGGGAAUCGGUAAAUUUACGGGGGAAUCCAAGCCUGAAACAUGGCUAGACGACUACCGAGUGGCAGUUCAGAUCGGAGGAGGGGACGACCAUGUCGCUAUGAAGCACCUCCCUCUGAUGCUCAACGGCUCGGCGUGAGCGUGGCUGAACCAGUUGGCCCCCUCGAGCAUUUACAGUUGGGCAGAUCUGGCCCGAGUGUUCAUCAGGACUUUUGAAGGGACGUGCAAACGCCCUGCAGGCCUUGUGAAGCUCCAGCACUGUGUCCAGAAGCCGAAUGAGCCCCUGCGCGACUUCAUCCAGCGUUGGACAACCCUCUACCACACGGUGGAGAACGUCACCGAGCAUCAAGCAGUGUGCGCCUUCAAGGCAGGCGUGCGGUACAGAGAGCUGUACCUAAAGUUCGGUCGAACAGGCGACAUCUCCAUGAGCAAGAUGAUGGAGAUAGCAGCUCGCUAUGCAAAUGGCGAGGAAGAGGACCGCAUCCGGAGCGGCAAGCACAAGACAGUCGGCGAUGUCGACGGAGGUAAUACUCGGAAGCAGAAACAUAAGGUUCCGCCCACACCGCAAGCAGAAGCUGUAGUCGUGACUAGUGCCAAGUUCAAGGGCAAAGGGAAGGCGCAGUUUACCCCCAAGAAGAAGCCAUUCAACAAUCCUAUCUUGGACCAGCCUUGUCCGGUUCACACGAAGAUGGACGAAGAAGGCAACCCCAUAUACGCAAAGCAUACCACUCGACAGUGUCGUCUCCUGAUCCAGGGGUUCAGCGAGGGACAACCGAGUGAGAAGGAUCCUGAACAAGAUGAGGAGGAUAAGGAGGAUCAGUUCCCCCAAGUCCAUGCAACCCUCAUGAUUUUUGCUGACAUCGAAAGCAAGAGUCGACUGAAGCUGGUGAACAGGGAGGUCAACAUGGCCGUUCCGACCAACCCCAAGUUCCUUAAAUGGUCUCAGACUGCGAUCACCUUUGACCAGUCGGAUCAUCCAGCGCAUAUACCCACCCCAGGAAGACAGGCUCUGGUCGUCGACCCGGUGGUGGAAGGAGUCCGACUACGCAAAGUCCUCAUGGACGGCGGUAGCGGGCUGAACAUCAUGUACGCCGACACUCUCAAGGGAAUGGGCAUUCCGAUGUCCAGACUCAGCGAGAGCAGUAUGCAGUUCCACGGAGUCGUCCCUGGACGGAAGGCCAAGUCACUCGGCCAGAUCGCGCUGGACGUCGUUUUCGGCUCCGACAAGAACUUUCGCAAGGAGAAGCUCACAUUUGAGGUGGUGGAUUUCCAGAGCGCUUACCAUGCAAUUCUGGGCCGUCCAGCAUAUGUGAGCUUCAUGGCACGUCCAUGCUAUAUAUACUUGAAGUUGAAGAUGCCAGGCCCGAAAGGCGUGAUCACCAUCACGGGCAACCGUCAGCGAGCCGAAGAGUGUUUGCAGCAGGGAUCAAGAAUCGCCGAUCAGCAGAUGGUUGUACUUGAGCUCGACGAGUACAAGAAGACAGUCGACCCUGCCGACCUGAUGCGCUCAAAGAAACCAGCUUCUGAGUCCACGUUUCAGUCGGCGGGGGAGACGAAGAAGGUCAGCAUCCACCCGACGGACGACUCUGCCGCCCCGACGAACAUCUCCACCACCCUCGAUCCUAAAUAGGAAGCCGAGCUCACCCAAUUCCUCCGUGAGAACUGGGACAUCUUCGCAUGGAAACCCUCUGACAUGCCAGGUGUGCCCAGGGAGUUGGCUGAGCACCGACUGCAUGUGGAUCCCGUCGCUCGGCCAGUUCGAGAGCGCCUGCGCCGGUCCGCCGCGCACAAGAGGAAGGCGAUCGGAGAAGAGGUGGCCAAGUUGUUGGCCGCCAACUUCAUUCGCGAGGUUCACCACUCCGAGUGGCUCGCAAAUGUUGUCAUGGUGCCCAAGAAGGACAAGUCGCUCCGAAUGUGCAUCGACUUCAAGCAUCUCAACAAGGUCUGCCCGAAAGACCAUUUUCCGCUCCCCUGCACAGAUCAAAUUGUCGAUUCGACUGCGGGAUGCGAGCGUUUGUCGUUUCUUGAUGCCUACUCGGGCUAUCAUCAGAUCCGUUUGUAUGGUCCCGAUGAGUUAAAAACAGCCUUCAUCACCCCAUUCGGGUGCUUCUGCUACAUCACUAUGCCUUUCGGUCUGAAGAAUGCAGGAGCUACCUUUAUGCGCAUGAUCCAAAAAUGUCUCCUCGACCAGAUCGGUCGGAAUGUGGAGGCAUAUAUGGUUGAUAUCGUAGUCAAGUCACACAAAGGUUCCGACCUGCUGACUGACUUGGCAGAAACAUUCGCCAACCUUCGUAGGUACGAUAUCAAGCUCAACCCAGCCAAAUGUUCAUUCGGUGUUCCCAGCGGAAAGUUACUCGGUUUCUUCGUUUCCGAACGAGGGAUCGACGCCAACCCCGAAAAGAUCGGGACCAUCGUCUGAAUGGAGAGGCCGGUCAGAAUACACGAUGUUCAACGGCUCACAGGUUGCCUAGCGGCUUUGAGCAGGUUCAUCAGUCGACUCGGCGAGAAAGCACUUCCUCUGUACCGACUCAUGAAGAAAUCAGAUACCUUCGAGUGGACAGACGAAGCCCAAGUCGCACUCGACGACCUCAAAGUCCUACUUUCCACCCAGCCGGUUCUUACUGGUCCGCUCAGUAAAGAGCCCCUUCUUCUAUAUAUCGCGGCUACAAACCAAGUCGUCAGUACUGUUCUUACAGUCGAGCAAGAAGAAGAAGGCAAAGCAUACAAAGUUCAGAGGCCAGUGUACUACGUCUCCGAAGUCCUGACUCCUUCCAAGCAGAGGUAUCCCCAUUAUCAAAAACUUAUCUAUGGGAUCUAUAUGACUGCGAAGAAGGUGGCCCAUUAUUUCCAAGACCACUCGGUAUCUGUCGUUUCUGAUGCUCCGUUGUCGGAAAUUCUCCACAAUCGAGACGCGUCAGGCCGAGUGGCGAAGUGGGCAAUGGAGAUGUUGUACUGUGACAUCAAGUUCGAGGCCAAGAAAGCUAUUAAGUCUCAAGCCCUGGCUGACUUUAUAGCAGAAUGGGUAGAACAACAGCAACCGACCCACAUCUACUCGGCUCAUUGGACAAUGUUCUUCGAUGGGUCUAAGAUGUUGAAUGGCUCCGGCGCUGGUGUUGUGAUCAUAUCACCAAAGGGCGACAAGCUCAAGUACGUGGUGUAGAUACACUUUGAUUCCUCCAACAACGAGGCAGAGUAUGAAGCUCUCCUCUACGGAUUGUGCAUGGCCAUCUCACUCGGCGUCCGUCGCUUGAUGGUCUACGGCGAUUCGGAUUUGGUGGUCAAUCAAGUGAUGAAAGAGUGGGACGUAAGGAACCCCGCCAUGACAACAUACUGCAAUGCAGUGAGAAGCUGAAGAAGAAGUUUGAAGGUCUAGAGCUCCAUCAUGUUCCCAGACUGAAGAACCAAGCAGCUGACGAGUUGGCAAAACUCGGAUCCACUCGGAGACCAGUCCCGAGUGAUGUCUGCCUCGAGCACCUCCAUCUUCCCUCAGUCAAAGAAGAUCCCUUCACAGAAGAACCGGUACAACCCAAGAGCGCAACAGAUCCGACGGAAGUCGAUGUACCUGCUGUGGUUGAUCUGGUCAUGGAGAUUCUGGCUGUCAUUCCCGAUUGGACUGUGCCGAUCAUUGCAUAUAUCCUGAAGCAAGAACUUCCAGAAGACGAAGUCCAAGCCAGGCAAAUAGUUCGCAGGUCGAAGGCAUUCACUGUCAUUGAUGGCCAAUUGUACAAGGAGAAGGAAGGGCAGUUGAUCCUAGAGGAUAUUCACUCGGGAACCUGCGGUCAUCACGCUUCUUCGAGAGCAAUCGUCGCCAAGGCAUUCAUAGCCGGUUUCUUUUGGCUGCAGGCAAACGAGAUGGCUAAAGAUAUGGUCGACCGAUGUGAAGGCUGUCAGUUCUACUCCAACAAGUCCCACAAGCCAACAUCUGCAUUAAAGACGAUCCCACUUGUGUGGCCAUUUGCAGUUUGGGGAUUAGAUACAGUCGGACCAUUCAAGACAGGCCAAGGAGGCUACACACAUCGGUUGCUGGCAGUCGACAAGUUUACAAAAUGGAUAGAAGCCAAGCCCAUCAAGAAACUCGAUGCCUCAACAGCUGUCAAGUUUGUCAGGGACAUCAUUUCCAGAUUCGGGGUACCUCACAGCAUAAUCACGGACAACGGGACAAACUUCGACUCGGACAGAUUCAAAGGUUUCUGUGCGAGCAAGGUAUCCGAGUGGAUUUCGCUUCCGUGGCACAUCCCCAAUCCAACGGACAAGCCGAAUGGGCGAAUGGGCUUAUUCUUCAAGGUUUGAAGCCCCGACUCCUGCGAGAGGUGGGACACGCUACAGGUGCAUGGGUCACCGAGCUACCUUCAGUGCUUUGGGGCCUCCGCACCACUCCGAACAGAUCAACGGGGAGAUCCCCGUUCUUCCUCGUUUAUGGAGCAGAAGCGGUCCUUCCGAGUGACCUGCUUCACGAUGCCCCACGAGUCGAACUCUUCUCCGAAGCUAAAGCAGAACAAGCAAGGCAAGAUGGAGUCGGUCUUCUAGAGGAGGAGCGCGAGAUGGCACUUACUCGCUCAACAAUUUACCAGCAAGAUCUGUGACACUUUCAUGCGCGUCAUGUCAGGAGUCGCACAUUUCAAGCAGGCGAUUUAGUGCUCCGAGUGGAUCAGCAAAGACCCCACAAGUUGGCUCCGGCCUGGGAAGGGCCUUUCAUCAUCUCCAAGGUGCUGAACAACGGAGCAUACAGACUCUACAACAUUCAGAGGGAGACAGACGAGCCGCGGCAUGGAACGGAGAUCUCCUCAAGCGCUUUUAUACGUGAUUGUCGACUGAAGCAGUGUAACGAACAAGUUUUGAUGAAAUAAUAUACAACAGAUUCAGUUUUUUGCAGAUUCAGAGUUCUUCCACGGUCGCAGACUCCGGUCACACACACACACAAAAAAAACUUAGCUGCGAUCCUGAAUCGCCUAAGUACUAACUUCCUCCGAGUGUGCACUACACGUCGCACUCGGGGACUUAGCUGUGAUCAAGAAUCACCUAAGUAAUAACUUACUCCGAGUGUGCACUACAAGUCGCACUCGGGGACUUAGCUGUGAUCAAGAAUCACCUAAGUAAUAACUUACUCCGAGUGUGCACUACACGUCGCACUCGGGGACUUAGCUGCGAUCCCUGAAUUGCCUAAGUACUAACUUCCUACCGAGUGUGCACUACACGUCGCACGUCGGGGACUUAGCUGUGACUCAAGAAUCACCUAAGUAAUAACUUACUCCGGAGUGUGCAGUACACGUCGCACUCGGGGACUUAGCUGCGAUCCCGAAUCGCCUAAGUACUAACUUCCUCCAAGUGUGCACUACACGUCGCACUUGGGGACUUAGCUGUGAUCAAGAAUCACAUAAGUAAUAACUUCCUCCGAGUGUGCACUACACGUCGCACUCGGGGACUUAGCUGUGAUCAAGAAUCACCUAAGUAAUAACUUCCUCCGAGUGUGCACUACACGUCGCACUCGGGGACUUAGUUAUGAUCAAGAAUCACCUAAGUAAUAACUUCCUCCGAGUGUGCACUACACGUCCCACUCGGGGACUUAGCUGUGAUCAAGAAUCACCUAAGUAUUAAUAUUCUCCGAGUAUGCACUAAACGUCGCACUCGAAACAGCAUUCAAACAAAAGACUAAAUGCUUUCAUUCCGAUUCCAAAAGUCUAGAAAGGAUAGCUAACUCGGUGCGGAUCAAGCUUACCCACACCGAUUUAAAAGUAUGACGGCCAACAGAAGUGGCCAGAGUACCUUACAGAUAAACACUCGGCAUACCGAGGACAAAGUUUUAUUACGCGUAGCCGGGCCGGUGCCAGGACUGGAGGGCUCCACGAAAGUGUCCAAGUCGAUUCCAUCGGCGAUGCAGGUAGCACUCUCAAGGAACGUCUCCAUGAAGUCUUCGAAUCGAAGCUUCUUCGUGUUGGCGACCUUCAGUGUCUUCAGCUUCUCUUCCGCACCUCCUUGCAAUGGACUCGGACCAAGGACAGGGCAACAUCAGCACCGCAAUGCGCCGCCGAUUUCUUGCACGAUUGCACUCGGCUCGGAAUCUCCUCCACUAGCGCCAUCAGGGUCUCCAUCUCCUGCCGCGACUCGUCUUCUGGCCAAAGUUCCUUGUCAAUUCGGCCAACGACCUCUCUCAGUCGACCGAUGAAAGGACCCACUUUGCCUACGCGGAUAUGCGCCCGGAGCAGAUCCCGAUUGGCGUCCUCGCCGAGUGGCACGUUGUCCUCAAUGGACCGCUCCACAGCCGACGCUUCAGCUUCAGCAUCAACGCAAAAGUCUGCAACACAAGGGCAAGUAUACAAUAAACACCGAGUGUAACACACACGGUACAAGCACUCGGCAAAACAUAAGGCUUACCAGCCAGACGAGUCAUCAUCUGCCCAGCCCAGUCGUUGACAUACUUCUCCUGAGCUAUGCAUCAUCUAUUCUGGACAGCCAUCUGAUUCAUGAGAACAGUCCUUUGUUUCCCCAUUCUUUCCACCUCCUCCGUCAACACCUUGUUCGCCUCCCGAGCCUCCUCCAGGGACUUCUCUCGUCCCUCCAGAGCAUCCUUCAUGCCGGCCAUGGCGAGCAUAGCAGCAUCAAGUUCACCAGCGAACUGGUUCCUCUCCGCUCUCAGGGCCUCAUAGGCCGUCCCCAUUUCACAAGUUUUGUGCCACCAAGAAACAAAGGACAAUCAGCAAGUUCAACAGUUAACAGUCUAAGUUCUUCAGACCCCUGCCGACGCAAGCAGUCGACAGCGGUCUUGGGGACUACACCCAGUGGGUUCACUGAGAGUGACCCCACUGGCAUGCACCUCAAGCAGGCAUGUCCUAUUGAGAUGCAUGUUAUCACCUACGCCUCCGAGGCCAAUACUACCCGACCUGAGUACAACUUACUCUCGGGGACUCUUACCAUAAGUGCACUCCGACUGCAACAAAUACUCGCACUCGGUAAUCCUAUCUACAGACACAACCAAACUCAAGGCGAAAUGUAUAAAGACAACUGUCGGUGCAAGCACUCGACAGAAGUCUCAGGGACUACACCCACUGGGUUCACUCAGAGUGAACCCAUUGCAAACAACACCCGCUAUUCAAGAACACCCAGUGGGUUACAGGGGAAAAGUAAAUACUGACUAGACCACUUACUCGGAUAUCAUCGCGCAGCUCCAAGCUCCGCUGGUACAAGGCCGCAACGGAGUCAUAAGCCCUCUUGGCUUCUCCAGCCAUCAGCUCCGCCUGCACCAUAGCCCCCUUGGCCGCUCCCACCUGCUCCUCCGGAAGACGCCGGAUGCUGAAUUCAACAUUCGACGAACCUGGAAUCGUCGGAGGUUCCUGGGGCAUCCCAAGGUCCGCCCCAGUCGGCUCCUCCCCCACCAGCACUGGUUCAGUCGGUGGCGGCGCUUCAGUCGGCGGGACGUCGGCGACAGGAGCGGCAGCAGGAGGAGCAGCCUCAAGAACAGGCUCCACGGCGGGGUCGGCUCUCCCCUGGUCGUCCUCGUCCAGGCAAAUCGCCCCUGACAAGCCGAAUGACAUGACGUCUUAGAAAAAGAAAGAAACAAGCCCUAUGAUAGAAUUGGAGACGCGAUGGGAUAAAACACCCGACUCUCCUACAACGCACCUGGCUGGGACGAAACGACGUUGUCCGUAUCCAUGGGGUCGUCCCCUUGGCGGGCCGGAGAGGUGGCAGAGGUAGCGACCCUGUCGAGUGAAAUCCAUUCGACCUGUAAACAGGAGUUCACUCGGAUAACAGAAAGAGCCGAAAGCUAGAUACACUUACGUGGAGGUGACAGGGAUAGCAACCCUCAUUCGCGGCAGAGCCUUCCGAGGCUUAGGCCCACUCGGCUUGGGCGCCCUGGAAGACUGGCCCGCGGGCUCAGCGGCGGCGUCCCUCGCCCUCUUGGUGCCUCGAACACUCGGGACCACCGAAGCACUAGGCGGAGCACUCGACGACGCAGGAGGAGCUGAAGGGACGGCGGGCUCGUGUCGGCGCUUGGUCCGAUGCUCUGGUCGUGGAGGUGGCGAGUCUUGCUCCUCAUCUUCUUCCUCUUCCUCGCUGUCCUCCUCCUCCGAUUCCCCGCUGUCGGAGACGUAUUCGGCGCUCUCCACGCUGCCCUCCUGGCUGCCUUCCUCCUCUUCCUCCUUCGGAUUCCCAUUCGAGACGGGGGAGAACCAGUUGGUCCACGCCUGCAUAAAGUUCAGUCGGAAACAUUAGGCAUCACACGGAGAUAUAAGCAAACGACUGGAAUUAAGACAGUUCAAUGCACUUGACAAGUGCCACUCACCUGAUUCGGUGGAGGAUGAUCCGCGUUGUAAGGCUUCACUCGGCGAGCUCCUUGGGGAUUCCCACAGGGACCCGUGAUUUGGACCACCCACGAGGUCACCCUCUCCUCGGUCACGCCCACCACGUUGGUCCGAGUGGAGUCUUCGGGCCCCGUGUAAUGCCACAUAGCAUGGUCGCGAGCCUGCAGAGGCUGGAUCCGCCGACCAAGGAAGACUUCCAGCAGGUCUAUACCGGUGACCCCCCUCCUGACGACAUCCACGAGUGCCUCAACCAAAGGCUGGAUGUCGUUCUUCUUGGCCUUCGAGAGCGCGAGCUGCUUAGGCGGGGCGGGCCAGUCUAGACUAAAAGGAGGCAGCCCAGUCGAUGCAUUCGGACAGGCGAUGUCCUGGCAGUAGAACCACGUCGACUGCCAGUUCCUAACCGACUCACUCAACUGGAGAGCAGGAUAGCUACUCCGACUCUUCUUCUGGAAUCCUAAACCUCCGCAGAGCUGGAGGAGGUGCGUCUUAUCAUCCGACUGACUAAGACGUUUGAUAGUUUGGGAUCGGGCGGAGAAGAUGUGUUUGAACAAACCCCAAUGGGGGGGCAACCGAUGAAACACUCGCACAAAACAAUAAAGGCAGAAAGAUGGGCGAUGGCAUUCAGAGGAAAGUGGUGAAGUUGGGCCCCGAAGUGAUUCAUGAUGCCCUUAAAGAAAGGAUGCGGGGGCAAAGAAAUACCUCGGUGGACAUGGCUGAGAAGCAAGACGCGCUCCCCCUCCCGAGGCGCUGGCUCGACCUCGUCGUCCGCCGACAGUCUCCAGGACUUAUGAACGAGCAUCCCGUGCUCCACCAGCUCCAGCAGAUCUCCCUCCGUCACCGUGGAGGGGAGGAAGUCUCCUUGGAUCCACCCCGCCGGCAGCGGCCGCUGCCGCCGCUGGGCAGCCGUCGCCGCCUUGCUCUUCUUCUUCCUCGCCUCCAUCUUGCUGGUCUGGCCCUUGGUCAUGGAGGCGACGGCGAACCCUCGAGAGGGAGGAAAAGGAAGGAGUGUUGGGGCGCUGGAGGUGGCAAGGAAGACGGAGCAGGCAAGAGCGAAAGAUUCGGCGAGCGUAACGAAGAAGCCUCGCCGCCCAGAUUUAAAUAGAGUUCCGACUGGGUCGCUGGCGGGUGGCCCCGGAAUCUUAUCCGCCCGACCGGCCACGGCGAUAUCAGUGGAGGAGUUGAAGGCGCGAGAAUCGAGGCGUCAGGCGCUACUCGAGCUCGCUGGCGUCAUCCCCGCUGAGCGCGCGGAACCCGAAAUUUGAGAUCCCGGAAAAUCUGCUGCUGUCAGUUGACCGGUCACAUCAAAAGAUGCCGCAGAAACACUCGGUUCCCGACAAUCUGUUUCGCAAGCACUUCCACUCGGAUCGUUGGUCAGGAAAGAUAAAAUGGAUAGAGGCAAGCAACGCCCAAGCCGAAUCUAGUCCAGUCGGAUCUGAACCUCAAGCACCGCUUCGUCGUUUCAACCCCAAUCCAUUCGGGGACUAAUGAUGGGGUCAUAGUCAUAGGGUAGGUUCAUAGGCGUGCCAUACAGGUCCUACCCAAGGACUACCCCACACAAAGGACAGGACCCUAAGUCUGCCCCGACUGAAUUAAGGAGUCCCCAUCAUCCAGUCGGUAACAGGCCCUGAAUCAUCCAGUCGGAGACUAGCAUUCGGAGCACACCAGGCUAACCGACUAAAUACACUCGGUACAUCGUAACCUCUCUGGAGAGAAACUGUCGUACGUUUCCGGGCGCAUUUAUUAGCGUUUAGAGCAUACGUUACCUGUAACGUACGCAUUCAACCCCCGUUACUCCACCCCUGUACCAAAACCGUUGUGGAGGGCAGCGCACUCUAUAUAAGCCACCCUCCCCCACCGGUAAAGGGGUUACCAAAUCAUUGUAUUCCAUAUUACACUCGGCAACAAGCUCCGAGAGCAUUGAGACGUAGGGCUGUUACCUCCACCACAGAGGGGCCUGAACUCAUACAACCUCGCUGUAGCUAGGACUCUCCCCAUCUCAUUCGUACCCUACACAUCUACUGUCAGGAUUAUACCCACGACAGCAGAAAAUUCAGCUAGUGUCUGAACCUAGCAAGUAAACGAUUAUAGCCAUCUUGUUUGCUGUAUCAACUAGGUGUCAAAUUUAGUUUUACAGUUUUUAGUUUGGUCAGUUAAAGUUUACUUGUUUGCUGUAUCUGAACCUGUAGGUGUCAAAUUCAGUUUACGAAGGCAGAAAAUUCAGCUAGUGUCUCAACCUAGCAAGUAAACGAUUCUAGCCAUCUUGUUUGCUGUAUCAACUAUCUAAAAUUCAGUUCUCUACCAUAAGAUCCAAGCACACUAACAUUUUUCAGAUAGGAAGUAUGCAGUAGCGAGGUGGGUUGAGGAAGGGGGGGAUGUGGUGGGGGCUGUACCUUGGUUGGGGCGAGGGCAGUACGUGGCGGCUCCAAGUCCCCGGGAUCUGGAUCACAAGCCGCACCAUCCAUGUCUUCUCCCGUGCCAGCCGUCUUUGCCCCUGCACGGACCUUUUUUUCUUUCUUGAGGAAGAAGAAGUGAUGGGGGGGGGGUGGAAGCAGGAGUGCGGAAAAGAAUACGCAGGCCGGGUAAAGGUCGGCCUGCUAAACUGAUGGGUGGGCACGUGGUUCUUUUUCUUUCUUGGACCUUCAUGUUUUUGUGUUAACGGGUGCGCUAGGCGGCCCGUUUAGGGAUUUGGUUCUUUUUGCGGUGACGGGCCCUUCGCAAUUUUUCGACCUGAUGCGGGAAAGAAAACAGUUGGUUUUUUUCACUGAUCAAUUUUAUGACUGAAUACUCAGCCACGUGUCAAUCAUUUAGUGGAACAAAAAAACAACCUGACACUAAUUUAAAUUCAGACAUCUGUUCAUUAGUCACUCCCUAUACUUAAGAACGAAAGGAGUAGAAGACAAAAGUGACAUGUCACACCAGGCACCACCAGCCGCAGCAGCUGCAGUGCUAGUGCUGUUGCUGUUCAAACGUGCAACAAAGUCUACGCGCUGUUGCGUGAAAAACGUGGCGGGUCACCCUUCCUGCAGCAGCGAUUCCCGGACAGUUCGUGUCCGUCACCCAACCCCGACGGCGACGUACGUACAUGCAACGAAACCGGCCAACCCCGAACCGAAUUCCGGCGACGGUUUGUUUGUGCGUGCAGCUGGACAACACAUCUCUGUCUCUCUCAUUGUCUCACACCCUCUCUCUCUCUCUCAAAGAAGAAUAAUCAAUUUGCUCUUAGUAGUAUAUAGAGAAUUCUCUUCAGAAAUCCUGGCAGUCAAAGGGAAUGUAUGUAGGUGCAGGUGCUGCUAUGACCAGAGCAGUGGAUUAUUUUUUCACUUUGACCUGCCUGACUGGCAAUCAUGGAUUUAGCAUGCAAAAUGGAGUAUCUUUUUCUUCAGAAAUCCAGCAGGCAGAGAAGUUGGUCAGAGAGAAUGUAUGUUUGGCCAAGACCCAAGAGUUUUUGCCAAUAGUUACAUCUUAGGACAUGUUUGUGACUGCUUCAAUUCAUCAACAUCAGUUUCACUUCGUUAAAUUCAGUUUAGAGCAGUUUUAUAUAAAAGAUAUAGCAUUAUCAAGAUAAUGUUUGGCUUCUAUCUAACUCCAGCUUCAUGAAUAGAAAAAAAUAAAGGGAUAUUCACUUACUGAUGACAGUGGUGAGUAAUUUUCCCCCAACUUCAGUUUCUAGAGUUUUUUAAAACACCCUCUCAAGAGCUUCAUAAAAACUUUGAAGUUGUACCCCAAAUUCUAGUUUUUUUCGGAGCGGCAUAUCGUGAAGAACCCGUUUAACUUGUUUUUUCUAAAGUAGAGCUGAAUUUUAAAGAACAGAGCAAUCUUAAACAGGCUCUUACUACCACACAUGCUCUACACACGCAACUAGUUCACUUCACCAUUUUUGGAAUUCCACUCUAAUUAACUUCUGUACGUACACAAACACAAGAUUGGUUGGGUAAUUCCUCACCAACGAACAAUCUUACUACCACACAUGAUCUACACAAGCUCAGAUCAGGGCCGUCCGUUGCUCUGAUCGGACGGCUACGGCGGAUCUAAAAUGUUUCUGUGGAGGCACUGAACCUUGUUGAACGGCUAGCUAGGGGACGACGACGACCUUGACGACCUCCACGUCGUCGGGCUUGCCGUUGCCGGAGCACUCGCGCCCCACGGCGGCGUCCUCCAGCAUUUGCACCACGGACCUCAUCGACGGCCUCACCGCCGGCGUGCGGCUCGUGCACAGCACCGCCACGCGCAGCACCCGCACGGCCUCCUCCUUCUCCCACUCCUCCCGCGCCGCCGACGCGUCCAGCAGCGCCAUGGCCUUGUCGCGCCCGUUCCCGGGCCCGUCCAGCCGCCGGGACGCCCACUCCACCACGUCCUCGCCGUCGGCCACCGCGGCGCGCCCCGUCGCCAGCUCCAUCAGCACCACGCCGAAGCUGUACACGUCGCUCUUCUCGGUGACCUUGCGCGUGUAGGCGUACUCGGGCGCCAUGUACCCCACCGUCCCCGCCACCGCGCCGCCGCCCGACGAUGACCACGGCUCGCCCUGCUUGCCGCCGGCGUCGAGGAUCUUGGCCAGCCCGAAGUCGGCGAUGCGCGGCUUGAAGGCCUCGUCGAGCAGGAUGUUGCUGGACUUGACGUCGCGGUGGAGGAUGGGCCGGUCGCCGCAGCCGUGGUGGAGGUACUCCAGCCCCCUGGCGGCGCCCACGGCCACCUCGUACCGCUCCGGCCAGCCGAGGCCGCCCAGCUUCCUCGCCGUCGGGCCGUGCAGGCGCUCGUACAGGCUGCCGUUGGGUAGGUGCUCGUACACCAGCAGGCUGGCGGCGCCGUCCUCGCUCGUCACGCUGCACAGCAGCUUCACCACGUUGACGUGCCGUAUUGAGCUCAGCGUGCCCACCUCCGCGUCGAACUCGCGGCACUGCCGCGCCGACGCCGACGCCGAACGCGGCAGCAUGGCCGCCGUCGGCGCGGCGCUCGCGGGCGCGGCGGCGCGGGUACGGGUGAUGUGCUUGACGGCCACCACGGUGCCGCACCCGAGCUUGACGCGGUACACGUUCCCGGAGCCGCCGCUGCCGAUCAGGUUCUCGUCGCGGACGCCGCCGACGAUCUCCCGCUCGUCGAACGCCAUCAUCCUGAACGACUUGACGUUCCAGGACCCCUUCUUCGCGAACAGCAGCUUGUUGCCGCCGGCCAUGGCCGCGGCCUCCGCGUGCUGCCGGCGCUUCUUGAUGAAUAUCACCACGCCGAGGACGGCGAGCAGGACCGCCAUGCUGGCGAGGAGGCAGGUGACGAGCGUGCGCGCGGUGCUCCCCGAACGGCCACCGUCUCCCGGCGUGCAGCGGCGGAGGAAGCCGGCGCCGUUGUUGGCGCACAGGCCGGGGUUCCCCAGGAAGCUCUCGCCGUAGGCCGAGAUGGCCAGCCCCGGCGGCACGGGCCCGUCGAGCCGGUUGUCCGACAGGUUCAGGUUGCUCAGCUUCAGCUCGGCGAGGAUCGCCGGCACGGCGCCGGAGAGUUCGUUGCUCGACAUGUCCAACCAAUUCAGCCGCGUCAGGCCACGCAGCUCCGACGGGAUGGCCCCGGCGAGCUUGUUCUUGGCGAGGUUCAUCGUGCUGAGCGACGAGCACGAGCCGAGGGUCGCCGGGAUGGCACCGCCGAUCCCGUUCGCGGCAAUGUCCAGGCUGUCGAGGUGGACCAGCUUGCCGAUGCUCGCCGGUAUCUCGCCGGAGAGCUCGUUCGACGACACGUCAAUGCUCUGCAGAUUCCCGGCGUCGCCUAUCGACGACGGGAUCGCGCCGGAGAAUUUGUUCCCGGCGAGGAGGAGGCUGGUGAGGGACGCGGCCUUCCCGAUGCCGUCGCCGAUGCCCCCGGUGAACUGGUUCCCCUCGAGGUCGAUGAUCUCGGCUUUGGGAAGCGCCCAGAGUCCCUCGGGCACCUCGCCGGUGAGCGAGUUCUUGCUGACCCUGAACCUCAGCAGCGUGGUGCAGCUCGCGUACGCGGCCGGAAUUUCGCCGGAGAAAUUGUUCUCGAGCAUCAGCAGCUUCAGCAUGGUGCCGCGCUUGCACAUGUCCGGCGGGAUCGGUCCCGUGAGCGAGUUGGUCGACACGUCGAUGAAGUUGACGUCCGACGAGCUCCCCAGUUUCCGCGGCAGCUCGCCGGUGAGGUUGUUGGUGUAGAGCGACAGGUUCACGAGCUCCUUGAAAUCUCCGAACUCCUUGGGCACCUCGCCGGAGAGCCCGUUGAAGAAGAGCUGCAGUGAGACGAGCCGCGUGAGGGACCGGAGCUCCGAGAGAUCGCCGGUGAGUGAGUUCUGGGACGCGUCGAAGAACUGCAGCUUGGUCAGCUUCCCGAACCCUCGCGGGAGAGCGCCGGUGAGGGAGCAGUUGUAGAGCUCGAGGCUCUGUAGAUUCACGAGCUGGGAGAUGGCCCGGGGUAUCUCGCCGGUGAGGGGGUUGUCGGCGAGCUCGAGGUCGACGAGCUCGGUGAGCCGGCCGAUGCCCGCGGGGAUGGGGCCGACGAUGUUGGCCGCAGAGAGGUAGAGCGCGGUGAGGUUGGUGAGCCCGAAGAUCUCGGCCGGGAAGGACCUGGUGGGCGUGAGGUACGGGUUGUCCCCGGCGGAGAGCACCUGGAGGCCCUGCAUGGCGGCGAGCGCGGACCAGGGGAAGGAGCCGGAGAAGGCGUUGGAGGAGAGGUUGAGCGUGCGGAGCCCGGCGAGCGGCGAGAGGUCGGGGAUCUUACCGGAGAAGGAGUUGAAGGGGAGGCUGAGGUCCCGGAGCGCCACGCACGCGUCGACGCCGGCGAUGGUCCCGGCGAGCGAGUUGGACGUGAGCGAGAGCGCGGCGAGCGAUUUAAGCGAGCCGCAGAGGACGCCGAACGGGACGGACGCGGCGGAGACGUUGAGGUCGCGCACGGAGAGCGCGGUGACGGCGGUGCCGCGGCAGGUGACGCCGGCGAAGUUGCAGGGGCUGGACGCCGCGGCGUCCCAGGAAGAGAAGAAGGCGUCGGCCGCGGGAGGGAUGGUGAGGGACGACUUGAAGGCCAUGAGCGCGGCCACCUCGGGGGCCGUCGCGGCGGAGGCGGCAUGGACGAGGGUGGAGAGGAGGAGGAGGAGGAGGUGGAAGUGGCCGGCGGGCGGCAUGGCUGGGGAGGAGGAAAGGAAGCUUCUUUCUUUGUGUCAGAGCGCUUGGACUCCCUGCUGACCGAGCUCGGUUUUAAGGUUGCGGUUGGCUCGCGGGCCCCACCACUGCACUGUCCUACACUGUCAUAGUGUGCUAACGAUAGUGCCUAAUAAGCUUCAUGGAUUUUUUUGAUAACAAUAAGCUUCAUGGAUUUGUGAUUACAAGAGAGCAGUUAUGGAUUUGUGAUUACGAGCAUUUUUUUUAUAUACGAUUUUUAAUGACUUGCCUUUUUUGAAAUACGAUUUUUAAUGAUUUACCUCUUAGCGACGAAUCAAAUUUGGAUUGUGAGGGAUAAAAAAACAUAUAUUGACUUGGGUGCUGUCAUAAGAGCUAUAUCUGUAUUAUUAACUGGCAAAAGAUACUAACCCCUCUCCUAGCUUCGUUAACCAAACUUUGAAUUUAAACAUAUUUUAGAUAGCUGAUGUAAUUGUAUUGGUUGUGCCCUAAUUGACAAAUGUGUGAAACAUACUACGAAGUAAAUACUCCCUCAAUUUCAAAAUAACUGUCUCAACUUUGUAUUAGCUUUCGUACAAAAUUAUACUAACUUGAGACAUUUAUUUUGGAAUGAAGGAAUUAGAAUAUCAUGCAUUAACUCAACCAAAUUAAAUAAAAUCAAUUCUCGCCAAAAUCUUAACUCAAUCAAAAAAUUAUUUGGCUUCUCGUACCCAUAGCCAAAUGAAAAUAAAUGUGAUCAAAACCUCAACUGGAUCAAAACUUUCAUUGCCUUCCCUACCCUACUCAAAUAAAAUUAAAUCUUAUGAAAAGAUAGAAUAUGAUGAGUGUAAAGUAUACGUCAUACAUACGUGAUUGAUGUUGAACCACUAGAAUAUGUAUGUCCUAUUGCAAUGCACGUGCAAAUGACUAGUUUGUGUUAAUUAUAAGAGGGGUCUAAAGUGCACAACAAUGGGUUUAAAAAAUCCCUUUCUUUGGUGGUCCUCCCAAGGGCGAUUCGAGGGAGAAUAACUCUUCGUUUGACGCCAUCCCCUCCUCCGCAUCCUCCUCGGCGCCUCGAGAGGCAAUCGGUGGGAAUCCCAUGCGAACGCUGGUGAGGGUGGUGAUGAGGUUCUCGACCAUUCUAGUGGCAAUCUCUAAUGGAGGUUGGCAUCGUUCUGAUGGUGGGUGGCUUUCUCUAGAACUAAGGGGCGCUUGUCCUCGACCGCCGUGGACGCGAGUCCUAUGCGGUUUCUACCCCGUGACCUUUUCGCACCCAAUCUAAAGACGACGACCUCCUCACAUGUUGCUUCCCAUCCCACAUCGAGUUCUCACCUUAUAAGGUGGAUGGCUAGGUGGGAGACGGUUGGACGCUCUGGAUCGAAGAAAUCUCUUGGCUAGCGCUGGCAAACAUGAUGUUGGCAACGCUCUAGCCGCCAAUUUCCUUCUUAGAUGUCACGCUAAGGUUCAUCUCCUCAUCCCCCUCCACUCGGAUAAAAACCCUCAUUCCUUGGAAUGGGUAGGGGCGACGCCACAAGGAGUCAUUUUAUAGCUUCUGUGUGUGUGCGCGCGCGCGCGCGCGCGGGGGGGGGGGGGGACCUACAUGCCUUUUGUGCUCCUGGUGGGGGUUUGUUUCUUCUUCUAGUGAUGACACAUCAACGUUGAGGGUUGGUUACCUCCGCAGCCGGCGUGUUCUAUUCAUAGUGUGGUCCUCUCUGUUUGAGAGGUCAAAACCUUCGAGCCUAGGCAUCGAUUUCCUUCGUGGAAACAAUGGCAUGAUGAUUUUAUGAGCGAGAAUUGUCUUAAUGAGUUUUGAGCCCCAUGGUGGCUUUGUUAUUCAAUGCUUUUAUCGUGUCCUCUUGAGGAGUCUCGUCCUGAAGCUAAUGUCUUUGGUGCUCCAUGUUGUGUGUAACGGCUUGGGUCCUUAGGAAGUUUGCUUGGUGUGGUGGUCGUGUUGUUAUCCUGACUACCAAUCUAUUGUUCAUGUGUGCUCUUUGGGAAGUAGCUCCACCUUGCGGACUAUGUGGCGCCAUUCGAUCCAAGGCGAGAGUGCAAGGGCCCUCUCCGGAGGUGGAGGCGGAUAGCAUUGUGACUUCACAUUGUGAAUAGGGAACGUUCGAAGCCGAGAUCUUCUCGAAUGGCGUGACUCCCAUCAGUACUUGUGUUCCUACUCUCGACAUUGAGUUUGUUGGUGGACGAGGUCCUCAACAUUGUAUCCUUUUCGCUCUCGGUUCAUGAUAAAAUGCAGGACUAUGGGUUUGUGAAUUGCCGAGAGGACGAUCCACUAAUGGUCGUCAUAAUGCAUUUAUACCUUGAGUUUAUGGUAUACAUUAAAAUAUUAAUUUUGUUUUUCCAUGCACGAUGAAAAAACCGCUAUUUCUAAGUUGACGAUAAGAAUCGCUGAUAUUUGUAUAAGCACAAAGGGAUGAAACAUUUUCUUUGCUCGGGUAUGUGCGAUAAAUGAGAAAGUAAUAUCAUCGGACAUAUAAUUAAAUGGCAUAGCUUGUCUGUUCGUGUUAGUGGUGUAUCCCAAAUUAAAGAGCCCUCACUUCAACGUGUGUUGUGUGUGAGAGAAAACAUGACUCAACCUAAGUGCGGCAAUAAGAGGUGUGUCUAAAUUAAGCCACAAAAUCCCUCGAUUGCUCAUUAAAUAUACAAGUACUACGUACAUCACUAUACUGUGUUUAGUUGGCACAUUUUAGACACAUAUGAUGUGAUUGCAUUGGUUGUGCCCUACGACAAUGAGUAAAGCAUGAUAAUUAUAUAGUAGUGUAAUUAAUCAAGUAUUCUUCUUUGCUUUGCUUCUAGUACUAAUUUGUUCCCAUUAUAGCAUAGUUAGCCAAUGCCUUCUCCGGUGGAUACGAUCGAGGGGGGCCAGACCAUAUAUCUUUCUAGUGGCAUGUCCUUUUCGGUAUCAUGAGCAAUUGGGGAAUGUAGUCCUUCUGCAACCCUUAAUUCAGAUGCUUAAAACAACUCUCCUUUCAUAUUGCAAUGCGUAGAAGUUCGCCAUUUGCAUUUGUCUUUUCAGAAUGGACGCACCAUCGUCUUGGUGCAAAAACCGUGAAUUACGUUGGACUGGGAUCCCCUCACGACCCCCUCGCGACGGCGCUGCCAGGGGCGUCAGCGCCGCUAGCAGCCAACAUGACGCGGCUUCCCCUCCGUUGCUGUCGCCAGCAUCGGCCAUGGUGGCGGCGGGCCCGACGCCGAAGGGGUCGGGGAGCUGGAUGCGGCGGCGACCCUGCUAGAUUGAUUGGGGCGACUACAACGAGGAGGACAUGCACAAUGGUCAGGGCGGCGCGCCUGGUCGUGCGACGACGGUGCUAGCUCCCAUGCCCUCUGGGAACCGGCGGGUUUUCUGGCAAUGGUGGACAUGGCGGCAGCCGCGGAUCUGGAUCCCACCCAGAUCCGCCAUCGAUCCUUCACGUGGAUGGUAGGCGACGCAAUGAGGGCUCCGGUGAGGGGGUGGAGGAUCUUCAUCGGAGUAUUGGCGGUGGCAUACGUCUUCAUGGCAGGGCUCAGCGCGGUUCCAGCCAGCCGCGAGAUCCGGACGACGCUGCUUCCGAUGAAAUCGCACCCGACAACGGUCUUGGUGGAUAAUGGCGGCGUAUCUGACGUCGUUUCCUUCUUGAGGCAUCGUCGUUGCAAGUCACGUCAACUCGAUCGGGAUGUUUCGAGGGAAACCCUAGAUUUGGGUCUACAAGAUCAGACGAUGACGAUGCCUUUGGUGUCGGUCUUCCUCCUGACGGCACCGUUUUGGAGCAAGUGCUGGCUGGAGAGAAUAAGAGGAGGAGUGAUGUUACAUCUACCGCAAGGCAGACGUCGGAUCUUAGUGGCACGACGCCGUGGAGUUUCGGCGAUGGGCGCGUAUGGAUGGAUACAUGCAGGAUGAUGAUGUUGUCUAGCGUCGAUGGUAGGUCUCUUAAGGUCAAUGCGUCAGUGCCUUCUCCGGUGAUGGAUCGGUGAAAGAUGGCGACGACGGCCUCUGAGAGUGCGUCGAACCGGUACGUGCUCCAGACUCAACAAUGCGUCUUGGUUAGGGCCUCCGCCUUUAAUGUUAUGUUUUGGUGUAAUGUUUGUUUGGCAUUCGGCUUGAAUAUUUGACACCCCUUCAUCGAGUGGAUAUGAGCAGCAACAUAUAUUGUCAAUAUGAUGGCUUUAGACUACAUGAUGUACUUGUUUUUUUAAUAAUUAAUAAAAUAACUACAUGCAUCGUCUAGAUGCAGAGGUCGGGUAUCAUCCUCUUUUUCAAAAAUAAAUAAUAAUAUUGCCAUGAAUAAUUUUGUCCAUCUCAAAGUCUGCAUACCUUUCAUUCCUAAGCUUAAAAUACUCUCCCUUAAGAGAGAGAGAGAGAGAGUCAAGAAAAUGCAUAUGUUUUCUUCCAUUAUCUAGAAAGAAAGAAAGGUGAGAGGUUGGUUGUGGAGUGCAAAAAGACCACAGCACUAGGUAGUAAGUGGUGGUGCAUGUCGUAAUCCGAUGAUCUAUAUGGGCCAAAAGCACAUGCAAUGCAAGAAAAGUGUAAAGCUUCACGACAGUGUGAGUUGGGAUGGAUUUGUCACCACAUAUAGAAAUACAGAUGACUAAUCGACGAUAUGGACGUAUGACUAAUUUAGGAGGGGGUGUAUGCGUGCAUGGCACUGACUGUGGAGCAUGGUGUUAAAUGGCAGGAGCCAGAUGGAGAUAUGUAGUACGUGUGCCGUGUGCUGUGUUUUGACAUGGGCUAUGGACUCAUGGAGUAGUGUUAUUAGUCCUUGCAUGAUUGGAAAUCAUGGUUGCGUUGAGCCGUUCGAAGCGUUACGCGAUGAUCUUUCGUUUUUGGAUGUUUUUAGAGAAGGAACGUGAGCUGUUCCUAAAGACCGUACGUAGAACCAGCGGGCGGCGCGCGGAAGAGCAAUGCAAGGGAAUCUUCAAAACGGACCCGUAAAUGUCCUUCAACUAUAGGACCUAAAAGUCAUCUAACACGGUCCUGUAUCGAUUCGUGGAGCGGUCCAGACGCGGUUUAUUCCGUAAACCGAAAACAAGCAUGGAGAGAUUUGCAAGAGGGGGGGGGGGGCUAGUUCAGCCCCGCUUGCGGGGCCUAGGACUCCGGACGAGGUUAUUAAAUGAAGCUCCUAUGCUGUAACAUUAGGGGCUUUGGCCUCACUGUCCGGAGGCAGCAACUCAUUGAUUAUUUGCGCCAGGAAGAGAUUGACAUUGUGGGUCUUCAGGAAACGAUUCGUCAACACUUUAGCAUGCUCGAACUUCAGCGGUUGUCUCGUCACCAUUUUGCCUGGCAGUGGCUCCCUACUACGGGCCACUCUGGGGGCAUCCUUCCCGAUGUUAGGAAGGAUGCAUUCACGGUGAAGGACAUGGACCGCGGGGAAUUUUUUGUUAGCAUGGCCGUCACUGACAAACGAGUUCACCUCAGCUAGGAGGUGAUUAUCGUCUACGGUCCGGCGGACCAUAGCCGAUCGGCAGACUUCCUCGCCGAGUUGAGGAAUAAGGUGGAGCGGUGCACCACCCCGGUGGUGGUGGCUGGUGAUUUUAACCUCAUUAGGUGGGCUUCUGAUAAAAAAGCUCACUAAAUGUGGAUCGGCCCCGUAUGCGUCUAUUUAAUGAUUGCAUUGCGGAUCUGGCGCUUCGUGAGAUAGCCCGCGUAGGGGCAAGGUUCACGUGGUCUAAUAAGCAGGUCGACCCCAUCCGAAGUGUCUUGGAUCGGGUCUUUGUGUCAGCCUAAUGGGAAGUGAUGUUCCCUCUUUGUGGGCUUAAGGCGGUCACGCGGAUUGGCUCCGACCAUACCCCCCUCAUUUUCUCGACACGGGAUGGGUCCCCUCCGAGAGUCCGUCGCUUCCGUUUUGAGUCUUUCUGGCUUGAUCAACCUGGUUUCUGCGAACGGGUUCGAGACCGCUGGCGUCUUUCGGCCUCUUCCACGCCACGCGUCUUCUGUGCGGUAGAUGUGUGGCACCAUUGUGCUAAGUUGGCUCGCCAGUCUAUGAAGGGCUGGGGUGCAAACCUGGGCGCAGACCUACGGCCCCGUAAAGGGGCCCUGCUUGGUCAGUUUAAGGCGUUAGACGACCUGGCCGUGGGCCGGGGCUGUCCCCGGACGACUGGCUCCGGAGGAACUCCCUCGAUACUUCGUUCAUGGACAUCUUCAAGAGCGAGGCACUGUUCUGGCAGCGUCGAGGGGGUCAGAAUUGGCUACUAAAGGGUGAUGCAAACACCGCCUACUUCCAGGCCAUAGCUAAUGGCCGUAGGAGGAAAUGCGUUAUUCCUUUCCUUUGGGAUGGGGAUGUGCUCCUGGAAAGCCGAGAGGACAUCUCAUCCCAUAUUUACUCCUUCUAUAAGGAGUUGUUCUCAGCUGCACCGCAUGGAGGCGCCUCCCUGUGUGAGGACUUCUGGCCGCCUACUGACCAGGUAUCCGACGCGGAGAAUGCGGAGCUUACUCUCCCGUUCUCACCGGAGGAGGUGGGGCAGGCGAUCGCCUCUAUGAAGGCGUGCUCGGCCCCGGGGCCGGAUGGCCUCCCGGUUAUGUUCUUCCAGCGAUUCUGGGAGACCAUGCGCCCGGUUAUAAUGCCCAUGUUCCAGGAAUUCUAUAUCGGCACCCUGGACAUGGGCAGGAUUAACUUUGGCGUCGUUGCCCUCAUCCCCAAAGUAGUUGGGGCUUCGGACAUCCGGCAAUUCCGCCCCAUCACUGUGAUUAACGUGUUGGCGCGAAUCUUUGCUAAGGUCUGUGCUACUCGCCUGUCCCCUAUGGCUGAACGGAUUGCUCACCCCUCCAGUCUGCAUUCCUGAAGGGCAGGCGGAUUCAUGAUGGGAUCCUUGCUCUUCACGACAUUGUCCAUGAGGUGACGUCCAAGGGGCUCAAGGGGGUCUUCCUUAAACUGGACUUCCAGAAGGCGUAUGACCGCCUCGAUUGGUCCUUUUUGAGGUUGGUUAUGGAACGUCGGGGCUUUGGUGAUAGGUGGUGUUUCUGGAUCAUGCAGCUUGUCAGAUGUGGUAACACGGCGAUCAAUAUAAAUGGUGAAGUGGGCCCCUUCUUCCAGGCCUCUAGAGGGGUAAAGCAAGGGGACCCUAUUUCCCCCUGCUUUUCAACCUCGCCGUUGAUGCCCUAGCUGGCAUCUUGGAUAAGGCCAAGCUGGCCGGCCAUAUCCAGGGGGUGGUUGGGCACCUCAUUUCGGGAGGUGGGGUAUCUCAUCUGCAAUAUGCGAAUGACACCAUGAUCAUGGUCGCUGGCUCUGACUCGGACAUUGCUAACCUUAAGUUCCUACUGCUCUGCUUCGAGGAAAUGUCUAGACUUAAGAUUAACUUUGAUAAGAGCGAGGUUGUGGUCCUCGGCUACUCCGACGAGGAGCAGCGCAGGAUUGCGGACCAACUAAACUGUAAGAUGGUUGUCUUCCCCAUCUCCUAUUUGGGGAUGCCACUAGCUAAGUCCAGGAUCAUGGUGAGUGGUUUUGAUCCGCUGGUAGGACGAGUAGCGUCCCGUGCGGAGCCCUGGUGCGGCAGGUUUACGUCUAAAGGAAGCAAGACCGUCCUCAUUUCCGCUAACCUUGCGAGUCUCCCCAUGUAUAUGAUGGGGAUGUAUAUCUUGCCAGAGGGUGUGCAUAGCUCCUUCGACAAGGAGCUGGCGAGGUUCUUUUGGCACGCAGGCGACGGUAGGUCCAAAUACCACAUGGUGAAGUGGGCCGAUAUCUGCCUGCCGAAGGACCGUGGGGGCUUGGGCAUUACUGCAUCAUGAACGUUGCUUUGAUGCUGUAGUGGGUGUGGCGGAUUCUGCAGGGGGAUGGGGGUCUGUGGCUACAAUUGAUCGAGGCCAAAUACCUUCAGGGUAGACCCCUAUUCGCCUGUUCUCUCGUGACUGGGUCGCAGUUCUGGAAAUCUAUUCAAGGCAUCAAGGAUGAGAUUAGGUUGGCUAUUCGGUUCUCGGUGGGUAAUGGGGCUGGGACCCAGUUUUGGUUAGACCCAUGGCUGGACGGGGAACCACUUCGCCUCGUUUUCCUAGGCUUUCUGCUAUUUGCGGGGACCCUGCCGUUCUUGUCUCCGCGACUGCUCGAGAGGAUGGAUGGCAUGUGGCAUUCCGCUGCCCACUCGGUCCAGCCGAGGUCCACGAGUGGGAAGCUUUGCAGGUAUCGGUGCCUUUCCCUACCUCGUCAGAUAGAGACUCUCCUUCGGGAGAAUUCUCCGUUAGCUCGGCAUAUUUGGCUCUGUGUAGGUUGCCGGUCCUUCCUUGGUUAUCCCCACUCUGGAAGGCUCCGCUGCCCCUGAAGAUUACGAUCUUCGUCUGGCAGCUUCUCCGUGACCGCCUGUUUUCAGGGACUGAGGUACUGAAACGCCACGGUCCGGGUAACGGCCUCUGCCCCCUAUGUCACGACCCGAAGACUGGAACCCAUAUUAUUUUCUCCUGCGUUGCGGCUCAAGCCCUUUGGGGCUUUGUGCGUGAGGCUCUGGGUCCGGAGUGGGAGGCCCACGAGCUCGCAGAAUUUCUGCAAAUUAGGGCCAACCAGGCUGGUCGUAAGCGCCGUCUGUUCUGGCUGAUUUUCGCAGCACUGACUUGGACUCUUUGGACGACUCGCAAUAAAAUGGUGAUUGAGCGGGUGUUUUAGCGGCUUGCAUCUAACUCGUUCUUCAAAUUCCUUGCCUUCUUGCAGCAUUAGCAUCCGCUCGUUAGGCCCCGAGACCGCGAUCGACUUCAGGGCUUCCUGAACGCGCUGCUGAUGUCCGCCCGGCGGCUCUUCCUUGGCCCCCUUGCUGCUUAGCCUGCCCUAUGAUGGCUUUUUCCAUUUUCUGUAUUCUUUCUUCUUUCCUUGGGCGUGAUUGUGCUGUUGCCCCAGCCUUUUUUGGUCUACUUAUGUGUUGGGCAGGAUUGUUGGAUGUUGGUUCGUAUGCUUUAUAUAUAAAGCGGGGCGAAAGCCUGUUUCGAGAUUUACAAGAGUCCACACGCUACUUCGCACAAUUCUGACCGCCCUAGCCCAUCAAAAGAAACCCACAUGUCCUUUCGCGCUCUCCAUCCUAUGCGCCGCGUCGCAUUUACGCUAACCCAAAGCAUGUAGAGGCCAUCAUUGAAACCGUAAUUUGACCGGACGAAAAGGUGACACAGAUGUGCGCGACCUCACGGCCCUCACCGCUUCAAUGCAGAUGCCACGUCCCGAGGAACCAACUCCAGCAGCUGCGCCGCAUUGAAACGGGUUGACCGCCCCAUCGCCUAGCAUGGCAUGGCUAUUUAAGCCUUGCUUCGGCGCCGUCCAGAGCAAAGGACCUUCCUCCUCUCCCGCCCCUCCCCCCAUAUUUCCUUCUCUACAUCCUCACCUAGCCAAGCCAACGGCGAUGUCGAAGUCGUGCUUCUCCGCACCGACAGGCGGCCCCAGUGGGAGCUCGUCGUGUGGUGGAUCGUGGCACCGCCGCCCUCGGUCACCGGGGCCAUCGGCAACCAUGACGGUCGGCUCCUCCAGCAAGGAGGAAAUAGUCAUCUCCCCUCACGACAAGGCUGAGCAGCCGUAGUAGCAGCCACAUCUGUUGUCUGAGGUAGUUGUAAAGGACGAAGAUUUUGUCUGUCAGAUGGAGAUCAUGACGGAGCGUUACCUCCGUUAGAUGGGACCGAUCCCAGCAUCAUUGGCGCGCGUGAAGGACGAGCCACCGUCCCCGUCGCAGGUCGGCGUCAAGAACGAGUAGGCAUCCCCGAUAUGGGAGGUCAAUGACGAGCCCGUGUCCCUGCUGCGCAACCACGGUCAUGUGAAGCAGGAGCCCUCGUCCCCCUAGUGCCCCCAGCACAUGAAGCCUGAGUUGCCGUUCGCCACCGCAUAGUAGCUACAUGUACAUGCGAAUUGACGGUCACCACAUGAAGCCUGAGUCGCCGUUCGCCACCGCAUAGUAGCUACAUGUACAUGCGAAUUGACGGUCCAUCGUCGCCAUCUCGACGCCACCGUCCUCAGGAGCUCACGCCCUUCACUACCAGGGUGUUGGAGGCUUCUGCGAUGCAUAUGGCUGUCGGGCCGUGGUGUUUGAUGCCGAGCACGUAGCAGGCAGCACGCGAGGUACGACUGGCGCAAUGUCGGUAGUCGCCCCGUGUUUGCCAAGAUGGAUGUGGCACCCGAGUGGGUACGCAAGGACCGAGACCUUGCUGCGGCAUGGGCGCUCAACCGCUCCAUGACCAUCGCAGAGUCGGCCACAAGGUGUCGUCGCUGCCUUGAUGACGAGCUCGCCAUGAUCGGCGAGGAGUGGUGACCUAGCGACUGCUCCACCAAUGUCGGUUGUGGCAAGGCAGCCGCCAGGGUUUCGAAGACCAUGUCGUCAGUGGCCGCGGUGGCACUCCGCGCGACACAGCACGAGGCGGAGCAGCACGUAACCGUUGGACAAGUUUGCCGCUGCCCUUCGGCGCCGUUCUGCCGCUGAGGACCGACCAUGACGACGGCGAUGACGAGGACACGGACGAAAACGACGGUGCGGCAGGGCAGGAGGCCACACGUACGAGGUGAUCGUCCGGUAUAGGGUUUAGGUUUUUUGUUGUUGAUUUUUUAGUUAAACGGUCGAAAUAUCCACCCCUUUUAUAUGUAAAUUAUCUUCAAACUUGAAUGAAAUACGCCUUUUGAUCGAAUUUCGUGAGGUUCGUUGGAAUUAUUGGGUGGAUGUAUGUGGCUACGGUUGGAUGUCGUCCUUCCGCACCGGACUGUUUCCCUACUCGCGAACGGAUGCGGGAGAUAAUUUGCGAGUUAUCGCUGGAGGUGUCCUAAGUAAUGAUGUAGUAUUCUCACCCUCGUUUGUGUAUUUACACCAAUUUCGCUAAGUCCGAGUCGACGAGCAACUCCAACGGGGCCAUCUAUUUCAUUCUCGAACGUCCGUUUGGGUCCCCUUGGACAUAAAAGACGGCCCAACUCGUCGACCCAAACGGACGCGAGUCCGCUUUUCGUCUGCCUGUCGACCCAUUUUUGGUCCAAUUUUUAGCCUGAUUUGGGUCGGCGCGGACACAAAGAGAGCGCGGACGACGCGCGCUUCCACCAUUCUCCGGCCCGCCAGUCGGUGGAAAAUUGGUCGUUCUCCACCCCAUCUAGCCCUCGCCUCGCCCUCAGUCCCCUCGCCGCCGCCCAGAUCCGGCUGCGUCCUCCCGUAUCGCAACGCCUAUCCCACGCCGCGGCCAGGGCCGCAGCAUCGUCGGGGCACCGCAACUUCCCCGACCCUAAAUCGCCGUCGUCGGUCAGCUUCCACGCCCGCAAGUUGUUUGACGGUUUGCCUCAAGGUACAAAAUGAACUGCGCCGAUGAGUUCUUUUCCAUUAUGUUAUAUGUUACUCCGACGAUUAGGAGAUGCUACUUGCCGUGUUGGCAUGUGGAAGGACUACUUUGAUACAAACAAUCCGCUCUUCAAACAUCAGAAAUUUUGGCAUCGUUAUCGUUUGGCUAGGCAUGUUUUUAACCGGAUUCAAGAGGGGGUGGUCGGAUAGGAUAACUACUUCGAGUGCAAAGAGGAUGUCAUUGGAAGGAUUGACUUCUCAUCUUUUGGGAAAUGCAUUGCUGCCAUCCGGAUGCUUGCUUAUGGAGUACCUAGUGAUCUUAUCGAUGAGUACGUCCGUAUGAGUGAGUGUACAUGCCUAGAAUCGUUAUACAGAUUCUGCAAGGCUGUUAUUGUAGUGUUUGGUCCUGAGUAUUUGAGAGAGCCGACUGCUGCAGACACAGCCCGCCUGUUGGCGACCAAUGCCAGCCGGGGCUUCCCAGGGAUGCUUGGCAGCAUAGACUGCAUGCACUGAGUAUGGAAGAACUGCCCUUCUGCUUGGCAAGGCCAGUACAAGGGCCAUGUCAAGGCUUGCAUUGUCAUACUUGAGGACGUAGCCCGUCAAGGUCUUUGGAUCUGACAUUCUUUCUUUGGCAUUGCCGGAUCGCACAAUGAUAUCAACGUGCUUCAGCGAUCGCCGGUUUUGCAAGUCUUGCCAAAGGCAACAGCCCACCGGUCAAUGUUAACAUCAACGGUCACAACUACAACAAAGGAUACUAUCUAGGUGAGGAAUCUAUCCACAGUGGACCACUAUUGCGAAGACAAUGUCAAACUCUGUCGGAGAGAAGAAGAAAUGAUUUGCCCAAGAGCAAGAAAGUGCUAGGAAGGAUGUCGAGUGUGCCUUUGGUGUUCCGCAAUCUCGGUGGGGCAUAGUUCCGUAUCCUGCUAGAACUUGGAGCACCAAGAAGUUGUGGGAAGUGAUGACUGCUUGUGUGAUCAUGCAUAAUAUGAUCUUAGAAGAUGCGCGCCCGGAACGUCCCCACGAUCAAGGGUUUGAAUUUCACGGUGACAAUGUGGUACCUCAGCAUGGCGGAGCAGCGUGUGUGAGAUGAAAUGCGUGAUUUGGAAACUCAUAUUCAGUUGCAAGAUGAUUUGGCUGAGCAUAUGUGAGAUCAUGUUGGCAAUCAAUAGGUGUAUUUUGUAGAUAAUUUAAUUUUUAUUGGGCUUGUGAAACUUUGCUAUAUUUUAUUUUUGAUUGUAAAACUAUGUUGUAUCAUUUGCACAAUAUCUGUAUUUGUUUAAAAACUGGCGGCUAGCCGGUCAGGCGGUCAAAUAUGGGUUGGCGUGUUGGACGCGUUGAUGACCCAAAUCCUAACCCGGACGGACCCGGAGCCAUCGGAUGAUCCGAACGGAUGAAAAACGGACGAAAUUGGCGUCUGUUUGGGUCGAUUGGUCGGUUGGAGUUGUUGUUAGAUUUUGUUAUGUGUGAGUCGAUGCUAUAUGGCUUUGAUCUUGCAUCGUGAUCCGUAUAAAGUUAUAUACGGUUCAUUCAGCAGCAUGAGAUGUAUGGAUCGAGGCAAGCGGAGGAGGAGGCACCGCUCCGCGGGUGGAGGAGGAGGAGGAGGAGGAGAGCGUGAUGCACGCGUGUGUUAGGGCCGUUCGUUGCAUCUGGAGUGGAAAGACAAAACAAGGUGCACCAAAAAGACAAAAGUAGAGAGAUGGAUAGGUAUAGGGAGGGAGCGUUUGCGAGCUAGGUGAUGUGUUCGUUGUCGAUCGCACGUUCAUCCCAUCAUGUGUGCGCGUGUGUGUGUGUGUUGGGUCGAAGAACUAGACAGGCGGCGAGCCCACGGAUCCACGUCCAGCGGCACACGACUUUAAGGCAGAGGCUGACGCUGACGCGCCGCUAGUGGUGGUGGUGGCCACUAGCCAGUGCUAUCUCCAUCACCAUCACCAUCACCGUGUAUGUAUAUAGUGUGUGUAUCUCCAUCCAUCUCCAGCGGUGCCGGUGAGGUCCAGCCGCCGCGUUUGACAAAUCUGUCCGCACUCACACGAUCCAACGCAACAACGCAGGCCAGGCACAAUGAAUGAGUGAUGAUUCUUCUUCUUCUUUUUGUCAAGGGGCCAUGACCGGAUGAUUGCUCCUUUCUACGUAUCCUCGCCGUGCAAAACCGCUCGCUCGCUAGAUAUCUCUUUCUUCUCUUGGCGCCUGACCGCCCGCCCAUCCCAUCCAGGUGGAAGCCAACUAUAGUACUGUAGUGCUCAUCAUACUCCCGCCUGAUUAGUCUACUAGUGCCAUCUGCAACAUGUACAAUGGUUUUCCUGUGACUGACAGUGAGCUCCUCAGUUGCAGGUUUCAUGCUGUAGGAAAGUGCAUGCAUGCAUCCAAAGACUUACGCACGUGCUCUCCAGGUAGCACCAAUUUGCUCCACAAAUCAGUCGUUAGAAAUAGACGUGUGGAUGGGUACCGUAUCCUCCUUUUUCUUCUUCUUGUUCUUUUUCUUCUCGUCACGGUCGACAGUCCGAGGAUUCCUCUCUCUUCACCCCUUUCAUCACNAUAUAUAUAUAUAUAUAUAUAUAUAUAUAUAUAUAUAUAUAUAUAUAUAUAUAUAUCCCCCCUAUAUCGAGGAAAAGAAAGACAACAACAUAUAUAUAUAUAUAUACACGCCCCCAUUGACUGCUUCACACUUUUCCGUGAAAAGAAAAAAUACCUCACUCCACUAGCAAAUCACAGCGGAUGUCCCUUUUCCGACUGCCUUUUGAAUCCCGGCCCGCUUAAUUCUUCCUGUGUACAUAGGAAAGCAUCAUGCUAUGUCUAAUAAACAUGGUCGUAUAUCAUCUCCAAAAAUGUUUAAGUAAAUAAAUUUCUUUUCAUGCAUAAAGAAAUAGGUGUGCGAAAAAUAAGUAGCAAAGACAAGUAUCGAAAAAUAAUCAAUAUUGUGUAUUUUAAUCACAUGGUACGGCAUGCAUAUAUCAUGAAUGAAGUACUCCCUCGAAACAUAAGACCUUUUAGAGAUUUUAUCAUGGACUACAUACGAUGUAUAUAGACGUAUUUUAAUGUAUAGAUUCACUCAUUUUGCUCCAUAUGUAGUUCAUAAUGAAAUCUUUAAAAGGUUUUAUAUUUGAGAACGAAGGGAGUACGUAGUACACAAUCCAAUAAUUAAACCAUCAUGCAUGACAACUGGAACUGAUUGUAAUAAUAGUCACUAAAUAUAUAGCUCAGUCGGCUUACCGUGAGAGCACAUGGAUAGGUGAAUAUAAGAAUUCAGAUAGUACAUGAUGCAAGGGAGCACGUUCUUUUGAGCUUAAUGUGGUAUAUUGAUGUGAAGAGGAGGACGGCACUAGCCAGAAGAAAGCAACACAUUGCUUGGGUAGAUUGAUGAGAUAGGUGCAAUGGAACAAGACAAAUUACAAGCGUAGCAAGCUUACAACUCCUGCCUGAUUAGUAAGCCAUUUAAAAACAAAAGUAGAACAGAAACGCUCUAGCUUUUUUUUCACAAGAAAAAACCUAGAACUUCUCCGUUGGUGCACCUGCUCCAGGAAUAAUCAGCAAAACAAUCCACCUCUGAAUAAUUUGCCUCGUCUUGUUCAGGCUGCCUGCAUGUGCUCGCACCUGGCGUCACCUACUUAUCAUUUCCCUUGUUCUUUGUCACAGUCGGCAGUCCCCAGGAUUCCUUUCUCUCUUUCUUUUCUUUCGGGACAGGAAUAUAUCAACGAAUUUUACGGUUUAGAUUCGAUUCGAUUCGAUUCCAUUCCAUCGGGGUCGAUGCCGUCUGUCUAAAUUACAGCACGCAAAUCCGCAGGCAACCACGCACCCGUGUGCUUGCGCUUCUAGAACGGAGACAAGAGAUAUCUGUGGGUCAUAAAUUAAUAAUUCACUCCACUAGCUGCUGCUACUCCUCCUUUUUGACAGUGCACGGAGAGUAGCUAGCUAGGUUUAAUCUUAACGGCGGUGCUUACCAGAUCAACCACUAACAGAAUGCAUGUCUCAUAAACAACCGUUCGGUGGUUUGACCACGGCACUGCCUGGUCGACUAGGCAAACCUGAGUGAUAAAUCAACAACAACAUAGUACUAAUUAAUCAUAUAUUUCAGUGUUUCACUACAAGGCCUACAAAAAUACAGCAUAUGUAGAGUAUGUACUCGGGACCUCAUUCUUUAAUCAGUUUCUUUGCAUGCUUGGUCUGAUCGAUACCUUAAUUAGUUGAAUGAACAGUUGAUGCUUGGUCUGAUCGAUACCUUAAUUAGUUGAAUGAACAGUUGAUGCUUGGUCUGAUCGAUACCUUAAUGAGUUGAAUGAACAGACAUACUGAUCCAUUGAUAGCCGAUGGUAGAUGCAUAAUCCAAGAAUUAUGCUACUAUAUGCAUGACAACUGGAACCAGUUAAUAGCUACAUGCUCCUUGAGUCAGCCUACUAUAACUGAUCAGAUAACAUCAGGUGCAAAAUAAAGAAAUCAGAAAAAGGAGAGCUAGCACAUUCUUAUAUACAAUUAAGUUGGUUAAUCAAUAAAAAUUCAGACAAGGUGAGAGUAGUAUAUUGCGGUGAAGAGGAGGACAGCACUGAGAGAGCCACAAGAAAACAACGUACGCAUGCAUGCUUAGGUAUAUUAUUGGUGGUAGAUGCAAUGGAACAAGACAAAUUAGCAGCUAGCUAGCAGUUCAUGUAGUGGGGUGCUGCACUAGCUGCUUCCCUUUCUGUUAGCGAGAGAGGCGCCAAACCCAGAGCAAAAGCGCAACCUACCUUUUGUGCUCUUUGCUGACGUAACCCCCCCCCCCCCUUUUUUUUUUUACUCUACACGCUGCUGCUUUGGCCGGUGUCGAAAAGGAGCCACCGGGCAUUCACACUGUUGCUACCAUAUACUAACUUUAUUUUUAUUUAAAGCCCUUAGGUUUUUCCUCAUUUACCGAAAAACAAAGUUCACCAGCAACUACGAGGAGAAGUAGUCCAGUAAUCUACUUCCUCCGUCUCAUAAUAUAAAAGCGUUUCUUACUACGUUAGUGCCAAAAAAUGCUCUUAUGUUAUGAAACGAAGGGAGUAAUACAUAAUCACCCCUUGGUUUAGUUGGGACAAUACUGUAAUUAACUACUAUCUGAACACCCUGCAUGACAUGUGUGCAGUUUGUAUAUAUGCUACAUAGUAGCCAUAAUUAAUCUCUUAAAUCGACCAGAUAAGUCUAGCUAUCUCUAGGUAGGAAGGAUCAGCAGGUUGAAUGAAUAAGCAAGCAUGCAUGUGUCGGCAUCAGUCGCUGGAAUCCCGCAACAACAACCCAACACCGGAAGAAACCAAGGAUAUGAACAGGCAUUCGCCGAAUAGAUGUUGACCGGCAGUGCGCGAAUAAUGCAGCAAGCAUGCACGCAGAUAUACAUAUCUAUCCAUCAGGUUUGACCGCUCACGCUUUUUUAUAUAUGACCAAUGGCAAUGGAUCCAUCGAAUGCAAUCAAGUCGCACUAGUAGAAAAAGGGGCUUCCGUCCCAGCUCAAUUUACACAUUAGUCCCGGUUCCAUUACGUACACGGACUAAUGUUAGCAUUAGUCCCGGUUCGAACGGCAAAGGCGUCGGUCGGUCAUUAGUCCUGGUUCAAAAGGGACCUUUAGUCUCGCUUCGUGUCUCGAACCGGGACUAAAGGGUUUGGAGGCUUUAGUCCCGGUUCAAGACACGAACCGGGACUAAAGGGGUUUUGUAUUUUUAUUUUUUCCUGUUUUUAAAUUUUAUUUCUGUUUGUAGUUUCUGUUUUAAAUUGCUUAUAUCUUUUAGGAUAUUUUUUUUUAGUGAUUCUUUUUGCAUUAGAUUCAAAAUUUUGUCUAGUUUUUGUUUGUGCAAUUAGUUUUUAAAUUUGAAUGGUUUAAAUUUGAAUUUGUUCAAAUUUGCUUCAAACCCAAAUUGUGAAUAACUUGAGUUUACAAAUAGUUUUUAAUUUAAUUCUUUUUUCUCCUAGUCAUCUGUUAGAUUGUUAUCACAGUAAGAUUUAUUUGGUUAUUUUUAGAAUAAUUUAAAUUUGGAUUUUAAUUAAAACAAUAUUGUUUUGCUUAUAUAGUUGUUUUAGUCAUUUAAUUGUUGUUUUUUAUUAUUUUUAGUUAGUACUUUCUGUAGAUUUUUAACAUGUUAUAGUAUGGUGCAUAUUGAAUGCAUAAAAGUCUGGAAUUAAAAUCAUUUUAAUAAAAUGCCUUUGUAGCAGAUGGGUUUUCGUCUGAAAUGUUGAUACUUCGAAGGAUGAUCCAGUUUGUACACGAAGUGCAUCCAGUUUUUAUCGUAACUCUCUCAACUUUUUAGCACAUGCCAUGUGAGUGAAACUAUGAUACCAUGCCAACUUUCAACCUUUUCAGAGUUCAUUUGUAGUGCUUUUCAAUUUCAGGGUCAAUUAGCUCAAAAAAGUAAGUAAAUGCAUGAAAAAUACCAAAUGAAGUCAGAAAAUAUUGAAAAUUUAUGAUGUGGCUUUAAAUGGUGUAUUUUAAACACACAAAAAGUAUGGAGUUCAAAUAAGUUCAAAAAAAUGAAAUCCCUUUGCAAUAGAUGAGUUUUCAUUCGAAACCCUGAUACUUCGAAAGAGAUUGUUCAUUUUGUACACGAAAUGCAUCCAGUUUUUGACGUAACCCUCUCAAAUUUUUAGCACAUGCUAUGUGGAAGAAAUGAUGAUACGAUGCCAAGUUUCAACCUUUUCAGAGUUCAUUUGUCGGGCUUUUCAAUUUCAAGGUCAUUUAGGUCAAAAAAUCAUUAAAUGCAUGAAAAAUAGCAAAUGAAGUUAUAAAGGGUCGAAAUUUAGGAUGUGGUUUUGAAUGGUUUAUAUUGAAUGCACAAAAUGCAUAAAAUGACUGAAGUUGAAAUAAGUAAAAAAUAAAAUAUCUUUCUAGCAGAUGGGUUUUCGUCCGAAACCGUGAUACUUCGAAGGAGAUGGUCCAGUUUGUACACGAAGUGCAUCCAGUUUUUGUCGUAACCCUCUCAACUUUUUAGCACAAGCUAUGUGGAUGAAAUGAUGAUACCAUGCCAAGUUUCAACAUUUUCAGAGUUCAUUAUAGUUCUUUUCAAUUUCAGGGUCAUUUAGCUCAACAUAGCAAAUAAAGUUAGAAAGGGUUAACUCUGUCUUGGUUAACCUUAGUUGUGAUUCUGGCAGGGACGGUGCUAGCAAAUGUAGUCGACGGGUAUGAUUGGACUCUUGGCUAAAGGGGGAUUCUGAAAUUUUCAAACUCUACCCUUCCUGGACCGUCUUUUUUAGUUUUGUAGAAAAUAAACGAAAAUGCUAAAAUCUUCAAAAAAUAAAAUUCUUUGAGAUGUAGUUAGGUUUUAGUGCCUAGUUGGUAUACAAAUUUUGAGAUAUGAAUUUUGACCGUUUUUUCAAAAAGGGAAAAAUGUAAAACGGCCAUAACUUUUGCAUACGACGUCAAAAAAAAGUUUAAUAUAUCAAAAAAAACUAGAGAAAAUUGGGAAUCGAUUUCACCGGGGCUUGCCCGGUGAAGUUUUCUCAGAUGCUCAAAAUUCCAAAUGUAAAAAAGUUAUGGCAAAAAGAAGUUUUUUCCACAAAAAUAAGAAAAAUUAAUUUUAUUUAAAAUCUUUAGGUUGUUUUCAUUGAAAUUCACUAUUAUUAUUACUUAUUUUGUUUAUUUUAAUAAUUGUUUGAAUUCAAAAAAUUAAAUCAUGUGACAUGACAUCAAACCCUAGGUUGUUUAGGAUUGAUAGCUUACUAUUGUCAAGAGAACAACAAGUGCAGACUUGGCAACUAGGGGCGAUAGAACUAGGGGCUGAAGCAGUGAAAGGAUGGAUGACCGGCCGAGAAGUUAGAGGGUGACCGGCCGAGAAGUUACUCGAUUUGAAAUGAGUAAUCUACGCUAGAGCAGUGAGGAUGGGUGAUUAGAGAUUAAAUUGUCAAAUAAAUCAAAGAUUUAAAAAUUGAAAUAAAAUAUAAAAACAAAUCAAAAAAUAUUCAAAAAUAAAAUUUGAAAAAUAAAUAAAUAAGGUACCUUUUUGGGUCAAACAAACAAAAUAAACAGACGGAUCCUUUAGUCCCGGUCUGUGUUAAGACCCGUGACUAAAGGGCCUGUCUCUGAGGACGCUCCGAGGCGCUCACGUGGAGCACCUUUGGUCCCGGCUUGGAACAGUGCCGGGACUAAAGGCCUAACCUUUAGUCCCGCCUCUUUGGUCCCGUUGAUGAACCGGGACUAAAGCCCCUUACGGGCCGGGACUAUAGGCCCUGUCUCCACUAGUGUCACUGUUAUAACUUAUUAGUGUGUUACUGACUUAUUGUUAGUAGCUAGCUGACUCGUCACUGUUUGUAGUAUGUGAGCAGCCAGCUGAUCCACGAGAUGGGAUUGGUGUAGGUUAGGCAUAUGAUUGUAGGAAAUUAUAUGCAUCAAAGUUUGUUUGCAAAAUAUCAACAUGUGCAAUUAUAUUGUUCAUCCACAUCAACAUAUGUGCAUGAACCAGGCAUAGCAUAGUGCUUGUUAACAUAAUUAUUGGUACUGAUAAUAUAUCAUAUCGCAGUUGAUAGAGACAUGAGUGAGGAGUCCUGUCAGUUAUCAACACACGACUAAUAGAUUUUUCUUUUCCUGUUUUUGUCGGGGUGAGGCGGUGAAUGACACACAAUUUUGGAAGAGAACAUCUUUUCUUUGAGACAAUGGAAGAGAACAUCUGAAGGGGACACCCAAAGGCAUGUGGACCGGACCAACGUUGUACAUGGGCCGUCCCAACCACUUUCGUCCUAGUUUUGUGAAGGUUCUAGAAUAUUCCAAGACCUGUUAUGCUUCGGGGUUUUCCAUGUUUGUUCUUUCCAUUCUUUUUAUUUUGAUUUUCGUUUUUUCUUUCCUUUUCCUUUUUGCUGACAUUUUUAUCUUGCUUUUGUAUUUUAUUUUUCUUUUAGGGUACUUCUUCUCAAAUUCGUGAACGUUUGCUGAAAUAAUGAAUAUUAUUAAAAUUUAUGAACAAUUUAAUGUUACCACAACCAUUGCUAAGUUCGUGUACAUAUUUUUGAAAAUUCAAGAAUGUUUUUUACAAAUUCGCAACCAUUUUCUUAAAAUUGUGAACAAUUUUAAUCUCCAAAAAAAAUUUGAAUCCUAUUUUUUAGAGUAAUAUUUUGAAAAUAAUUGGCAACAAUUUUUGAUAUUCAUGAUCCUUUUUUGUUUUAAUGAACAUUUUUCUAAUUCGAGAGUUUUUUUAAUCAGCAAUUAUGUCUUGAAUCCUUAAAUACAAUUGUAAUUCGAGGACAUUUUCUGAUUUAUGAACCUUUUUUUGAAUUUAAGAACAAUUUUCAAAGUUCAUAAACAUUUGUGAAAACAUAGACAUUUAUUCAAAAUCAUUAAUAUUUUUGGGUCAAAGAAAGAAAGGAAAGUGGUCCUCGCUUCGUACAGUUAGAGCAUCUACAACCAACCGAAUGCCUCAAACGACCCCUCAGACGUCCGUAGACACGCCCAGUUAGUGACCGGACAGUCUUAUACAUCCGAGCUGUCCGCGAGCCAUCAUAUUGAGGACAAAUAUAGGGAAGAUAUAAGGACUCGCGGACACGUCCGGACGCGCUUGGUCAAUCUUCCACGUAGGAUGUGACCUAUCCCGGACCACAUUUUUUCUUUGUUUAUUCUUUUCUUUCUUUCUCUUUCUCUCUACCAAUUAUGUGCAAGUGGCCAAGUGAAGGCUAUGUCAAGCUGGACGUGGAUGCUGCAUUCAGCGAUGACCAAGGUAGUGGAGCUUCGGGUGCUAUUUAUACACGACAUCAGUGGAGAUUUUUUGGCGGGGUCUUGCAGCCAUAUUCCAUUUGUUGAGGACACUGCAACAACAGAAGCCCGAGGUCUCCGAGAUGGCCUUAUCUUGACAAGUGAUAUUGGAUGCAACAACAUAGUGGUCGAAGCUUAUUGCUUGGAGAUAAUUCAAGUGAUGCAAGAUGGUGGCAGCUCGCUAGGACCAGCAACGGCAAUAUACAAGGAGUGCACUUUCUUAUGUCGUAGUUUUAAUUAUGUUAGUUUUUACCAUUUCCCUAGGGAGGCCAAUACGGCGACAGACUUGUUAGCUAUUAGGUUGGAGGUUUCGCAAACCGUGAAUUGCCAAGGGGAACCACUUGAUUUUCUAGUGGAUGUACUCUCAAACGAUGUGUUGUUGUUCCGGCAUGAAAUAUAAACCGCCAUGAUUACAUUUCCCUUAGAAAAAAACAAACAACAAGUACUGCAACUGUUAUUCUGCUAAUAUUAGAAGAAUAAUAUUCUGCUAACAUUUCUAAACUGCAUGCUCAACGCAAGUGCAUGGCAUUGUGAAGCAAAGUGUACUGCAAUGCUAGGCGAGGCGAACAGCUUGUCGCAGAAAAAUCUGCACCCAUUUUUUCGGUACUGUUUUUUAUCCAGCUUUUUAACCAUUUUUCGGAACGAAGCGUGUUAUACGCCCUUGGAAAGCUAUGGAUUAGGCACAACUUUUUUUAUGUUGAACCCUUUCCGAGAUUUCAAACGGUUUAAGGCAGUUUCAAAAAUGGUGUGGCCCUCGACGAGUGGCAGCGAGCAUAUUUUCGCAUUUUUUAAACCGCUCGCCGGAAUAAUGCAAAUGAUACGCCAUUGAAAACAUAUCGUGGAGGCACAACUUGUACCUACAGAACAUACUCUCUAAUUCCAUACAGUUUAAGAGAAAUUUUAAAUUUACCAAAAUGCAAAAAAUCUCUUGUGCAAAUUUGUGAUUUUUUCGGUACGGUUUUCGCUGCACUUCUUUAACUGUUAGUUGGAAUGGGGUGUGUCAUACAUCGUCGGAAACCUAUAGAACAGGCGCACCUUUCAUAUAUAGGACAUUUGUUGAGAUUCCUCAUGAUUUUAAAUAAAUUUUGAAAACGAUACGGCCCCGACGAGUGAUGGCAACUGUUUUUUCUUAAUUUUUUCUAACCGCUCGUCGGAACGAUGCAAAUGAUACAUUGUUGGACAGAUAUCGACAAAGGCAACUUUUUCAUAUAUAACACUCUCUAUUUCCUUACGGUUUAAGAGUAGUUUUAAAAUUACCAACAUGCUGACACUCUAUUUUUCUUGACACCAAAAUAGACAGAGUGAACUGCAUCAGAAAAAAACUGCACUCUUUCAAUAGGAAAACCGCACUGUAUCAGACGGGCAAAUGAACUGCAUGAUUUCUUCUAUCAGAUGUAAAUUUUAUGUGACAACGAAGUGGAGUGCGCUUCACAUCGGGCGUAAGUGAACUAUAAACACAAUAUCGAAAAGUGAAUCGCAUUACCUUUUUCGUCGUUUCCAUAACAAUUUUUGCACUUCAUAUUUUGGGAGUAAAUGAACCCCGACACCACCGAAAGUGAACCGCGACACUAUCAAAAGUGAACUUCAUGUUUUUUUAAUCCUUUUCCUAAGUUUCUGUACACCAUUUUUUUCUCCAUGCAAUCUGAAUUGCGAGGCCACAAGAGUAGUGAACCACAUAAGGGGAAGUGAACCUCGAAGCGAAUCAAAGUGAACCACAGUUUUUUGACAUCAUUUUUCUCCCACGUUGUUUUACAAAGUGAACUACUUGACUCACUACAAAAUAAACUUGUAACAUUUUUCUGCACUUCACAUUGGGAUUAAGUGAAUCAUGACACUACCGAAAGUGAACCUAUGUACUAUUGAACUGAACCGUGUGAGUUUUUGUUGUCCAUUUUCAUGUUGCCUACUAUCUAUUUCCUCUUGUUAAUUUUAGAUAUAUGUGGGUCUUACUAUCAUUUGCUUGUGAAGCACAUGUGUGAUAUGGAUCUUGUUCUUGAGUGCUUUGAAGAGCGAGCAAAUUUGGACUUGGUCCUAGAUCAUAAACAAAUGUACGCGUUUUUCAAAUGUUCAAGUAAAUUAGAGAAAGUGUUGCGUACCGUUCAAUAAUAUGUAUGUUACUUUUUAAAUAAACGUUUCAAAAAUAUGGUCGUGGCAUUUGAAAAGAAUGUUUAUACAAUGUAAAAAAACAAGGUUUACAUAGUUUAAGAAAAUGUUUGUAUCAUCCAAAUAAAUGUUUCGAUGUGUAUUUGAAAAAUGUUUAACACGUAUCCAAAAACUUUAACUUGAAAAGAACUAGUCAUGCAUUUGAAAAGUACUAUGUAUGUACAAAAAAUCAUUUAUAUGUAUACAAAAAAUGCACAAUGUGUAUGAGAAAAAUGGAGAUCAAAACAUAUAUCUAAAAAUGUUAUAUGUGUAUAAAGGUUCCAGAUGUAUACAAACAUGUAGACAUGUGUUGAAAAACAGGGAAAAGGGGGAAACCGGUAAAACUGAAAAAAGAAGUGAAGAAAAGCGAAGAUAAAAAAGGAAAAAGUAGAGAAAACAAAAACACUACUACAAACAAUGAAAACCCCGAUGAAAACUACAAAGAAAAAACUCACCCCAUGGCUAUAGUACUAGCUCGGCCCAGUAGCGCCGCACCAGAUCUACAUCUCACAUAUGGCAAGAAAUAGGACUGCGGUAGUGGCAUGCAUUCGUAGGGGAAAUCAAAACAGAAUUGGGCCAUUCUGGCAAGGCACAUGCCACACAUAACAAGUUUGACAUUCCCUAAAAAAUACAAGUUUCGAUGUGUUUCAUCAAGUGGAUCUGUCUCACUUGAUGGAGCAGCACUCAAACCUUCAUAGACAUGGGUGUGGUGGGUAGUGUCGUAGGCAGGUUUCUCCUACGCCCGGGUCAGCAGUGUAGCUACAACCAACGAAAAAACCACAUCCCAGCCCUGGGUGUGGGUGUAUGCAUUUUUUUAUUUGCUAAGUGUAUGAUAAGUAUUGCUCAAGUCAUUCAAGAACCGUCUUAUCAUCUCUUUUAUCAUGUGAGAGUAUACGCUGCAGAACCAUGUGGUCAUUCUAUUUCCAUGUUUCGUUUCCUCUUACAAAACGAGAAGAAGAAAAAUAGAGUGAACCUUUCAUGAAAUGAGGAGUUCAGUAUCAAUCGCAUGAGGAACACAAGGAAUUCCAUGAUGGCCAACUUAUAAAUACCCCUGUUUAGGUCUAGCUUGUUCAAGACUUAUUCGGAGAUGCCAAAUCAAUCAACCGAGUACUCUGAAAUAUUGGAGAAAAACAAGAGAUGAGGAGCCAGUGUUCGUGGCCGAAAGGUUAUUUUUACUUGGCUUUUCAAACCUUUGGAUAGAUGAUACAACCACGUGCCACGGAAUUCUCGCUACACAUAUGGUAUUUACUCGGCAGUUCGGGAUUGCUGGUUUCUUGCUGAUUUCUUGAUUGGCAGAUUGGUGCUCUAAUCCUACGCUCAUAUUGAAACAAGAGAUGUAUUUACAUUCCUGCUAGCUUUGGAAUUGGUCGUCAACAGAUUGAACAUUUGGAUUUGGUUGCAUGUAUGAUUUGAUUAAGUUAAUACAAAUGAUAAAUUUUGAAGAGUUGAAUGUGCUUUAUAGGCUCGUUAUGCGUCCACUAAUGUGAUUGCCUUUUUUGUUCUCUCCAACACUUGGGAGGCGUCAACUGGAAGUUCGAGAGACCUAAUGGAUAGAAAAUAAAACUAUACUAAGCUAGGGAGUAUGAUUAAAAAUGUUAUAUGUAUUUAUAUUUACCGAACAGAUGUCGUAAUAUGUAAAUGUGUCUCAUAUCUCAUCUUUGCACAAGUAAGUAAGUAUGCAUGACGAGAGUGGCUUGCAAGCGAUACCAUGUGGUUAAAUAACAAGGUUUGCAUUCAGAUAUACAACAACGCAAAUACUGUUGUUUUCACUGAAGGCUAAAGUUGUGGAGCUUCAAGGUUGAUGACUGAAAGCAUAUUCUGAUUAAUGAGACACACGGGGUGCCAAACAUGGACAACCACCUCAUGAGCAUCAAACCACAUGUUUCAAGUGGGACCUUAAACAUCACGCAUAUGGAUGGGCAAUGACUUACAGUUCAGGCUGGGACUACUCCAUGAUUCCUAGUGUAGUUGAGCAAUUCAGGUGUGUCAAUGUGAUGUUAUUUUUACAAGAAAGUUAGUGCUCUAUCAUCCAAAUCGGGUAUUCUUCAGGUGAGCCAGAUUUACUCAUGUAGGCGGACGCAUCGGCAUGGUCCCCGUAUGCCAACAUGCAGCCAAGAUAAACUAAUUUGGUUUAUUUUAGUGGUAAGGACGAAUGCCAACAUGCUACAAAAAAAUUUGAGGGAGCCAACAUGCUACUCUAAUAAUCGUGACGCGGACGAUUCAAACGCAUCCUCCUGCAUGUCUACACGAAUUGUUGUGGUCGUGGACACUUUUAUAAAAACUAUCAUUCAUUUCUAAAGGAGUAAAAUGAACUGGACCGCGUUUGGAUCCGACAUGUGCAAAACCCCACGGUUCCACGGUAUGUUUAAGAGUUCUUUUAAGAUGAUGGAAGGACGGCACAUACUCAAACAAUUAUCCAAACCCUCUCAAAAAAACAUCUUGCAAAAGGACGAAAUAUUCCACAGGCCAUAUUAUUCUUGUGUUACCACAGCAUGACAUGAGUAUGGUGUAAAUCAUCCAGAAACUGUUUUAUCAUGUGAAUACACACACUUCAAGUGCAAAAUCCUGUGACCAUCCCACCGCUCGUUUUCAUUUCCACUUGCGAAAAAUGGUUAAAACUGCAUGAAAUGGGUAAGGGAUGUCAACUGCAUGAAGAAGGGUGAGAAAUUCAUGGACAUACAUUGAUUGUAUAAAUAGUCCCAUCAAGAUUGUAUUCAAGACUUGCGAUUCACAAAUGUGAAAUCAGUCUACCGAACAGUCUGGAAUAUUGGAGGAAGACAAAAGAUGAGGAAACACGGGUUCUGAGAAUUCUCCUUAUCUAGCUUUUCUUCAUGUUGUUUUCCUCCAAUUAUCCAUCUCUUCAUCAAAUUGUUGGAAUCCAUUGUUGAUCCUACCAUGUAUGGAGCUCUACUUCUCUUGAUAUCAGAUCAGUAAAGGUUUGAGAGACUAUAGCGAUAAAGAAGGAAAUAGAUAUAAGCAUAUAACUUAGAAAUAUUCCCUUUUACUGCACAAAUAAGAAAAUAAAGAUCUCCACAUGAUAGGCGUGCCGGGAUCCGUUUAGAAAAUGUGUCUCAGUUUAUCUUGUAAGUACGUAUUCAUGAAAAAGUGUCUCUACCAGAUGGCUUGACAACAAGAUUUGCAUUCCAUACCAGAGAUUACAAUAUCAAGAUACUCUGGCUGCUUUUGCAACCUUGAGAUCAUCAAAGCCUGAAAAUGCUACCCUAGUGUGAGCUGCAAUUUUCAAUGUUCCAUGAAUUGCAUCUAUCUUGCCUUGAGAUCAUCCAAAACCGCGGAAGCGGCAUUGCAGCCCAGGGCACCCCCAUCACCCAACCGCCUGGGUGUGCGCCGCUGCCACAGGGGUUUAGCCCCUUCACAGGGUUCUGUAAUCUGACAUGUUUGGUGCGGAGCAGAAACAGAUUGGCCAUGAUCGCAAAGGCACUAAUUCUGAACCUUGACAUCCCUUGGCAGGCCAUAUUAGAAAGAGAGAAUCCAAUCCCAUUGUGCUGUGGAAGAUGUUGUCUCCUGAAAAAAAAAGUUAGUUCACAGUGGUAUCGAUUUGCACGACAUAUAAAAGACGAUGAAUCUAUAUUAUACAGUAUGGAGAGAAGUUACCUGUUAAGCCAAACUCCCUUUCAAGACCAAGUAGGUAUGCAUGACAAAAAUGUCCAUACCAGGUGGCUUAACAACAAGGUUCACUGAUACAAGAUAUUACAGAAUCUCACACACUCUUGCUGAUUUUGCAGCCUUGGGCUUGAAAAUGCUACUCUAGGGUCAGGCUGUGCAACUGCCCAUUUCCCAUGAAUUACAUUGUUCAAUCUUGCCAGAGAAUUUUCCAUCAAACAGCACAAUCUCAUCAGCAUAGCCAACGCUCACAUGAUGAGAACAAUGGUCAACCAUGGAUAAAUUAUAUGACCAUACAACACGGCGUCCAAUCUGCAUGUAUCUCAACCUUAACAUAUACUGUACAUCCAAUCAGCAUUGAACCUUAACCUUAACAUAUACGUACAUCCAAUCUGGUGAUGGUACAAUCUGAACUAUAUAUAUAAUAUAUCCACAUGAUGGUAAUAAUAUGAACAAGCACUCCAUAAUGCGAUGUAUUUUCCCUAAUGUACACGCUAUAUAUUUCCUUGUAACAAAAGCAUAAAGAGCAGCAGUUCCAUACGAUCUCGGACAACGCCACUAGUUGUGUAUUGCUUAACGCACUGCAAACGCGCGAGAGGUACCUGUAAAAUGCUCGAUCGACCCUAACAGCGCCUUGGAGGCACCAAAAUGCCUCAGCCUAUAAACACCAGGGGCAGCAUCUUCAGGAAUGGUCCACUCCAGCGUCGCAAAGCUCUCCGGACUGAGUUUCGAAGGCCUCGACCACUUGAAUUGCAAAGACCAAUCGUCAUCGUCGUAGACAGGGAUCCAGUCGUUACCAUUUAGUCUCUCAACAAGGGCGAAGGUACCGUCAGUUAGAAGGUCAUUCCGUGGACAGGCCGAAUGGAAUGUAGCAUUCACGGUACUGCCCUUCCUGAAGUCUGAGUUUGCUUCGACGUCGGAGCUGACAUCCCCAAAGUGAACACCAGGAGGAGUCGAGUCGAGAACGACGCCUGGCAGCAGUCCGAUUUGCUUGUCCAACAUGUCAGGAGGUAGGAUGUUUGUUGCUGGGAUCUCUUUGUUUUCAAUCAUAGCUGUGGCAAGUUUCUGAAAAGCUUGAAUGUAUGCACUCAAGGUAUGGGGGCCGUACAAAGUUGACGCACCCUGCAAAACACAUAUUCACUCCAACGAAACUGAUGAAACAAUAACUGAAAAUUCAGGUUCAGAAAUGACAGAUCUUUAGCAACAAAACAUUAACUAAAGCCAAACUGGUAUAAUUGUGAACAGUCUCUAACAAAAACAGAUAUGUUGGUUUGCGCUUAAAAAAAUUGGAUGUGGCUGAAACAAAUUCUGACGAAAUUCAAAUAAUGGCACUCAAAUCCAGUGCAGGCUUGCAAGCAAAUCGAAGAGGAAGGACUAAUAUUCUGACAUAUCAAGAUGGGGCAGGGACAUAUGGACAACAUGCAUUCACUUUAUCUAAAGGCUGAGGGUACUCCCUCCUUUCCGUAAAAAAGGGGUAGCAACUAGCAAGGACAUGAAAAACAUCACAACGAGAAGUCUACUGAUGGAUGUAAUCUGUUGUGGGAUCCAGCCACCGGCAGGCUGCUCAGUUUUCUUGGGGUGGAGCUGAUUGGAGAUAGCCACUCCAGAAGUUCACGCAACAAUAAUUGUAAUCAAGGGUCAUAGUUCUAUGAAACCGCUCCAGUCUUUAAUAUUUAAUGGACUAUAUUGCCCAUUUUGAUUAAAGGGUUGUGUUUUGAUCUCCACCGUCAAUUUAUUUAAGGGGGUGUACAGAAGCAAAGUUCACAUACCUCGUAUCUUUGGACCUGGUAUUCUUCGAAUGUUGUAACAUACUGAGAAUAUGUGUUUGUCAGCCCCGCAAGAACAACGUGAGUGUUGGAAUUAAAUUCACCAUUGCUGCCACUUAUCAGUACAUUUUUUAUAGCAUCGCGUAACCGCCUGCCAGCCAUUGUCGUGAAUUCUGUGCCAAAACAUAAUAAAAAAUAUUAGAGGAGCACUGACGCUUAUUGACCAUAUGAUUGCUAGCUCUGAAACCCAAGCAAUUGCCUCCCACCUAACUACUGCCCGGGAAGACUUGGUGCUUGGCAGAGCUCAAAAACCUUGCUACGUAAAGCAAGUUCAUUAAGAUGGGAAAAGUCUUCCUUUUGUGUUGUGGACGUGUGGUCCGCUGAGCAGUCUCUAAUAAUUACUACUCCCUCCGUCUCAUAUUAGUUGUCGCUGAAAUGGAUGUAUCUAGACGUAUUUCAGUGCUAGAUCUAUCCGUUUGAACAACAACUAAUAUGGGACAGAGGGAGUAUAUACAAUUUCACUUAGCUCUGCUGGCCUUACUGCCUUGAGCUAUUGCUCAAGUGGACUACUUCUUUCUUACCUAGCAAAGCAAAGUGGGAAAAUGAUGCAGACAUGCAUGUUGCUGGUUUUGUUGAGAAAGAACGGUAACUCAAAAGAAUGGGUAAGAUGAGCAUGACAUGUCUUGAUAGAUAAAAGACCCUCCUGCACUUCUAACUGGGCAGACAUAAUAGGGUUGACGAACUGGAAUAUACCUCCAGGAACAGACAAGAUAACCAGCUGACCGAUUCUUAUGAUCUGAAUGGGGAGUAUCGCAGGCUGCAAAAGAUUACAGAAGUCAAUAAGAUCAGGAAAUAAAAUUUGUGUUAACUCGGUAAAUUGGUUUCUAGUUAGAGAUUUUGCUUUGUGAUUUUGACAUGUUAUGGAGCUUCACAACAGGUGCCCUGCAGUUCACAAAUAACGGAUCAUUUGAUCCCAUCACGUCUACCAGAAAAACAGCGUUGUUAGAGUACGUGAUGGGCCUGGGCCCGUUAGUCUUAGGGUUUGCUUAGGGGUCAAGUAAGCCUUACUUGGGAGUCAAGUAAACCUCUCUAUAUAUGGAGAGGAGAUGUAUCAAUCUAAUCAGGCAAGAAUUAAGAAGGAAAACCCUUUUCCCUCUUGCCCGGCCGUGGGAAAGGACCCCCACGGCCGGCUCUCUCGUGCCCUCACAGCUCUCUCUCUCCCGCUGGAAGAAACUAGGGUUCUACCGGCCCUCUGCCUUAGGUUAUAAGGAUAGGAGGGAGGUUGGAGGGGACGAGGGCGCCGUGGCCGGCGCGACGGCGCCGUCUCGGCAUAGGGAGGAGGCGGCGGCGAGUAGAGGAGGCGGUGGCUAGGGUUAGGGUUCCGGCUCCUCUGGGAGCCGGGCAAUAGAAUUGUCUUAUUGCUUAAUUCCAAAAGAGCUGUUUACAUCGGUUUAUAUAAUCUCGAUAACUUUGACUCUAAGAUAACUAAGAUAAAUUGGACUCUAAGAUAACUAAGAUAACUUGGGCUAAGCCCCUAAUAUUAUUAAGAUAACUGGGCCAGUUUGGCUAACUGGGCUUCUCAUCAUAACAUUUCUCCCCGCCUGCGCAAACAGCUCGUCCUCGAGCUGGAUGUCUAGAAAAUGUUGGCAGAAUUCCUUGAGCUGCUCCCAAGGUGCCUUUGGAGGGUUGAGCUAGUCCGAAGUACGUCGUGCAUCAAGGCCUGGAAUGUCACCGGCGCAUUGGAGAGACCGAAAAGCAUCACCAAAAACUCGAAGUGAUCAUGAUGGUAGCCAGAACGCAAGUUGAGCGUAGGGAAUAAGCGUGGCCCUUGCGGCUUUUCCCAGAGCUCCGCCAUGACCGGUAUAGGAAAAUUGACCCUCAUCGUCAUGGUAGUGAGAGCACGGUAAUCGAGGCAGAAACGCCACAAGCCCCCGGGCUUGUGAACAAGGAGCACCGGUAAAACGUCGCCGUGCCGCUGCGGGAGAUGAGCCAACAGGGGCGGCUCGGAGUCUGCUAUGGCGGUCGACAGCUGAGAGGGAAAUGCUGGAGAAGUGCCACCCUCGCCCUUCCACUGCACCAUGCGCCCUUGACGCCAGAAAGUCAUGGUCAGUGCGUCGAAAUCCCAAAGGAUGGGUCCGAGCGUCCGCAAGAAGUCGACGCCGAGGAUGAAGUCAUAGUCGCCCAAGUCGAUGCCGACACACGUGAUGGCGAAGGACUCGUCGCCGAUGAGGAUGGGAACCUGCUGCGCAAUUCCGUGGCAGCGGAGACGGUCACCAUUAGCCACGGUAACUCGGAGCUGCUCGCCGCCCGUCGGCUGGAGGGCCAGGCGUUGCAUGGUAGACGCGGGCAGGAAGUUGUGUGUAGAGCCCGUGUCCAGGAGAGCUAAGAGGCGCUCCCCAUUAACCGUCACUGGCAACAGCAUCGUUGUUUCCGUUCGUAUGCCGACAAGGGCAUGCAGGGAGACCACGAGAGCGGUGGCUGACGUCGGGGCUGCCGCCUCGGCAAGCUCGGAGGGAGCUGUAUCCUCCACGACAUAGUCGUCCGCCUCCAGAUAGAAGAGGCGCGGGCAGAGGCGCGGGCAGACGUGGCCUGGCACGUAGGGCUCAUCGCAGUUGAAACAUAACCCCUGGCGACGACGCUCGUUUUGUUCGGUCGGGGUUAGCCGAAGGAACGGUCGAGUUGCUGCUGUGGCGGGCGUCCCUGUCGCCGGCUGGGCAGGCUGGGUGGGUGCAGAUAUAGCCGGCUGAGGGGGUGGGCGAGGUGCCUAGGCCGGGAACGCCUGCUGCAUAGCCACCGCCCGUUGCUCGAAUGCGCGGGCAUAGUACAUGGCCGUCUGGAUGUCCUGUGGUCCGCGCAUCUCGACGUCCACGCGGAUGUGGUCGGGGAGGCCCCCGACGAAGAGCUCGGCCCGCUGACGAGUCGUCACGCCAGGCGCGUGACACGCCAGGGCCUGGAAGCGGUCGGCAAAGUCCUGCACCAUGGAUGUGAAGGGUAGGCGGCCAAGCUCCGCCAACCGGCUCCCUUGGAUCGGAGGCCCGAAACGUAGGAGGCAGAGCUCGCGGAAACGCUCCCAUGGAGGCAUGCCGCCCUCGUCCUGCUCGAGAGCGUAAUACCACGUCUGUGCGGCACCUCGGAGGUGAUAUGAAGCGAGCCAGGUGCGAUCCGACACUGGCGUCCGUUGCCUCCGAAAAAACUAGUCACAUUGGUUGAGCCAGCUCAGGGGGUCCUCCGUGCCGUCAUAGGUGGUGAAGUCCAGUUUGGCGAAGCGCGGCGGCGUGUGGGUAGGGCCGCCUUGGCGGUACAGCUCGUCGGCUCGGAGUAGUGCAGGGGUCGGCGCCGGGUACCCGUCGGGGCCGGCGAAGCUGGAGGGCCCGCCGUACUGCGGGGGUGGCGCCGGUGGCGACUGGAUGUGCGGCGGCGCCGAGGCCGUCGUGUACACCGGCUAUGACGACUCAGUCACCCAGGCCGGUAGCGGCGACGGCAAGGGGGGAAAUCGGAGCUGGUGGAUCGGCACCCCCGGCGCAGAGGUAGGGCGCGGCCCGGAGGUGGUUUGUGGCGGCGGCGGCAGCUGCAGGGUCGGCUACAGCGGCCCGACUGAGGGUGGCAGAGGCAGCUGCAGCGGCCAGGCGUGCGCGGCGGUUGCCGCCAGCAGCGGCUGCUGCCAGGGCGGCCAGGACGGGCCGGCGCUGGCUGGUGGUGGCGCGGCUGGCUGCGGCCCGUAGGGCGCGGCCAGGUAUAGCCGAAUGCCCUGGACGGCGGUAGCCAGGUCGCGGAUCGCACCGGUCAGCUCCUCCGGGGUGAGGACGGCCGGAGGCGGCGCGGCAGAAGAGGCUGGCGCAGGCAGGUGCGGCCCGCCGGCCGUGGAGAUCAUCGGAGUGGUGGUGGGGGACGACGGCGCAACGGUGGAGACGGGCGGCGGUGAUGACAUGAUCGAACCAGAGCCUCGUGAUACCAAACUGGUAGAAACUAGGGUUCUACCGGCCCUCUGCCUUAGGUUAUAAGGAUAAGAGGGAGGUUGGAGGAGACGAGGGCGCCGUGGCCGGCGCGACGGCGCCGUCUCGGCGUAGGGAGGAGGCGGCGGCGAGUAGAGGAGGCGGUGGCUAGGGUUAGGGUUCCAGCUCCUCUGGGAGCCGGACAAUAGAAUUGUCUUAUUGCUUAAUUCCAAAAGAGUUGUUUACAUCGGUUUAUAUAAUCUCGAUAACUUGGACUCUAAGAUAACUAAGACAACUUGGACUCUAAGAUAAUUAAGAUAACUUGGGCUAAGCCCCUAAUAUUAUUAAGAUAACUGGGCCAGUUUGGCUAACUGGGCUUCUGAUCAUAACAAGCGUCGAGAGUGAACAUGCAGAUAUAUAGCGCCUAAACAUUAAUCUCUAAAACUAAGAAACUCCCACAGAAAAAAAUCAAGUUCAUUACAGAAACGAAAUUAUGUCUUAUAUACGUAUCAGGCUAUCAGCCUAUGCAGUGUUGAUUUGAUGCUGCAGCAAUUGGUCCUUAUUGAUGGUGGCAUUGGUGUCAGCUAUUAAGUGAAAUUGCAAUUAAGACAUUUCAGAGAAAGCGACGUAACAAGCCUGCUUAUGAUUACUUAAAAAGAAAAUCAUACCGCCCAAUCAUAUGGUUCCUUCAUUUCACCAGUGUCUAGCAAUAUUGGUUUUGGAGCUUGGCACUCGACUUGCUCUUUCCCUGGUUUCUUUAGUAUGCCCCCCACUAAUCUCCAGAAGGGGUUUCCCUGAUAAUAGAAGGUGCACAAUCAGUGAAUACCAUGUCAUCUACAAUUUUGAAGCAAGUGUUUAACUGAUAUACCAAACCUUGUCAUCUCCUUGUUUGAAAUCAAAAGCUCCAGGGCCAUCUGUGGUUCCAGCAGCAAAUGAAAAUCCCAUGGCUGCUGGGCAUGUUUUCACCACCUGCUGACCUCCCGUACUCGUAGAAACACUAACUUCGAGUUGUGAGAAAUCUAAGUAAGUGUGACGAUAGUCAAUUUUUCCUUGUAGUUCUUCCGAAGCAGAAUUAAAGAGAUCUACAGCCUUCAGAAAUUGCCUAUUCCCAAUUAUGCGGGUACUUUCGAACUCAUUAGGAUACCUGCAAGGCAGCAAUAUUUGAAAACCUCAUUUAUAAGGACUUGUUGCUGAUGCUCAUGGAAGGUUAAUAACUUGCUAUGCGAGAAGAAUACCCUGGGCCUCGUCCAUAGCAAAGUUCGUUCUUCCCAUUACACGUGCUGUGAUUGAAGUCACAAGGAAGGUUGGUGUCUAUGCAAAAUGCUCCCAGGACAUUUGGACUAACAUCUCCACAGUUUGACUGGCAAAAUGCGGAAACAAAUUUGGCAUUCUUUUCUUGAGUGCUUCUAAUGCGCCUAGUGAUAUUUGAACCUGCCAAUAUUCUGCCACCUGAGGCCUCGUAGGAUGAUGCUAAUUGCAUUAAGUCAUCCGCUGAACAAAAGCAAACGGAGAAAAUAAUAGGUUUAGGAACAACCUAACAUGUUCAUUCCGACACACUAUAUAUACAAGGCAAGAAGGAUGGAACAUACUUAUCUCAUCUGGCUCUGGUAUUAUUGUAGAGACUCUUCUCGGAAGGUGCAAAGAUCCAAAAUCAUCAGAAUUUGCAUGACCUGUCUGCUUCGGAAGGCCAUUUUGUUCAGCCCAGUCUUCCAUGAAACGUGCAGCUGCUCCUUUGUUAUCACCACUUAUCAAAGAAUUUGUACGACUCAUUGAUGUUCCGUGAGUCGCAAACCAAUUAAAACUUCCAACUGGACCGAAUUCAUCAUCCACAAACUUAACAAGGGUCAUUUCUUUAUCAACAUUGUAUCGAUAUUUGCUUCUCUCUUCAGCUGGAUUAUUCAGAUACCCACUCGGGCUGCGAUUCACACCAGCAUCCAAAAGGUCACCUGAACAUCAAACGUAUGAGGUUGACAACAAAAUCUUCGCAGCAACUAAAUCUAAACUUAGCCGGCAUCACAAUACCAUAAAGAGAGAGAAAAGAGUAGGCAUUGCAUGAGGAAUUGAACAACCGGACUUAUACUGCAUUGAUUAUUAUACAGAUGUCAUAGUGAAAAAAAUAAUUGCAGACAGACUUCAAGUAACAUUUAAAGACCAAACUUAAACUAAAUGACAUUUUAAAUCCAGGUGGAAGACACUAUAAAUAUUACCAAACGUAUGUGUUUUAAUUAGAUGUGAGAUCAGUACAAAUGGUAGUUUGGUAAGACAUUAGUUUAAGACAGUGCAAUUAGUUGCAUACCUUUAUUCACAUAGAUUUUCCCAGGACGGAGAUUGUUAUGAGCUUCAACAAUACUUUGCUCAAUGCCAUCGACAAUUACAUCGAAUGACUGGCGAACAAACCCAAGUGAUGUGAUAAUAUAGACUACAUACUGCAGAUAACCUCCAGGCCCAGCAUGGGUAUGGAUGCCACUGAUAGCCACAUUAUUCUCACUAUAAAGAUCACCGUACCUGCCAAAUCGAGGCUUGCCAAGUCAACCCAACUUCAUGCGCGUGCAAGGCAGAAUCUAGUUUCUUAUUGAUGAAAUAGACCAAGCGGAUUAUAAGACUUUAAAUAUGCCAUUGAGUGCCUCUGUACAAUAUGAAUGUGCAUUAUGAAAUGGCUAAGCACGUUAAGUGACAGCACCUCAGUUCAUAUUAUCUUAAUAACGUACAGAAAGACACCAGCGGCUAAUGAUGGCUUGAACUAAUAUUUCAAGAGAGAAAAAUGCACAAAGGAUGAUGAAACCAUGCAACUGUAUGCAUGAUCUACAAAGAGACGCCAAACAUGCACUCAGAGUUGAAAUCAACAUUUCAGAAUUUUCAGAUAAUUAAUUCAGGAGAAGUUGCUUCUUACUACCUCACUUUUAGCCUUUCGAGCACCUUUAUAGUCACAAGCUGUGAUGCCAUGCAAGCAUCGAGAUUCACAAAGACAACACGCUUUCCAUCAUCAGGCUCGGCGACAAUAAACGCUCGUGACUUUAGCCUGAAGUGAAUCCCUGCUGUAACCUGCUCAGCAUUUGCAUAUCCCAUCAUGUUAACAUCUGCCGCAGGCCCUGUUAUGUCAUAGCUCCCCAAGCCGACGAGAUAAGGAGAUUCUGAGAGCACCGGGCUGCAAUUCUGAAAGAGACGCAGUAAAAGAAGACAUAGCCAUAUCCAGGACAAACCAAAACCGCAGAAUUGGUAGCGCAAGCAAGACGAUGCCUCCAUCAGGAAGGAACCAGGGAAUGAAGUUGCUAAUUAACUAGUGCAAGCCAGAAGCCUCGAGAGAACAAAAAUAUUAACUGCAGUCUGCAAAAGGGAAGAAAAGCCUGUUAAAAAAUAUCACCAAACAUUCUAUCAUACUGAUGCAAGGGAAAGGGUGCAUACUAGUAUCCAACAGGGUUAUCAAGCUAUAAUGACACGAGUACAUGUUAAGCUAUCAAUAAAGUGUCCCCGCAAAAAAAAAAUACAGUAGUGUGGCGUGGGCCAGGCUUCCGGAUCACCAUCUCCUGAGUGCUCAUGGGAAAGCUGAGGUAUGGCUUCGAUUUGAUGGAUCCGACUGAUAUGUGGUCCAUCUCAUCAUCUAGCAGGCGAUGACAUGUUUUACUAAAAAAAAAUUUAGAAAAGGAUGUUUUACUAAAUGAAGUAGGAGUUCUGAACUAGGAGGCAUUAAUGGCCUAUUCUGUACGGGUUAAUGGUUUGAUGAACUGGGGUCCGUUUGGUAGGUAGAUCUGGACUCUGGAAUUACUAGUAGUGUAUUAGCACCUAAUGGACAGGGAUUUUUUGGCUCUAGAGGCCCAGAGUACGCUCAAUUUAAUUCGCGGUUGCUGGAUUACUGUCAUGAAUUAUCAAUUUCCCACUUAAAUUCAAAUUCUCUAAAAAAAUCAUGAAAUGCACUUAAUAUUUUUUCCAAAAAAGAAAAAAAAAUCUUUGAAUUAGUAUCAUGAAAUUCUGAGCUUUCUUAGAAAAGACGCAAUACCUUGAUUUAGUAUCAUAAAAACUCCUGGAAUUAGUAUGGUGGAGUCCAGACUCUCCCACUUACAUUUUUUCAAUUCUGAUAAAUCACAAAACCCACUCAAUGUCAUCCACUCCACUGGAGCACAAAAUCUAGCACUACUGCCCCAGAUCCAAUUACAUACAGUAAUUUAACUAAACGCGUCGAGUUACACACACUACUGGGCCUGGCUGGAAUGAGGUGAGGGAGGCGGACUGGCUCACCAUGCGAACGGCGGAUCUCGACCGGGAACCCCGCCCCGGGCUGGCUGCUGCACUGGCACAAAAUGGUGGCCUCCGCCCGCCAUUUAAACCCGCGCCGCCCCGUCCUACACGACACGGCUAGGCCGGUUGGGAACUCCAAGAGCGGGGCGCCUCGUGGUCGUAGCUCAUGGCGGGCCGGCGACCUCGACAAGGGAUCGAGGGGGGCACGGGGUGGAGCGUACAAGGCACGCCUCGGGAUGGCGAAAGGGACCCAGCUAACCAAACAAACACGAGAAGGAGCUCGGCGCCGCGGGAACUGGUAGGGGCGUGGUGUGGACUGUGGAGUGGAAGGGGGAGCGGGGGAGGAGGAGGCGCGCGCACCUCUGAGCUCGGGGGGGUUGGACCUCGUCGGCAUGGAGACGGCCGGACUGAGGAGGAGGAGGAGGAGGAGCGGGCGAGGCGUUGAAUCGGCGGCGAGGAUGACGACCAAGUGGGCAGACGCGCCGCUGAGACUUCGGGCCGGGCCUUCCACGCGUUUGGGCCCUCUUUCUUUUUCUUACUCCCCUGCGAACGUAAGAUAUUCUUUUUAGCAGUCCGAACGUCGUUAGAGUCGUUGGAUCCCGAUCAAACGCAUGGCAAUUACUCUGCGUUUUCUUCAACAGACAUAUAUUUCGGUACGGAGGGAGCACAUGACAACGUCGCUUUAGACCAUAAUGCUUAAAAAAUUAAAAUGCUUAAAAAUAAAUGUCGAUUUAGAUCAUGGCAAAUUCAUUGUAACACUACGGGAGUUUUAUCUUUUUUUCACAUGACAACGAGGAAGUACUCACGUUCGUUAGGAAAAAUCUGAACCGGUUUUUUAACAUUUUUUUGGAUGAUCCACGUGUUUGCGUCCUUUUCCUUGGAGAGAGAGGGAGAGAGAGAAACGGGAUGGACUCUGGGCUUUUGUAACGGAUACUGGCCGGACCUGGUGUUACGUAGCUUGUAGGUGAUGUCGAUGAAUUUGUUUUUUCAUAUAUAUUAAUAAAAAAAGUACCUUCUCCCCUUCCUCAUACGCAAACUUCAUUUCAUUAAAACGGAAAGUAACAGUAUCGAACAUCAGUCAUCAUCCUUUUUUUCUUACUUCUUUUCUCUCCUCGCAACAUCGAUGAGGUGGUCAUGUCGAUGGGGUGUUGGAACAAGGUCUUUCUGGUCUCCUCUUACCUCGACCACAUUCGAUCCGGCACCAACGGAAGGUCUGUGCAAGUUUGUGCGGUCGAAUCUAAUUGGCUCUCUUCAGACCUCGAUGGUUAGUGUGUCUUUCAAGAAAAGCAAUUGGCCCUGGUGCUCCAGGUUGCACACAUUGCUGCCAUGUGUCAUCUUUGUCGUGUGCUGGCAGAUGGCAAAGAGCCUGUAUUGCCCUUUUUUGUCUGUUUUCUUUGAUUUCCCUACAUUUUCACAGCACACAUAUAUAUAGUUUCAGACAUAUUCGGCACAUAUAUUUCACAGCACAUAUAUUUCCAACGUCAUCAUGAAAUAUUUAACAAGCUAGAGAACACAUAGGCUAGCACAAAUACAUAGUUUGGCAUAGUUCAUCCAUAUAUACAUACAUAAGUUUCACAUUGUUAGUCAAUACAAAUAAAAAACCGAACACUAGUAGUCCAUCAAUGCCAACUUCCAUGAAGUGAAUAAAAUCUGCAAAAAUUCCUUGUUUUUCUUCUUAUUAUUCCUUAUUUGUGUCAUUUUAGAGCUAACUUAGGUAAUUAUGUAAUUUUGAGCUAACUAAGCUUAUUAUGUCAUUUUGGAGGAAAAUAGGGUAAGUAUAGGUCAUUAUUAAGCUAACUUAGGUAAUUAUGUCAUUUUUGAGCUAACUAAGCUUAUUAUAUCAAUUUGGAGGAAAACAAGCUAAGUAUAUGGAAUUUAUGAGCUAACCACGGUUAUUAUGCUAUUUUGACCUAACUAAGCUAAUUAUGUCAUAAAUGAAGUAAAUAAGCUAAUUAUGUCAUUUUGAAGGAUAAUUAGCUAAGUAUGUCUUUCUUUGGGAAAAUGAGCCAAGUAAGUGGCAUAUUAGGGCUAACUAGCAUGUACGAAGCUAAGUAUGCAUUCGUUAAGCAAAACACUAGAGAGAACUUACCGUCCUCGUCAUCACGGAGGUGAAGCACCCGGGUUCCUCGGGCCGGUUUCACCUUGAGAAGGAUGCCCUAGAGAAGGGUUGUGCGAUGCGGCUCCGGAGUUAUGCUGCACCAAAGAUCAUUUGCAAUGUCUCAUUAGCAUGAUGACACUCAGAUGUUAAGACUAGUAACUAAUGACCGUUCAAAUGAAACUCACCGUUCUUGCCGCGGUAAUGAAUGGCAUCGCGGGGGGGUUUGACCGAUCUUCUCGCACAUAGACUGCACAUUCGGUUUUGACGAGUCAUACAUAUUAGUUAGUAAUGAAACAAACAUUGCAUGCAUGAUUUGGCUAAUAUGAAGAAGAUACUUACCACGAAGAGCUCGUACAUGGCCCGGUGAGAUGCCUCGUUCCGUUCCCUCUCCUCCUCCAACAACUGAGCCAUCCUCUGCUGCGUGGCCAAUUGCUGCUCCUGGGUCCUCGCCCUCUCUCUCUCUGAAUAGCAGCCUUCAACAACACACAUCGUUAGCAUUGUAAUCAUCGAUGGCCACACACACAAUGUAAUGGAGGAAAGAUAGCUGAUUUUCGUAUAAUUAACCUCGAUGGCGAGAUCAACUGGCCGUGGACGAGGCCUUUGUUGAAAAUAUGCCCCAGAGGCAAUAAUAAAAUAGUUAUUAUUAUAUUUCAUGUUUCAAGAUAAUCGUUUAUUAUCCAUGUUAUAACUGUAUUGAAUGAAAACAUAAAUGCAUGUGUGGAUAUAUAGACAAAAUUGUGUCCCUAGUGAGUCUCUAGUUGACUAGCCUAUUGAUCAAGGAUGAUUAAGGUUUCCUAGCCAUAGACAAGUGUUGUCACUUGAUGACGGGAUCACAUCAUUAGGAGAAUGAUGUGAUGGAUAAGACCCAAACUAUAAACAUAGCAUAUGAUCGUGUCAUUUUGUUGCUAUUGUUUUCUGCAUGUCAAGUAUUCAUUCCUAUGACCAUGAGAUCAUGUAACUCACUGACACCGGAGGAAUGCCUUAUCUGUAUCAAACAUCGCAACAUUAAUGGCUUAGUAGUUUGUUGUCACGAAGUUUGCCACCUCCUCGGUAAUGAAUGCAUCGACCAUCGAUGCUUCAAUUCUAUGUUUAUUUUUACAUUUUGCUUGAAGCGUAUUCUACAUCCUCUGAGUUGCAAAGCACCAAUAAUUUUGCACGGGCCCACCCAAUCUUGCCUUGGUUGGGAGAUGUAAAAUCAAAUGCUGCAUUGGAUUAAAGAAGCCCGGUGGAAAGAUCUUCUCUAACUUGAAGAGCAACUCCGGCACCAACUCCUCCAUGUCAUCUACCACACCAGUUUGUUCUGUGGCCAUUUGCAAAUGUGGCUCUCUGAUACGUCUCAAACGUAUAUAUAAUUUUUGAUGGUUUCAUGUUGUUAUCUUGUCAUCUUUGGAUGUUUUAUGUACCUUUUGUAUCUUUUUUUGGACUAACUUUUUAAUUCAGUGCCAAGUGUCAAUUCCUGUUUUUCUAUGUUUUUGGCUCUUUUCAUAUCUGAUUUUGGAACGAAGUCCAAACGGAAUAAAAUCCUUGAAAUAUUUUUUUCCCGAAUGGAAGAAGAUCAUGGGGCUUGAGGGCCAAGCCAGGAGAGCUACAGGGGGCCCACAAGCCCUAUAGCCGCCACCAGGGGGCGGCGGCUAGCAGGCUUGUGGCCUCCCUGGCGGCUCCCUGACCUAGCUCAUUCGCCUGAAUAUUCCCUAAAAUACAGAAAAAAUCAGGGAAUCCACGAAAACACUUUUCCGCUGCCGCAAGCUUCCGUUUCCGCGAGAUCUCAUCUGGAGACCCUUCCCGGUGCCCUGCCGAAGGGGACUUUGGAGUUGGAGGGCUUCUACAUCAUCAUCAUCGCCCUCCAAUGACUCGUGAGUAGUUCACUUCAGACCUACGGGUCCGUAGUUAGUAGCUAGAUGGCUUCUUCUCUCUCUUGGAUCUUCAAUACAAAGUUCUCCAUGAUCUUCAUGGAGAUCUAUCUGAUGUAAUCCUCUUUGGCGGUGUGUUUGUCGAGAUCUGAUGAAUUGUGGAUUUGUGAUCAGAUUAUCUAUGAUAUAUAUUUGAGUCUUUGCUGAUUUCUUAUAUGCAUGAUUUGAUAUCCUUGUAAGUCUCUCCGAGUCUUGGGUUUUGUUUGGCCAACUAGAUCUAUGAUUCUUGCAAUGGGAGAAGUGCUUGGUUUUGGGUUCAUACCGUGUGGUGAGCUUUCCCAGUGACAGUAGGGGUAGUAAGGCACACAUCAUGUAGUUGCCAUCAAGGGUAACAAGAUGGGCUUUGUCGUAGAUAUGAGAUUGUCCAUCUACAUCAUGUCAUCUUGCUUAAGGAGUUACUCUGUUCUUUUAGACUUAAUACACUAGAUGCAUGCUAGAUAGCGGUCGACGUGUGGAGUAAUAGUAGUAGAUGCAGAAAGUAUCGGUCUACUUGUUUUGGACGUGAUGCCUAUAGAUAUAAUCAUUGCCAUAGAUGACGUCACGACUUUGCGCGGUUCUAUCAAUUGCUCGACAGUAAUUUGUUCACCCACCGUCUACUUGCUUUCAUGAGAGAAGCCACUAGUGAACACUACGGCCCCGGGUCUAUUCACACAUAUCGUUUCCACUUUCGCUUUUACUUUGCUUUGUUACUUUGUUGCUUUCAGUUCUCACUUGGCAAACAAUCUAUAAGGGAUUGACAACCCCUUCAUAGCGUUGGGAGCAAGCUUUUUGUGUUUGUGCACGUACUUGUGAUACUCCUUCACUGGAUCGAUACCUUGGUUCUCAAAACCGAGGGAAAUACUUACCACUGAUGUGCUACAUCACCCUUUCUGCUUCGAGGGAAAACCAACACAAGGCUCCAAGGCCACGGGGGGAAUCCUUUGCAUAUUUUCCUAGGAAGUCCCUUAAGGCGUAGCCGUAGCAGAGAGAUUCCUGGUGUCAUUGCUGAGGAGUAUCAAGACAAGAAUAGUCUCCCGUCAACACGUAUUUCUGGCGCCAUUGGAAGGUCUUUUGUUGCAGUAGCACUCUCACAAACUCUUUGGUUUUUGUUAACCAUUCUUUGGUCAUCUCUUUCUGACUAGUGUAACCGGUGUACAUCCACGCAUGAUCACUCAUCUUGCCUAGCUACUGGACACACAAGACUAGUGAUAUUUGAUCAUCUGUAAGGUUACCGUUUAAUCUGACAAGAAGUGAUAUUUGAAUGAAAUAUUAGAUUGGAAAACCCUUCAAACCUCAGCAUGAGUACAAACAUGGCAAAUGACUUUAAAUAUCCUACUGUGGGUAUAACUUCCUCAUUGGAUACUUCCUCAACAUGAAUAUAAAAUAUUGAUCUCUUUUGCCCAGUUGUCCCACAUGCACUUUCUUUUUAGAAAGGAAAAACUCUUUCACGUGAUGGUUUAGUCAAAAGAAAAACUCUUUCACGCUUGGUUUCAUUCUGCGGGAUAGAUUUUGAUACAUCAUCAAGUGUCUCUACGAACAAAACAAGACCAAGAUCAAUACAUCACACCACAUGUGUGCAAAAUUUGGUACAAGCAAAUCUAAUUGAAACAGAAAAGAAUGAGGGCCAACUUAUUCUAAAAAGGAACAUAAACAAAAAAAUAGUGAGGGCAAAGGAGAGAGAGAGAGACAUGAGAUCAAGCGGAUGCCCCGACCAUGGCCAAGGCCUCCUCCACCAUCGAAUCACAUUGUCAGCUCGAACGCCAGGCCUGGGCUACCCCGCAUCAGUACCCACCCCCUCGAUCUAUCUCUCUCGGUGUGGCCCAUCUCGAUGAGAUGUGGCCGUGGAGGAUCUGGCCGUCGCCCCGCUGACUUGCUCGACUCGAUCUAUGGCCUCCCCGCUUGAAGGAAAGAACGUUAGUGGAGGGCGGCGCCGGCGGGGGAGAGGGUGGAGCUUUGGGUGGGGGAGAGGGAAAAAGGGCGUCUGUGUAGAGGAGAAUGGAUCGGAGGACGCCUCUCAUACGUCCAUUUUGCAUCAUGCUUUCAUGUUGAUAUUUAUCGCUUUAUGGGCUGUUAUUUUACUUUGUGGUACCAUAUUUAUGCCUUUUCUCUCUUAUUUUGCAAGGUUUAUUUGAAGAGGGAGAAUUCAGGUAGCUGGAAUUCUGGACUGGAAAAGGAGCAAAUCUGAGUCCUCUAUUCUGCACAGCUCCAAAUGCCCUAAAAACUUACGUGGAAUUUUUUGGGAAUAUAUAAAAAAUAUUGGGCGAAAGAAGUACCAGAGGGGAGCUACCAGGGCCCCACAAGCCUGGUAGCCGCCACCCCCUGUGGUGGCGGCUACAGGGCUUGUGGGCUCCCUAACGUCCCAGUGCCCCCCUCUUUUGCUAUAUGAAGGGUUUCGUUCCAGAAAAAAUCAAUCGGGAGCUUUUUCGUGGUUUCGCCGCCGCCACGAGGCGGAACUUGAGCAGAUCCAAUCUAGAGCUCCGGCAGGACGAUCCUGCUGGGGAAACUUCCCUCCCAGAGGGGGAAAUCGUCGCCAUCGUCAUCACCAACACUCCUCUCGUCGGAGGGGAGGCAUCUCUUGUAACCAAUCUCCGUCUCGUGACUCCAAUUGGUACUUGUAAGGUUGCUGGUAGUGUUGAUUACUCUUUGUAGUUGAUGCUAGUUGGAUUACUUGGUGGAAGAGUUUAUAUUCAGAUCCUUGAUGCUAUUCAUUACACCUCUGAUCAUGAUUAUGAUUAUGCUUUGUGAGUAGUUACUUUUGUUCCUGAGGACAUGAGAUAAGUCAUGCUAAUAAUAGUCAUGUGAAUUUGGUAUUCGUUUGGUAUUUUGAUAUAUGAUGUAUGUUGUAUUUUCCUCUAGUGGUGUUAUGUGAACGUCGACUACAUAAAACUUCACCAUAUUUGGGCCUAGAGGAAGGCAUUGGGGAGUAGUAAGUAGAUGAUGGGUUGCUGGAGUGACAAAAGCUUAAACCCCAAUCUAUGUGUUGCUUCGUAAGGGGCUGAUUUGGAUCCACUAGUUUAAUGCUAUGGUUAGACGUUGUCUUAAUCUUCUUUCGUAGCUGCGGAUGCUUGCGAGAGGGGUUAAUCAUAAGUGAGAUGCUUGUCCAAGUAAGGGCAGUACCCAAGCGUCGGUUCACCCACAUAUCAAACUAUCAAAGUAACGAACGUGAAUCACAUGAACAUGAUGAAACUAGCAUGACAGAAAUUCCCGUGUGUCCUCGGGAGCGUUUUUCCUCCUAUAAGACUUUGUUCUGGCUUGUCCCUUGCUAGAAAAGGGAUUGGCCACUUGUUGCACCAUUGCUACUACUUGUUACUUGUUAGUUUUCUCUUGCUACGUUUCACCUCGCUACACCAUCACUUGUUACCGCUACUUUCAGUGCUUGCAGUUAUUACCUUGCUGAAAACCGUUUAUCAGAGUCUUCUGCUCCUCGUUGGGUUUGACACUCUUACUUAUCGAAAGGACUACGAUUGAUCCCCUAUACUUGUGGGUCAUCAAGACUCUUUUCUGGCGCCGUUGCCGGGGAGUGAAGCGCCUUUGGUAAGUGGAAUUUGGUAAGGAAACAUUUAUAUACUGUGCUAAAAUUUAUUGUCACUUGUCACUAUGGAAACUGUUCCUUUGAGGAGUUUGUUCGGGGUAUCUUCACCACGAACGGAAGCAUGAGGAGUUGUUCCUCAACCUGAGGUAUCUACUGAAAAUAUCUUUUAUGAAAUUCCUUCGGGUAUGCUUGAGAAACUGCUCGCUAAUCCUUUUUACAGGAGAUGGAUCUUCACAUCCAGACUUGCAUCUGAUCUAUGUAGAUGAAGUUUGUGGUUUAUUUAAGCUUGCAGGUUUGCCCGGGGAUGAGGUAAAUAAGAAAGUCUUUCCUUUAUCUUUGAAGGAUAAGGCGUUGACAUGGUAUAGACUAUGUGAUGAUACUAGAUCAUGGAACUACAAUCGGUUGAAAUUGGAAUUUCAUCAAAAGUUCUAUCCUAUGCAUUUAGUACAUCGUGAUCGAAAUUAUAUUUAUAAAUUUUGGCCUCGUGACAGGGAAAGCAUAGCUCAAGCUUGGGGGAGGCUUAAAUCAAUGCUAUAUUCAUGCCCCAAUCAUGAGCUCUCGAGAGAAAUUAUCACUCAAAACUUUUAUGCUCGGCUUUCUCAUGAAGAUCGUACCAUGCUUGACACUUCUUGUACCGGUUCUUUUAUGAAGAAGGAUAUUGACCACAAGUGGAAUUUAUUGGAAAGAAUCAAACGUAACUCUGUAGAUUGGGAGCUGGAAGAAGGUAAGGAGUCAGGUAUGAAUUUCCAAUUUGAUUGCGUUAAAUCUUUUGUUGAGACAAACACUUCUAGAGAUUUUAGCACUAAGUAUGGACUUGACUCUGAGAUAGUAGCUUCUCUAUGUGAAUCUUUUGUUGCUCAUGUUGAUCUUCCCAAAGAGAAGUGGUUUAAAUAUCAUCCUCCUGUAGAAAGCAACAUAGCCAAAACCAAUCUAGUUGAGGAGAAAAUCAUUGCUUUUAGUGAUCCUGUUGUUCCUUGUGCCUACGCUGAGACACCACCAUACCCUGCUAGGAUAAAGGAUUAUUCUAAAGCUCCAACUGUGAUACGUAGGGGUUACAUUAGACCACUUGCACCCCGUGAGGAGAUUAGAGUUGAACCUAGUGUUGCUAUUAUCAAAGAUCUCUUAGCCGAAGACAUAGACGAGCAUGUUAUCAAAUUCUGUGAGGACUCCGCUAGAAUUGCUAAACCUCACGCGAAAGACAAAUACAGACAUGUAGUUGGCCUGCCCGUUGUUUCUGUCAAGACAGGAGAUCACUGUUACCAUGGUUUAUGUGAUAUGGGAGCUAGUGUUAGUGCAAUACCCCGUUCCCUAUAUGAUGAAAUCAAAGAUGAGAUUGCACCUGCUGAGUUAGAACCCAUUGAUGUCACUAUUACGUUAGCUAAUAGAGACACUAACUGCCCUAUGGGAAUUGUGAGAGACGUAGAAGUCCUGUGUGGUAAGACAAAGUAUCCUACUGAUUUCCUUGUCCUUGGUACUGCACAAAAUAGCUUUUGUCCCAUCAUAUUCGGUAGACCCUUUCUCAACAUUGUCAAUGCUCACAUUAAUUUAACUUCUCCAAGUUUGGAAGACAACCCCAUGAAAAAGAGUCGACUCGUAGGGAUGAAAUCAUUGCUCUUGACUCUAUUGCCGUACCUCCUACGGAUCCUUUAGAGCAAUAUCUGUUUGAGCAUGAAAAUGAUAUGCAUAUGGAUGAAAGAGAUGAGAUAGAUAAAAUUGUCUUAGAGCAAUAUCCUAUUCUCAAGAAUAAUCUGCCUGUUGAACUGCUUGGGGAUCCUCCCCCACCAAAGGGUGAUCCUGUGUUCGAGCUUAAACAGUUGCCUGAUACUCUUAAGUAUGCCUAUCUUGAUGAGAAGGAGAUAUAUCCUGUUAUUAUUAGUGCUCUCCUCUCAGAGCACGAAGAAAAGAAGUUACUAAAAACUCUGAGAAAGCACCGUGUUGUUAUUGGAUAUACUCUUGAUGAUCUUAAGGACAUUAGUCCUACUCUAUGCCAGCACAAGAUUAAAACUGAUCCUGACUUCAAACCAGUUGCUGAUCAUCAAAGAAGAUUGGAUCCUAAGAUGAAAGAGGUCGUGAGAAAACAAAUAUUAAAGCUUCUGGAAGCAGGAAUCAUUUAUCCUGUUGCUCAUAGUGAUUGGGUAAGUCGAGUACAUUGCGUACCUAAGAAGGGAGGUAUCACCGUCGUUCCUAAUGAUAAGGAUGAAUUAAUCCCACAAAGGAUUAUUACUGGCUAUAGGAUGGUGAUAGACUUCCGGAAACUGAACAAGGCAACCAGGAAAGAUCAUUAUCCUUUGCCGUUUAUCGACCAAAUGAUAGAAAGGCUAUCCAAACACACACACUUCUACUUUCUAGACGGUUAUUCAGGUUUCUCGCAAAUACCUGUUGCACAAUCUGAUCAGGAGAAAACCACUUUCACGUGCCCCUUCGGUACCUUUGCUUAUAGACGUAUGCCUUUUGGCUUAUGCAAUGCACCUGCCACCUUUCAAAGAUGUAUGAUGGCUAUAUUCUCUGACUUUUGUGAAAAGAUUGUCGAGGUUUUCAUGGAUGACUUCUCCGUUUACGGGUCUUCCUUUGAUGAUUUCCUAAGCAACCUUGAUCGAGUCUUACAGAGAUGCAAAGAUACCAACCUCGUCUUGAAUUGGGAGAAGUGCCACUUUAUGGUUAAUGAAGGCAUCGUCUUAGGACACAAAAUCUCUGAAAGAGGCAUUGAAGUUGAUAAGGCUAAGGUUGAUGCAAUUGAGAAAAUGCCUUGCACCACAGAUAUCAGAGGUAUACGAAGUUUCCUAGGUCAUGCUGGUUUCUAUAGAAGAUUCAUUAAAGACUUCUCUAAGUUUUCUAGGCCUCUUACCAACCUCUUGCAGAAGGAUGUUCCUUUUGUUUUUGAUGAGGAUUGUGAGGAAGCUUUCGAAAUACUUAAGAAGGCUUUGAUAACCGCACCCAUUGUUCAACCACCUGACUGGAACUUGCCCUUUGAAAUCAUGUGUGAUGCUAGUGAUUAUGCUGUUGGUGCUGUUCUAGGACAAAUAGUUGACAAGAAGUUGAAUGUCAUUCACUACGCUAGUAAAACUCUAGACAGUGCCCAAAGAAACUAUGCCACUACGGAAAAGGAGUUUUUAGCAGUCGUGUUUGCAUGUGAAAAGUUCAGAUCUUAUAUAGUUGAAUCAAAAGUCACUAUUCACUCUGAUCAUGCUGUUAUUAAGUACCUUAUGGAGAAGAAGGAUGCUAAGCCUAGGCUAAUCAGAUGGGUUCUCCUGCUACAGGAAUUUGAUUUGCACGUUGUUGACCGAAAGGGUGCUGAUAACCCUGUAGCAGAUAACUUGUCCAGGCUAGAGAAUGUCCUUGAUGACCCACGACCUAUUGAUGACAGCUUCCCUCAUGAGCAAUUAAAUGUCAUCCGCACUUCACAUAGUGCACCGUGGUAUGCUGAUUACGCAAACUAUAUCGUAGCCAAAUACAUACCACCCAGUUUCACCUAUCAGCAAAAGAAGAAAUUCUUCUUUGAUUUGAGACACUACUUUUGGGAUGAUCCUCACCUUUAUAAGGAAGGAGUAGAUGGUGUUAUUAGACUUUGUGAGCCUGAACAUGAACAGGGACAGAUCCUGCAGAAGUGUCAUUCCGAAGCGUAUGGAGGACACCAUGCUGGAGAUAGAACUGCUCAUAAGGUAUUGCAAUCAGGUUUCUAUUGGCCCACUCUCUUCAAGGAUGCCCGUAAGUUUGUCUUGUCUUGUGACGAAUGCCAAAGAAUAGGGAAUAACGUCAGGAAAUGCCUAUGAACUAUUCACUUGUCAUUGAACUGUUCGAUGUCUGGGGCUUUGAUUAUAUGGGACCCUUCCCGAGUUCCAAUGUGUACACUCACAUCUUAGUUGCUGUGGAUUACGUCACUAAGUGGGUAGAAGUUAUCCCCACUAAAAAUGUUGAUCACCACACCUCUAUUAAGAUGCUUAAAGAAGUCAUUUUCCCAAGAUUUGGAGUCCCUAGAUAUCUGAUGACUGAUGGCGGUUCACACUUCAUUCAUGGUGUUUUCCACAAGAUGCUCGCUAAGUAUGAUGUCAACCAUAGAGUUGCAUCUCCUUAUCAUCCUCAGUCUAGUGGUCAAGUGGAGUUGAGUAAUAGGGAGAUCAAAUUGAUCCUACAAAAGACUGUCAAUAGAUCUCAAAAGAAUUGGUCUAGUAAACUUGACGAUGCACUAUGGGCUUAUAGGACUGCUUAAAAGAAUCCCAUGGGCAUGUCGCCGUAUAAAAUGGUUUACGGUAAGGCCUGUCAUUUACCUCUUGAGCUGGAACACAAAGCUUAUUGGGCAAUCAAAGAGCUCAACUUCGAUUUCAAACUUGCCGGUGAGAAGCGGUUGUUUGAUAUCAGCUCAUUAGAUGAAUGGAGGGCCGAGGCAUAUGAGAAUGCCAAGUUGUUCAAGGAAAAGGUUAAGAGAUGGCACGAUAAACGAAUACAGAAAUGAGAGUUCAAUGUAGGUGAUUAUGUCCUGCUUUACAAUUCUCGCUUAAGAUUCUUCGCAGGCAAGCUUCUCUCUAAAUGGGAAGGCCCUUACUGUUGGAAAUAUGCCCUAGAGGCAAUAAUAAAUUAGUUAUUAUUAUAUUUCUUAGUUCAUGAUAAUCGUUUAUUAUCCAUGCUAUAAUUUUAUUGAUUGGAAACACAAUACUUGUGUGGAUACAUAGACAAAACACUGUCCCUAGUAAGCCUCUAGUUGACUAGCUCGUUGAUCAAAGAUGGUCAAGGUUUCCUGGCCAUAGGCAAGUGUUGUCACUUGAUAACGGGAUCACAUCAUUAGGAGAAUCAUGUGAUGGACUAGACCCAAACUAAUAGACGUAGCAUAUUGAUCGUGUCAUUUUGUUGCUACUGUUUUCUGCGUGUCAAGUAUUUGUUCCUAUGACCAUGAGAUCAUAUAACUCACGGACACCGGAGGAAUGCUUUGUGUGUAUCAAACGUCGCAACGUAACUGGGUGACUAUAAAGAUGCUCUACAGGUAUCUCCGAAGGUGUUCGUUGAGUUAGUAUGGAUCAAGACUGGGAUUUGUCACUCCGUGUGACGGAGAGGUAUCUCGGGGCCCACUCGGUAAUACAACAUCACACACAAGCCUUGCAAGCAACGUAACUUAAUGUAAGUUGCGGGAUCUUGUAUUACGGAACGAGUAAAGAGACUUGCCAGUAAACGAGAUUGAAAUAGGUAUGCGGAUACUGACGAUCGAAUCUCGGGCAAGUAACAUACCGAAGGACAAAGGGAAUGGCAUACGGGAUUAUACGAAUCCUUGGCACUGAGGUUCAAACGAUAAGAUCUUCAUAGAAUAUGUAGGAUCCAAUAUGGGCAUCCAGGUCCCGCUAUUGGAUAUUGACCGAGGAGUCUCUCGGGUCAUGUCUACAUAGUUCUCGAACCCGCAGGGUCUGCACACUUAAGGUUCGACGUUGUUUUAUGCGUAUUUGAGUUAUAUGGUUGGUUACCGAAUGUUGUUCGGAGUCCCGGAUGAGAUCACGGACGUCACGAGGGUUUCCGGAAUGGUCCGGAAACGAAGAUUGAUAUAUAGGAUGACCUCAUUUGAUUACCGGAAGGUUUUCGGAGUUACCGGGAAUGAACCGGGAAUGACGAAUGGGUUCUGGGAGUUCACCGGGAGGGGGCAACCCACAAGUGCCCUAUGCGCCAAGGAUAAAAAUCAAAGGAGAAAAAAAAGGAGGAAGUGGGAAAGGGGAAGGACUCCCUCCGACCAAACCUAGUCCAACUCGGUUUAGGGGGGAGAGUCCUCCCCCUGGCUCGGCCGACCCCUUGGGGAUCCCUUGGACCCCAAGGCAAGGUCCCCCUCCCUUCUCCUAUAUACAUGGGGCUUUUAGGGCAGAUUUGAGACGACUUUCUCACGGCUGCCCGACCACAUACCUCCAUAGUUUUUCCUCUAGAUCGCGUUUCUACGGAGCUCGGGCGGAGCCCUGCUGAGACGAGAUCAUCACCAACCUCCGGAGCGCCGUCACGCUGCCGGAGAACUCUUCUACCUCUCCGUCUCUCUUGCUGGAUCAAGAAGGCCGAGAUCAUCGUCGAGCUGUACGUGUGCUGAACGCGGAGGUGCCGUCCGUUCGGUACUAGAUCGUGGGACUGAUCGUGGGAUUGUUCACGGGGCGGAUCGAGGGACGUGAGGACGUUCCACUACAUCAACCGCGUUCACUAACGCUUCUGCUGUACGAUCUACAAGGGUACGUAGAUCACUCAUCCCCUCUCGUAGAUGGACAUCACCAUGAUAGGUCUUCGUGCGCGUAGGAAAAUUUUUGUUUCCCAUGCGACGUUCCCCAUCAGUAGGGAGUGUGUGUCCCGGGUCUGUGUGUCUUUUGGUUUAAAUACCAAGCCGCUCCAAACCAGAUGUAGAUCUGUCACGGCAGUUGGAACUGGGUCAUCAACUACUGUCUUCGUUGUGAAACUCGUUCUAAUUCCUCAACCCUUUACAUUCCUCAGAUUAUGUGUUGAUGACUUUCAAUGUGAUUGUUUGAAGAAUUUGCUGAAGAUUUUCUCUGAAAUUCCUCAACCCCAAAUUCUUCACGCUAGUUAAUACUCAUCUGUUUCUGCGUGCGUGCUCACUGUGCGAUCUGUUUUCACAUUCCUCACAUGAGAAACUCUGUUGUGAAACUUUGCACUCCUGAUCCUUUACUGUUUCCGCUGUAAGUUAGUCAUCAGUGAGGAAUUUCCUCAAAAGAAAUUUCCUCAGUGAUGAAAUUCUAAAAAUCUCCUAUUCACCCCCCUCUAGUCGAUAUAACGCACUUUCACAUAUUUAUGCCUUUUCUCUCUUAUUUUGCAAGGUUUAUUUGAAGAGGGAGAAUUCAGGCAGCUGGAAUUCUGGACUGGAAAAGGAGCAAAUUUGAGUCCUCUAUUCUGCAUAGCUCCAAAUGCCCUGAAAAUUUAUGUGGAAUUUUUUAGGAAUAUAUAAAAAAUACUGGGCGAAAGAAGUACCAGAGGGGAGCUACCAGGGCCCCACAAGCCUGGUAGCCGCCACCCCCUGUGGUGGCGGCUACAGGGCUUGUGGGCUCCCUAACGUCCCAGUGCCCCCCUCUUUUGCUAUAUGAAGGGUUUCGUUCCAGAAAAAAUCAUUUGGGAGCUUUUUCGUGGUUUCGCCGCCGCCACGAGGCGGAACUUGAGCAGAUCCAAUCUAGAGCUCCGGCAGGACGAUCCUGCUGGGGAAACUUCCCUCCCGGAGGGGGAAAUCGUCACCAUCGUCAUCACCAACACUCCUCUUAUCAGAGGGGAGGCAUCUUCAUCAACAUCUUCAUCAGCACCAUCUCCUCUCCAAUCCCUAGUUCAUCUCUUGUAACCAAUCUCCGUCUCGCGACUCCGAUUAGUACUUGUAAGGUUGCUAGUAGUGUUGAUUACUCUUUGUAGUUGAUGCUAGUUGGAUUACUUGGUGGAAGAGUUUAUGUUCAGAUCCUUGAUGCUAUUCAUUACACCUCUGAUCAUGAUUAUGAUUAUGCUUUGUGAGUAGUUACUUUUGUUCCUGAGGACAUGAGAUAAGUCAUGCUAAUAAUAGUCAUGUGAAUUUGGUAUUCGUUCGGUAUUUUGAUAUGUCGUAUGUUGUCUUUUCCUCUAGUGGUAUUAUGUGAACGUCGACUACAUAACACUUCACCAUAUUUGGGCCUAGAGGAAGGCAUUGGGGAGUAGUAAGUAGAUGAUGGGUUGCUGGAGUGACAGAAGCUUAAACCCAGUCUAUGCGUUGCUUCGUAAGGGGCUGAUUUGGAUCCACUAGUUCAAUGAUAUGGUUAGACGUUGUCUUAAUUCUUCUUUCGUAGUUGCGGAUGCUUGCGAGAGGGGUUAAUCAUAAGUAGGAUGCUUGUCUAAUUAAGGGCAGUACCCAAGCGCCGGUCCACCCACAUAUCAAACUAUCAAAGUAACGAACGCGAAUCACAUGAACAUGAUGAAACUAGCAUGACAGAAAUCUCCGUGUGUCAUCGGGAGCGUUUUUCCUUCUAUAAGACUUUGUUCAGGCUUGUCCCUUGCUACAAAAGGGAUUGAGCCACUUGCUGCACCGUUGCUACUACUUGUUACUUGUUACUUUUCGCUUGCUACGUUUCAGCCUCCUCUCCAGAUCGGGGAACACCGACGCGGCCGGGAAUGCCAUCGCCCCCUCCUGGACCGUGUUGUAUGUUUUUAUCGUUACAUGGGCGAUGAGGCAAAAAAACAAAGGGUAUAGAUUAUGGGGGAACGAGAGACGAUAAAACCCAGACAAAGAGUGAAUGUGGUGGGAGGAGAGACGAAAAAAAACGAUGAACGUCGAAUACCAACUUUCCUUUUAAGAGUAGAGAUGGGCACUAACGUUUAUCCUUAUCCACACGGUGAGAUGGGAUGGUGGAAGAAAAACAAACUUGCACGCAUUCCAAUCUCCUCAACGAACGGACAGGCAACUUUUGCAUCCAGCCCCUCCACUUUACACACCUCUUUUCUCCCGCCCCCACAACCACCUCCCCUCCUCCGUCCUCCCCAGAGUCUCUUCUCUUCUCGUCUCUCGUCGCCUCCCGAGUCUCCGGCGACCACACACGCCACCUCGACGGCCAUGGAGCAAGGCGCCGACUCACCGGCGGCGAGGCGGAUGGCGAGGGUCGCCUCCCACCUCCGCCCGCCCACCUCGCAGGCACGAGCCCACAACCACCCUCCCUCCCUCCCCAUCUGCUUGUUACUGCCGCCUCUUCUCAGAUUCGGUCGGAGAACGAGAUCCUACCCAGAGGGGGAGUGCCAGUCCUUAGUUCCUCCGAUUACCUGUCGCCGCCGGCCUCAGUGGCGUCCAUUGUUUCCGGGAUCCUCUACGCGGGCGAAGACGCAUGGCUAGUACUGUAACACUUUGUACCUAGCGAUCUACUGUAUAGACCAGCAAGCCAUUGUCCAGUCCCCUUGUCAGGAUUCCCGCUGAGCUUGCAAGGUUUGAGCCUGGAGCUCAUUUUGCUCCCGGAAAGCCUAGGUAGGAAGCACUGCUGCCGAAAUAAAAUCAAGGACCAUUAGGUUUGUUACAAAUGCAGCAAUUGGGCUGUUCUGUUUGUCUACAAAGUAGGUUCCUCGAGUGAAGGAGUGUUGGCAGACCCCAACAGUUUUUACUUGGGAUCUAUUGACGAUGGGAUGUAAUUUGGUCUGCCAUCCGCAGAUUGAUUCCGUGCAGUUGAAACCUUGUCAGCCACAUGUUUAUCGAGCAUCAAAACUAGCUAUCAUGAUGAGUACAAGCUCUCAUCAUUAUGUUACUUCAAGAUCAGCAAGCUAUCUAGCUGUUGAGGGAACUCAGAAAUCACUAUCUAGCUGUUUUUUUAAAGGAUCGCUAUCUAGCUGUAGGUUGAGGAGACCCAGAAUCAGCGUCUGAAUUAUUCGGAGCUGAUGGUUUUGUCGGACAACUUCCAAAAUUUCGAUAUUAAACUUAGUUGAAUCUGCAAAACUGCAGUGGCUGGCAAAGUAGGUUACUCGGGUGAAGGAAUGUUGACAAAUCCGUCGGUUGUUACUAGGAUCUUAUAUGACGAUGGAAUGCAAUUUUUGUCUGAUAUUCUCAGAUUCUGCGCAGUUGAAAACCUUGUCAGCUCACAUAUUUACUGAGCAUCAACUAGCUCUCCUGACGAGUACAAACAUUAUAUCUUAUAUUAUUUUACUUUCAGACCAGUAAGCUAUCUAGCUGUUGAGGAAACUCAGAAUCCGCAGCAUCCUAAAUUUUAGCUCUUAAACUUUGUUGAAUCCGCAGAACUGCAGUAGUUGGCAAAUAGAAUAAGAGGUAUCAUCCAGUCCAGAAUCAGCUCUUGCUAGGCUAAAUUUUCUCUUUCCUUAUUUUGAAGAUUGAGGAGGUUGCCAUCUUGAAGGGCUCUAAUUGCCGUGCGAAAGGUGCAGCGCCAGGGUUCAAGGUCGCUGUCCUGGGUGCAUCUGGUGGGAUCGGCCAGCCACUCUCGCUGCUUAUGAAGAUGAACCCUCUUGUUUCGGUGCUCCAUUUAUACGAUGUUGUCAACACACCUGGUGUCACAGCUGACAUUAGCCACAUGAACACUGGUGCUGUGGUAUGCCCCCUUGACCUUGUAUUUAUGUCUUCUUCUUGUUUCUGCGAAGUUGCUCACUGGAAAAUGAUUCUGAAAGAAUACUGUAGUUGCAUGUUGGUAGGCCUCUAGUACAGUUGCUCCCCAUGUGAUUCGUGUAGGUUAUGUUUAGAGGAAAUUAAUUACUGAAGGAAUGUAUGUCUUCUCUACUGUCCUUGUAGGUCAUACUGUAGAGGUUUGGAUAUUAGCAUUAGCCAACUGGCUGCCACAAUCUUAUAAUCCAUAACUCGGCUAACAAGUAGCCAAUUUACAGUGGCAUUAUGCAUUGUUCUUAAAUUCAUAUUGCAUCAGGAGUGCGACAGAGGUCUCGGAAGAAUAUAUGUAGUGUCUGAUCAUUCAGUACUGAUUAUGGAUUUAAAUGUGAAAACAAUAAAUAAUGCUGCAAGGAAAGCAUAUAACCUACUUAAAUUUUAUGUAACUGGCAGAUAUUUGAUUGCCACAAUAUUAAUAGCUGUCCACAUAUCGUUGACCGCCCUAGGCUAUGCAUACGAUUAUCGUCUGAUUCUUGAACCUUAAAGGUUAUCUGAUCAUUUGGUGUAAUUAUGCUAAGGUAUAAUUUCUACAGGUGCGUGGCUUCUUGGGUCAGCCACAAUUGGAGAGUGCUCUUACUGGAAUGGAUCUUGUGAUCAUUCCUGCUGGCAUUCCUCGGAAACCUGGGAUGACAAGGGAUGAUUUGUUCAACAUCAAUGCUGGGAUCGUUCGGACUCUUUGCGAGGGAAUUGCAAAAUGCUGCCCAAAUGCGAUUGUGAACGUGAUCAGUAACCCUGUAAAUUCCACAGUUCCGAUUGCUGCUGAAGUAUUUAAAAAAGCUGGAACAUAUGAUCCUAAGCGCCUAUUGGGGGUGACAACUCUUGAUGUAGUGAGAGCCAAUACCUUUGUGGUAUGUACUUCAAAAUUGUUUGCCAUAGUGCCCAAUUAUGUUGCUAGUUUCUGUAUGGACAGGUUCUCAAAUUCCUAUUCCUGCCAUUCUCUGUCUACAGGGAGAGGUUCUUGGACUUGACCCCAGAGAUGUCAAUGUUCCUGUUGUUGGCGGGCAUGCAGGAGUUACGAUAUUACCACUCCUUUCACAGGUUAUUUGCAGCUGCUUCAAAUUUUGAACAUAUAUAUAUAUAUGUAGCUGAAAAUUUGUUUCCAUCUGAUGGAACUAGUACUUACCCUGUUCAUCUUUAUGUUUUCCUUCAUUGAGCUUUGUUGUUUUCAUAGGUGAAUCCUCCCUGUUCGUUUACCUCAGAAGAAAUUAGUUAUCUCACUUCUCGCAUACAGAAUGGUGGGACAGAAGUAGUUGAGGUAUGGUUUCCCUUAUCACCUAAUGCCAUAUCUUGUACGCACAGUGGAUGGAAUAAAAGUCAAUUUAGAAGUUUCUUUUCCGAUUGCCCUCUCUGAACAGUGGCUUAGUGACAAAGUAAUAGUUUUGCAUUAGCUACGAAUACUGUAUUGCGUCUGAUCGCAAGAGCUAGAAUGUUCUUACAAAUCAAACACAUCAUUAAUCUGAACUCACAGCAGAACUGGGGAUCUGCAAUAGAUUGGAAAAGAAGCAAGGUUAAAGAACUUGCCACUGCUGCAUGCCUGUUAGUUAAUGCAAUGAACUUCCUUUCUGACUUGCCGAAAUUCAUUUCAGGCGAAAGCGGGGGCAGGAUCCGCAACUCUUUCCAUGGUUGGUCUCCAUCAUCCUACACUGUUCCAUACAUGCAUUUUGAAAUUACGGAUGGGAUGACGACACUGCAUCUUUCUUUUUCUUUUCCCUCUCAAAAAGGCCUACGCAGCAGCCAAAUUCGCGGACGCCUGCCUGAGAGGGCUGCGCGGCGACGCCGGGAUAGUCGAGUGCUCGUACAUAGCCUCUCAGGUUACACACCCAUUCCCUUCCUUGAGCUCAUUCCAUCAGCAUUUUGUUGAUUCGUGAAAUCUCCUUCUCCACUCCGCGCAUGUAUCUUGAAGGUGACGGAGCUGCCCUUCUUCGCGUCCAAGGUGCGGCUGGGCCGGGCCGGCGUCGAGGAGGUCCUGCCGCUCGGCCCGCUCAACGAGUUUGAGAGGUAAUGCAACUAAUAAUAAUUACAUAACCCAUGCAGGAUCGUUCGUUUGCGUCGCCCAAUUUUUGUUUGUCUGAUGUCGUUGCAGGGCCGGGCUGGAGAAGGCCCAGGGCGAGCUGGCCGAGAGCAUCCGCAAGGGCGUCGCGUUCGCCAACAAGUGAUGAAGAGAAGUGUAUUCAGCUGCGUAUUCUUGGCCCCCCAGCAUAGAAAUCUGAGAUGCCUUUUGCUUCCGUCUGCUCCUGCCUGGGAGCAACGGUCGCCGUGUGAUGUGAUAUCCCUGUAUAUCGUAUAAUAACAAUAACAAUAAUAAUGAAGUGUACUUUAUUUUAUACUGGAAUACGAUGCGGACUACCCGAUGCUUACGGCUGUAUAAACAACU
rnacentral:lncRNA from 1 species